AAACUCCCCGUCAAAACAAAUGGGUGACCCUCUGCACGGCUGCACCCUUCCUCUCUCUCUCUCUCUCUCUCUAAAAUCCACUACAAAAGGAGAGUUUUUUUUCCAAUUUUUUUUUUCCGCAAAUCUCCAUAUGAGAAAUCUUUGACAGUCAAGAAAGAGAGAAAAUGUAGAGUAGGAUGAGGAGCUAGAAAAGGUAAGUUUCUUUUAUUUUCCCUUUUUUUUUUUUUCUUCAAUUAAGUUUUUUUUUCUUUUGACGGUUUCCUUACCAUAAAUAGGGGCUGCAAGAUUGUCCGUUUUUUUUCUCAACGAAUAUGGCUGUUUUUUGCCAAAAAUGGUCUUCUAAAAUGGACAUGUUGUCACUUGCCAAAAUAGCUUGUUUUUCUUUCUUCAACGAACGUGGUUGAAUUCUGCAAAAAAUUUUCCAUUCUCUUCUUCAACAGGCAUGACUGUUUCUUGCCAAAAUUACUUGAUCAUGGGAUGCACACUCUAACGGCUAUGUAACGGGGUAUGUGCCUCAUUCACUUGUUAUUUUUGGUUGCCAUGAAGUAAUAUAAACAGAGCUUGUAAACCCUACUAUAUGAUCAGAAAAUCAGUAUUUCAAUUUUUUCCCCUUUCUGAGACAUUGUGUAUUCUCCUCUUUUGCUCAUAUAUCUGAUUUUCACUGCUGUUUAUUAUCCUAAGAAUAGAGAGUCAUCUUCUCUAGUGUUAUCAUAAUAUGUGAAUCUUUUCUAUUUCACAACGGUUUAAUCCAUAUUGUUAUUAUCAUUUUUUUCCCCCAAAUUUAGAGAGAGAAAAUAAUCUACUUGAAUAGCAUAUAUUGUUGUUUGUGUGCAAUUUGGGUAUUUUCUAAUGAGAAGGUUUGGAAGAAUUAUUGAUUGAGCUGGAUUCACAUCGAGGCUUCUUCAAUUCACCGGUUGUUGCAUAUUUUUUUCUUGAGCUCUAUUCUUGAUAGUCCAUACUAUCGCCCGGUGAGAUCGCAACCAUAAACUAGAUUUUUUUCAUGAUCUGCAUUUUUUUAUCAUUCAUGGAUCCUAAGGCUAGAAUUGAAGAUAGAAAGACUCAAUGGGCCGAAUUAUAAUACAUGGAAAAUAAUAUUAGCUUUGAUUUUAGAGCAUGAAAAUUUAAAUCAUAUUAUUUCAAUCGUAGUUCCUAUUGAGCCAACUAAUGCUAGUAAUAGAGCAGAAAGAUCAGCUUAUGCUAAUUGGGAAAAAGAAAAUAAGAGGUGUAGGAGCAUAAUUUUGAGAAAUAUGGACGAUGAAUUGUUAUUGAGCUUUGAUGAAUUUAAAAAUGCCAAAGAUAUUUAUGAUGAAUUGGUGAUACAAUUUGGGGUAACUUCAAUAAAUAAUUUAAGAGUUUGACUCAAGAGUACCAUUCUUUUAAGAUGAAGAAAAAUGACUAUAUGGUUGAACAUGUUAGAAAAAUGAUUUUGUUGGGCAAACAACUUAUAAGUGCUGGUUAUGCUUUGAAUGAUCAACAUCAAGUUUUAACUAUAUUGAGUGGUUUAUCUAAUUCUUGGGAAUAUGCUGUGACUACUUUAUAUUUAAACCGCAUGGAUCUUAUGCUUCAAAAUCUUGUUGUUGAAUUAAAAUCUGAAGGGGAUCGUAGAUCUUCAAGGAGGGCUGAUGCAUCGCAUUGCUCAAUCUGAAAACCCUCGAAUUGGAGAAUCCUUUAAUAAAAGAAAACCUUACCAACCUUGAAACAAUAAUAAAAAGUAGAAUGUUGAAAAUAAAAACAAGACGCUUAUGUACAAUGGAUCCAAGGGGGCAUGUUUCAUUUGUGGGAAGAUGUGACACUUUAAAUCCCAAUACCCAAACAAAGGGGAUCCCAAGACACACAACCAAGGUCGUGACUACUUGUGUGUAGUAGUUGAUUGUUUAACAGCUAAUGUGUCUAUUGAUGAUUGGUGGGUGGACUCUGGGGCCACUAAACACAUAUCCAGGUCUAGAGAGGGCUUUAAGAACUUAAAUACUUUAAAAUUGAGGAACAUGUCAUCUCUAUGGGCAAUGAUUCUAAGUCUGAUGUAUUAGCUAUUGGCACUUAUAAACUAGCCAUCCCAAAUGAGAACUUCUUGCUCCUUUCUUUUACUCUUUAUGCUCUUCCAUGCGUUGUAACUUGUUGUCAGUCAGGAGACUUGAUGCCAAGGGAUAUGCAAUUCAUUUCAAGGAUAGGAAAGCUUCAAUUGAGAUUACUAGGAAAAUCAUUGUAUGGGGGAAAGCUCGAGGGGAUAUGUAUUUACUUGAUAAAAUGAAUGAAAUUUCAUCUUCUUUUGCUUACUUGAAUGUGUGUGAUGAUUAAAUUUCUUUUUUGUGGCAUAUGCGUUUGGGUCAUAUUAGUAGAAAUAGAAUUUCUAUACUUGUUAAUGAUGGCUUGAUUCCUAAAAUGACGAAUUUAGAUUUUUAAAAUUGUGAACCAUGUUUAUCUAGUAAAAUAAGUAGAAAACCCUUUGGUAAGCGAACUGGAUCUUAUGAUUCAUUGUCUAUUAUUCAUUCUGAUAUUUGUGGGUCACUUAAUGUAAAAACACAUAGGGGUAUAAAGUAUUUUAUUUCAUUCAUUAAUGAUUAUUCGAGAUUUGGUUAUAUUUAUCUGAUUAGUAGAAAAUUUGAUGCACUUGAAAUAUUUAAUGAAUCUAAAUUAGAAGUUGAAAACCAAUUAGAUAAAAGAAUUAAAAUCCUUAGAACAGAUCGAGGAGGGGAAUAUUGUUCUAAUUUGUUUAUUAUCUUUUGUAAAGAAAAUAGGAUAAUACACCAUAAGACCAUGCCCCACACACCCCAACAAAAUGGUUUUGCUAAAAGGCGUAACCGAACUCUUAUGGAAAUGGUGCGAUCAAUGAUGAGUCAAGCUAAUUUGUCUUCAAUUUUUUGGGGGUGAAUCAUUGCAUAUUGCUAUAUGUUUUUUAAACCGAGUUCCUUCAAAAUCCAUGGAGAAAACACCUUAUGAGUUAUGGACUGGACAUAAACCUCGAUUGGAACAUUUAAAAAUUUGGGGUUGUGAUGCUUAUGUACUUAUCCCAAGCUAUGAGAGAUCUAAGUUGAAGGCUAAAAUUAGAAAAUGCUGAUUCAUAGGGUACUCUGCUACUUCUAAGGUUUAUAGGUUUUAUGACCUUGAGACCAAAUCUUUAGUCGAAUCUAGAGAUGCACAGUUCUUAGAAGAACAUACGAAAAUAGACAAACUCUAUCUUAUAUAUAUACAUGAAUUAGACAAUAACAAAGGACUAAAUGAAAACAUAGAACAUUAUGAAUCUAAUGUAGAAAACCUUGAUAACUAUAUAGAUAGUGGGAAUGAUAUAUUUGAAUUUACUAAUGUAGAUAACAGUGAACCGAGGAGAAGUUUUAGAAACAGGAGAGCACCAUAUCAUUUAUAACCAUAUCAGAGUUUUGUUUGCAUGGACACUUUUGACCAAUACUAUAAUUUUGCUUGCCAAGAUAUUCAUGAACCUUCCAAUUAUAAAAAAGCUAUUAAUUCUGAUGAAUCUGAUUUUUGGAAUAAUGCUAUGAAUGAAGAAAUGGAUUUUAUAACUAAAAACCAUGUAUGGGAGUUGGUAGAUUUGCCUAGUAGGAGAAAACCCAUUGGUUGCAAAUGGAUAUUAAAAAGAAAACUCAAAGCUGAUGGUAAUAUAGAUAAAUAUAAAAGAAGACUUGUUGCUAAAGGAUAUAACCAAAAGGAAGGUAUAGAUUUUGUUGAUACUUUUUCUCCAGUAGUAAGAUUUUCUUCUUUUAAAAUUUUGAUGUCUAUUGUGGCCAACCUUGAUUUAGAAUUGUUUCAAAUGGAUGUUAAAACUGGAUUUCUCAAUAGAAAAUUAAAUGAAGAGAUAUAUAUGUUACAAUCUGAAGGAUAUAUUGUUGAAAGCAAAGAAAAUAAAAUGUGCAGACUAAGCAAUCUUCUAGACAAUGAUAGUUACAAUUUCAUGAUGCAAUUAUGAAACUUGGUUUUGCUUCUAAUGAAUGUGAUCAUUCUAUUUACAUUAAGAAUAGUAGGAGUAAGAUAGUGAUAUUGUUUUUAUAUGUGGAUGAUAGUUUGAUUGCUGGAAAUGAUAUAGAUAUGAUUAAUGAAACAAAAUCAUGGUUGAAAUAUAAUUUUAAAAUGAAAGAUAUGGGAGUUGCAUCAUAUGCUUUAGGAAUUGAAAUGACAAGAGAUAGAUAAAAAAUGAUGCUCAGCUUAUCUCAAGAGCAUUAUUUAGAAUCUGUUAUUAAAACAUUUAAAAUAGAUUUAUGCAAGCCGGUCUCCACCCUUGUUGAUAAAGCAGUUAAAUUAUCCAUUGAUUUAUGUCCUACUAAUGAUAAUGAUGAUAUGAGAAAUAUUCCAUAUGCUCAAGCAAUUGGGUGCACUAAUUAUGUUGUGUCAUGCACUAGGUUAGAUUUAUGUUUUGUUGUUAGACUUGUUAGUAGGUAUCAAAGAAACCCCAAAAUGAUACACUGGCAAGCAAUAAAAAAGAUAUUAAGAUAUAUCCAAGCAACAAAGAAAUACAAGUUGCACUAUCAAGGUUCUUCCCUUAGGCCUCAGGGUUACUCUGAUGCAGAUUGGAGUGUAAAUCCACUUCAGGUUUUAUUUUCAUGCUUGGUGGAGGUGUUGUAUCAUAGUUCAGUAAAAAACAAGAUUGUGUUGCUUUAUCAACCAUGGAAGCAGAAUAUGUGGCUUACAAUUUAGGAUCACAAAAGGCCUUUUGGUUGAGAAAUUUCCUCAUGGAUUUAAAAUUGGAAUGCAUUAAAAAUGGACCUAUAAACAUGUUAUGUGAUAAUCAAGCAACUAUUGCCAUUCUCAAGGAUUUGAAAAUAAACUCUCAAUCCAAGCACAUUAGCAUGAGGUACCACUAUAUUCGAGAUGUAGUGGAAUAUGGAGAUAAAACAGUUGAUUAUAUAACUUUAAAUGAGAUGAUUGCAGAUCCAUUGACUAAAGCUUUAAGCAGGGAAAUUUCGAGAAACAUAAAGCAGCUAUGGGAUUGAGAUAAGUCUAAAUGGAUAUCCAAUAAUGGUUCAUAAAAUCAUAUUGGUUGGUAUAUGAAAAUCCCAUGUGGAAAACAUGAAGCAAUGCCAUAUAUAAGGUGUCAAAGAGCCUUCAGGCUGGGUAUAUGGAAAUUCCAUUUAAAAAGCAUGAGGCAAUGCCAUGUACAAGAAUUUAAAUAGCCUUCAGGCCAAGUGGGAGAUGUUGGAAAUUUUGCCUAUCAGGUCCUUUUAUCCUAGGAAUUUAUUUUUUUCAAUAAUGGUACAAAAGCCAUAUUGAAUAGUAUAUGUGAAAUCCCAUGUAGUUGACUUGAAGCAAUGCUAUAUACUAGGAUCCAUUUUGGAGCUUUUAUAGGAUGUUGUACCGGUAUGAAAACCCAGUGUCACUGGAGGAAAAAAUCCAGUGAUGUGUUUCAAUUCUUUGUAAGAUUUUUUUUUUUUGUAAGAAUGCUUGAAUGACAUCCUAUUAUGAGAGUCAUUAGUGCACUAAUGACAGGUUUAGUUCAUUACAUAGUAUUAACAGUUUGAUGACAACUUGUUAAUCCUAAUUGGUUGCACUUAAGGAAAUUAAGACAUGAGUUAUACUUGGAUCUCAACUCCUAUAGACCAUAAAUGUGAGUGUUACAAAAAUAUGGUUCUCUAUAAAAAGAGGUUAAUCCCUCAAGUAAGAGAGAGAAUGCUGGAAUAUUGGUGAAGGAGAGAGAAUAAUUGAAAAUUGGUGAAGGAGAUUCACCUAGAGGACUCUCAAGAUAGCCUGUCAUCGGAUGGCGUGGUUUUGAUAUGGAACCUUAGAUCUCUCAUAUAAUUUAAGGACAGAUCCGAGUAAGUUGUUUAUCGAUUUGAAUUUUAUUUAUUUGUUAUUAUUUUUAUUGGACUAACAGGGCCAACCCGAACCCGACUAAAUCCGGUGCCACCCUUAACUUUGAACCCUAAUAUUAGAAAUUGCAAUGCCACAUGUAAGUGGCCUUCAAAAUGAGAAAAAAAAAUGCUCUCGACAUGCCGAGACGAGCAUAUUGAGGACACUAAUUAUUUGAGUGGGCGAGGGUCUCUUUGUCAGUUUGUUUCACAUGGCUGAUUGGUUAUCUCUACACCGAAUAGUAUUUAUUAUUUUAUUUUUUUGUUGCCCUUCAAGUUUUUAGUAAAGAGCGAGUUUGGUUCACGUGGCUGAUUUUGUUCUUAUUAUGAAAAUGCGUGUCGCCCAAUUCAUUCCACAAGAGGACAAAGGCCAGGUUGUUCAAGGGUUUGGACAACAGAAUUUGUCUUACAAACCCAUACCAGGGAAAAAUGUAGAAUUUCAAUUAAAAGCGUUAAUACGAGAAGGGUAGAUAUCCUCAGGGAAAAUUACAAAAACGCCUUUGACCCAAUUUUCUUUACAACCUAUUUUUCAAUAUUUACUCUCAAACAAACUUUUUUAGCAAAUACCGUCAAGUCAAAAAAUCAUUAUUUUUAGAACCAAAAUGCCUUUUUCUCUCUUCUAACAUCAACUACUUAACUUUUUCCAUAACAUACAAAAAGGCAGUCCGACAGUAUAAACAAGCGGUUCGGCAGUAUCCCAAAGCAAUCCGGCACUGACAAAAAAUGGUUCGACAAUAGGCCCUUACGGUUUGGGACUGCCGAAGAGUAGUCUGGCAAUAGGCCCAUGCGGUUUGGUACUGCCAAAGAGCGGUCCGGCAAUAGGCCCAUGCGGCCCGGCAACAGGCCCAUGCGAUCGAGCAACAGGCCCACGUGAUCUAGCAUCAGGCUCAAAGUGCAUAGUCUGGCACUUUUUUUAGUUUAACGGGGUCCGACAAUUGGUACGUGGCUGUCCAACAUCCCAUAUAGGCCCAAGUGAAUGUCCAGCCAAAAUUAAUUAUUUAUGUACGAAAAAGAGUACUUUCGUCAAAAAAAUAUACCUUUUUUUUACUUGAAAGUAUUUACUAAAAAAGCAUAUUUUGAAAAGAAAGUAGGAAAAAAAGUUUAGUUGAAGAUAAGUUGCAUAAAAGACCUAUUUUUUAGGGUUAUUUGUAAUUUUCCCUAUCCUCAAAGAGCUCAUAUCAUUCCACAAAAUCAAUGGAGGGAUCAAAAAGUCAUAUUUGCCAUGCGUGGUUGACCUUUUACGAUUUAUUUCAAAAAAGUUAUCCCUUUCAAAUUCAUUAAAAAAUUUCAAAAUGUUUACUAUUCAGUGUGAAACCUGACGAGCAUGGGCAUUUUAAUAAUUUGACUCGUGGCAUUCCAAACUUAUUUUGUCAAGGGCUAAGAAGUAUAAAAUAACAAAAGUACCCCUGGUUCUAUAUUGCUAACUCUAUAUUUUGGACGUUUGGUAAUUCCAUUUCUUACUUGAAUAAUCAGAAGUAUUUUUGUAAUUUACUUGAACUACUUAAGUAUGCUAAAUUACUAACGGGUGUGGUUUCUAUAGGGCAGAGGCUCUAAAAAAUCAAAGUAAAGCGUACUUUUUAAAUAGUAUCGAAAGAUGUAGUUGUAUUAUUGAAAAUCUUUGUGAUGACCUGAAAAUUUAUUUUUAUAUCUAAUUAUAAAAUGUAAAGCUUAAAAAAUAGUGUAGAUCAAGCGAAUCUAUAAAUACUUGAAAGCCUUGAAAAUUGAAGGCCCAAAAAUGUACUAAAAGAUGCAUUAUUUCUAAAACUUGAAAUUCAUUUUUUCUCAUGUCCAUGAAUCUUGGGUCGAGAUGAUCAAUUUGAGGAUUUUUGGUCUUCAAAACAACCUUUUUUAGUGAAAUUUUUAAGGUACGCCAUAAUUUGAUUGUUUAGAGCCUCAUACUUAUAUAAAAUUUUUCCAUUACUAAAAUACCCCUAGUUAUUUAGAAUUCUCAACCAUAAACAUAGGUAAUUUGGAAAUUUGUAGCAAUUUUUGUUGAGGUAUAUUUAUGGAAUGAAACGUAAACCGAUAAUAAAUAAGAUAAACUAAAUUCUUGAUAAUUUUGUGAUAUAAUUAAGGCUCUUAGAUAAGUUCCCAUAAAAGAAUACCAGACUAAUAUUACAAAUCUAUUAAUGUCAUGAAGCCACUCUUAAUAAAUCUUUUGAAGGUCGAUCCUAGAAAAAUCUCACAUUAAAUAAUUCUAUAACUGUUUACAUCAAAGUGGCAACAGAGAGAUUCACUAUUUAAUAGUCAAGCCAUUUCCUCUGUCAUUUUAGAAUGUCUUUAGUUCAUCUACAUUUAGAAAGCAUGAAGCUCAAGAAUAAAAGACGAAUAAAAUAAUAGAGCAUGAUCGAUAGUGUCUCGAAUAUAACAAAUAAUACGUAUAAUUAUCGAGUAAAUAAAACGAGGGGCACUCAAAAAUUGAUUGACAAGAUGAACAAUAUAAGUUGUCUGGCCGAGAGAUGAUCAAAUAAAUCACGCUUCGAACAUGAUGCUUAUAAAUGUGGGAUAAAAAAGAGGGGUUCACCAUAUGUAGAAUGAAUUUUGACAUUCAGCUCAAUAGAUGUGUCAACAUGCUUUGUAUCAAUCAACUAGACAAUCUUGAGAAACAAUAUAUGUGGCAUAUUUGAGUUGUGAGAGCAAAUACCCACGGGAAGAAUAAGUAACACUAGGCCUAAAAAAUAUUUUAAGAAUAUGUAAUCUUUCAUCUCUAAAAGUUGAUUAAGUUGCUAUUUGAUUAGAUGUAUGGUAGCUGCAUCAUCACUAGAAACUAUCACAUCAUCAACAUAGGCUAGGAGAAUUCAUGACCUCUAGGUGUGACUAAGACAAACAUGAAUGGGUCCUGAUGACUCCGCCCAAAACAUAUAGAGAGAACAAAACAACAAAGUUUUUCAAACUAAGUACGAGGAGCUUGUUUAAACCCAUAGAAUGUGCACCGUAGUCGAUAGAAUCUGUUGUCAGGAUCAGAAACCCUAGGAGGUACAAGAUUGCAACUGAAAAAUACAUCUUUGAUAUCAAGUUGAUAAUAGAGGCCAUUGGAGAAUAAUAACUACAUAAAUCAAGGUGCGAACUCUAGUCAUGUGGACAACAUAAGGAAGGGUCUCAGCAACAUUAGCUCCAAAUUGUUGAUUAACUUUUAGUCACAAGCCAUUCCUUGUAGCUCUCGAUAUUGCCAUCAACUUAGUUUUGAUUGUGUACACACAGGCAGCCAAUGCCUCUUUUAUCUUUGGGAAGAUGAAUAAGAUUCUAAGCAUACAUUAUGUCAAGGGCAAUCAAUUGUUCUACCAUGACAUGUUGCUACUCUGGCUGUUUGGCAGCAUUUUUCAUAAGUCUAGGGCUCAGAGUAAGAAAGAAAUGAAGCAAUAGAGGGUCAAUACUUAAGUUAAAAUGUUUCAUAAUCAACAAAACGAGCAAGUAAAAAGGGACACGAGUACUAUGAUGGACAAAAGGCAUUUGUAUAGGAGCAGUAGGUGCAGAUGCAGGUGCAGGUGCAUUGCUUGAAGUAGUUUAUCAAUAGUAGUUGAGUGUUCUACAAUUAGACCCAUCUAUAGGAGGCAUCAGUGAGAUUGCAAGGACACAAUUUUGGUGAGUCAACCGACGCAUCUAUUAUCAUGCGGUUCUUUAUUUAUCUAACAUUCAUCUCUAAGAUGGAUGUUAAAAAAUGGUAUAUCUACUAAAAGUUAAAAUGGACGGUGAAGAAAGGAAAUUAAAACAUAACAUUUAUAAUACCAAAUUAAGAUAAUUGUCAUGGUUGAAUUACUAAACAUUAAUAUUUUGGAUCGAAUAUAUAUCUUUGAAAUAUAUUUUGUAAGACUCCAAAAAAAUAGCAUAAGUCGGCUGACUCACCAAACCCUUUUCCAAGUUGCAAACAUAGGAUAAAUAUCAUUAGAGAAAAGGACAUGAAGAUAAAGUAGAGGUCACCAACUUUAUAUCAGGCCCAAUCAGUUUUCCUGACUACUAAUCCUGCACAUGACAUCCAAAGGUAGUGAAAACAACAUUAGAAUUGGAACGAGUAAUUUAACCACUAGAAAGCAUAUUCAUAGCGAUGGAGAGAACAUCAUAAAAAUUCAGUUUAACAAAAGAAUUAGAAGAUGUAGUAAUUGAGCCAAAUUUAGAGACUUUCAUAGCAUUGCCAUCGAUUAGAAGAUGUAGUAAUUGAGCCAAACUUAGAGACUUUCAUAGAUUUACCUAAAACUUAGAUUUACCUAAAACUUAUAGACUUUCAUUGGCUAUCAUAUGUGAGAAGCAUCAAAGUCUACUAACCAGGAAGCUAAAAUAAUGAUACCUAAAAUAAGAGAUGUAGAUUCGUUGGAUAAUCGGGACUGUGAGAGAAACUUCUGAAGUUGUUCCAUUGUAAGAGUGAUUGAUGAAGAAGCAGCACCAACAACUUAUGAUGUUACGCCAUUGCUUGAGUACCAGCAAUAAUGAUAAAUUGAUCAUGAAUGCAUCCCUCUAAAGGUUGACUUGACUCGGUUGCUAUUGAGCCAAUAAUUUUAUUUUAAUUAUUUAGUUUUGACUAGCCAGAAUGUAAGCAAAACAAAGCUAUGAUCAAUAAGAUCCAUAAUUGAUGAAUCUCUAAAUGAGAUUCUCUCACCAAAAAAAAAGAAGAAAAAAUGCAGGUCUUCAAACAUUAGCCCCUCUCCUUUCCAAUAUUAACAUAGGUGCAAGUCCUUAGAAUAUAUGAUGAUGUUAUCACAUAAAUGUUUCCCACUCAUAACGAUUAGUCAUGUUUCGCUUUGUACAAACACCACAGCGAAUGAAUUGUUGUCAAAUCGGGAUAACCCAAUCACUUCUUUUGAGCAAAUCGGGAUAUCUCAAAUCCUACUAGAUGUAGUGAGAACUACACCCCUAUGAUUUCAAUACUCAAAUAACAUGCCCAAGAUGCAAUAAUAAGUGUAAUAUAAUUGAAAAAAUAUAAUAAUAAAAAAAACAAAUAAUAUGAGAAAUCAUCGAACUACAACACAAAUAGAAAUAGAGAGGGACACACACAUAUACGUGGUUCACCCACAAGGGGCUACGUCCACGAGCAAGACGGUAAGGUGCAUUCACUAUCAAGAGGAAAACUAACAAGAUUGAGAUUAUGUAGAGUUACCUCAUACAAUAUCAAGGAAUGUACAAACUAAGAAAUUUCUACCACAAAACCACAUAUAGUCGACUCCUUUUUUCGAUUCACCGCAGCUGUGAAGAAAUACCGACAAAAACGGCCCAAAAAUGAGCCCAAAUGGUGGCGCUAGGGUUUAUUCGCAAAAACCCCAAAUUUUCUCCCCCAAACCUCUCUCAUGCCAACGCACUUAUUUUUCUCACUCACCCGAACGUCCCUCAACCCACGUUUUCAUCCGCACGUCUCUCUCUAUAUAAAGCCCCUGUUAAGAGCCUCCACUCUAACUUAUCUACUUGGAAGGUCUUUGUAAGCAUAUCCGCAAAGUUUUCUUCGGUCUUGAUCUUAACCAAUUGAACUCUUCCAUCUUCAACGACUUGCCGGAUAUAGUGAUAUUGAACCAAUAUGUGCCUUGACCUCCUGUAGUGAACUGGGUUCUUGACCAAAUGGAUAGCACUCAUAUUGUCAUAAAAUAGUUCCAUGGGCUAGCACAUAAUGCCCAUCUCACCUAUCAACCCUUGAAGCCACACAACUUCUUUUGAUGCCUCCGUAGCCACCAUGUACUAGGCUUCCAUAGUUGACAAAGCUACCGUGUCUUGGAGCCUUGACGCCCAACUAACUGGUCCAUUUGCAAACCGAAAAUAAAUGCGGUAGUUGAACUACCUCUAUCAAGAUCACCAGCAAAAUUUGCAUCCACAAAACCUUGUAUUGGAAUUGAGCCCUUGCCAAAUGUGAUUGCAUAACUAGCUGUACCUCUUAAGUCCCGAAGCAGCCAUUUUGUUGCUUCUCAAUGAGCCUUUAUGGGGUGUGUCAUAAACAGACUUAGAACAACAAUCGCAUGCGCGAUAUCCGGUUUUGUACAUACCAUGACAAACAUUAAACUUUCAAUCGCAUUUGAAUAAAGAACCUUAGCCAUGCUUUUUCUUUCUUCUUCCAUCUUUGAACUUUGCAUUGAAGACAAUUUGAAGUGAGGCGUUAGGGGUGUCUUUUCCGGCUUUGCAUCUUUUAUGCUAAAUUUUUCAAUUUCAAUCCCAAGGAUUUGCCUUGCCGGCCCGAGAUCUUUCAUCUCAAAUCUUUUGCUCAAAGAAGUUUUGAGUUCAUCAAUUUUUGUCUUAUCUUUGCAUACCAAAAGCAUGUCAUCCACAUAUAAGACUAAAAUCAAGUAUGUACCAUCAUCAAAGAACUUUAAAUAGAUGCAAUGGUCAUACUUACUUCUUGUGUACCCAAGGCUCAUCAUGAACAUAUCAAAGGUUCUAUACCAUUGUCUUGAUGCUUGCUUGUGCCCAUAUAAGGACUUCUUCAAUUUGCACACAAGUCCUUUGCCCUUCUCUAUGAAGCCUUUCAGUUGUUGCAUGUACACUUCCUCUUCAAGUUCUCCAUGCAAAAAAGCCAUAUUCACAUCCAUUUGCUCAAGCUCUAAAUCGUGCAUAGCAACUAAAUCAAGCACCAAGAGAAUUGAGACCAACUUGACAACUAGUACAAAAAUUUCAUCAAAGUGAAUCCAUUCUUUUUGUGAAAAACCUUUUACCACCAAUCUUGCCAUAUAUCUUUCAAGCUUUCCAUCAAGCCCUUUCUUUAUCUUGAACACCCAUUUACAACCAAUGGCCUUUCUACCUUUUGGCAGCUCCACCAAAUCCGAAGUCUUGUUUCUUUGAAGGGUCAAUAUCUCCUCUUCCAUAGCUCUUUUCCAAUGCUCGGUACAAUUGAUAUCAAUGGAUUCAUGAAAUGAUGUUGGCUCUUCAUUUUCGGCUAUUAAAGCAUGCAAAGUAUUUGGAUCCACAUAAUCUUUGGGUCACCUGAGAGAACGAGUUUCUCUAGUAGAGCUCCUAUGUGCCAAAGGCACAACUUCAUCAUGAUGGCCAUGUGGUUCUUCAUCUUGACUUCUUAGUUCUCCAUGCUCUUCACUAUGAUCAAAGGGUAUAUUCUCAUAAGGCAUAGUUGCACUUGGUGGAAGUGUUUUGGGGUUGCCGUGAAAUUCUUGGCUCUCUUACUGCACUUCUCGACCAUUGCCAUUUAUCAUCAUCCCCUUUGUCAAAUACCUUGGAUUCAUAAAAAAGCACAUCACGGCUAGUGAUUACUUUUCGGAUACUUGGAUCCCAUAACCGGUACCCCUUCACACCCUUGCUAUAACCCACAAAGAUGCACUUCUUUAACCAUGGAUCCAAUUUGUUCAUUUGGCAACUUGGAACAAGUGCAUAUGCGUCACAACCAAAAUUUUUUAAAUCGGACUAGUCUCUUGGAGUUCCAUACCAUACCUCAUUAGGAGUUUUGCUUCCCAAAGCUACCGAAGGUGAUCAGUUGAUAAGAUAACAAGCCAUUGAUACGGCUUCUGCCCAUAAUUCUUGUUCUACGUCGGCGUUGCUUAACAUGCACCUCGCACGCUUCAUCAAAGUGUGAUUCAUCUUCUUGGCGACACUAUUUUGUUGAGGAUUGUAGGCAUUUGUGUAAUGCCUAGUAAUUCCCUCGGCCUUGCAAAAAAAUUCGAACUCCUUUGAUACAAACUCUCCACUUUUCCUUUCUCUGCUCUCUCUCCCUCCAAAACGUACUCAUAGGCUCAAGCAAGGGAAUGGAAUUUUAUUGAAUCUUCAAGGAAUCCACUCAAGACCGAGAGGUAGUGGGGGGGGGGGACUUUUUUUUUUUACAAUGAGGUAGUGCUUGUUUAUAUAGAGUUGUGCCAAAAAAUGGGUGGAUUGAUCAAAAUUAGACCUAAUUGCUGAAAAUUAAGAUUUAAUUGAAUUAAAAGAAAUUAUAAAAUGAGUGCAAAAGGACUGUUUUGCCCUUGCCUAACAAUGUGUGGAACGCUAAAACAGUCCCUGUGGCUACUCGAGAACUUGCCUGAUCUUUCGUGGCUGAUCUGGGGUUGUUCUGAUGCUCGUUUGAUUGAAAGAUUAUUGUUUUCUUAUAGGGAUCGACAAGGCGAUUGUUGUGAUACCAACUUUGAGCCAUGAAUCAUAUUUUUGAGUCAUAAUCAUGAGACUUAAAAUUUGUUUGAAUCUUGGAAACUUCGGAUCGGUAGUGCCAUCUUUCCUUAAUGUUUUUCUGUGAUUUCUUGGUUGUAGCGCACUAAGCAUGUCAUCACGAUCAUGUGGCAACAGGCGAAACACGAUUUGGAUCCCGAACGAAGAUUUCGCAAUUUUUGAGUUUUGGCGGCCGAAAUUUCUGUAACUUCGUCGGCUUCAUGCAUGAAAACUGACUGUCCAUCAUGUACAUGGUUCGGUCCAAUGAUAGCUCUGAACCUUACGCACACAAUGGAAUUGGUUUUGCGUUGAUUCGUUACGCGAUUGUCUUGAUUUGGUUCAUUGCGUGAGGCGUGUCACUGUUGAAUUUUCUACAACUUUUUCACGGAUUGACAACUUCUCUCUAGCUUUUCUCCUUGCUCGGAUAUUGUCUCAUGGCUUGCCACAUAUUGAAUUGUUCGUCUCAAACACGAACACGCUCACCAAAUUUGGGGGCGAUCCGAUUUGGAACGGGUGAGUUACGGGCCCUGAAAGUGACUGUCCAUGACUGCAAAAACAGCCACCUUUAAUGGUUUUUUGGUGCAGUGAGGUCAUACGGGACUAGUGUGUGACCUCUCCUAUUUCAAUGUUUUGCUCAUAUCUUUGUUCUGGAGUGUCUGAUCAAGAUGAAACUUAGUCCAUAGGGGUUUUUGAUCGUGUCGGAUCAAAUGGUGGUAGUUCCAUAGGGAUUUGUGCUACCGAAAAUGUAGCUCGAGUUGUAGGGUCCGUUUCAGGGUGCUAGAGGGAAAAUUUUUUGAAAACUAUUUCUUUGUGUUCAGUGCCUUAGACAUGUCUGAUCAUGAUGAAACUUGGCACGUGAUAUUUUGAAGUGCUGAUGAUGAUCUUGAGAAGUUCUGGGGCCAUUCUGAGACUGUCAAGAAUUUUCCACUGUUUUGUAGGCUUUAUUGACCUACUUCCUACCAGGGACCAAGGUGAUGAAAAAUACGUUCAAACAACAUGCCUCGCCGAAUAUCGUGCCUCAAGAGAAGAAAUAAGGUCAAAAAUUCAGAAGUUUUCCUUCGAAUUUUACAUUUUUCCUUCCUAGCCAUAGGACCACGUGAACGUCGAGGAGAUUUACAUAAUGGUGUAACUAGGCUCCUCAAACGUAGAGAUGCAUUGUUCGCGGGUCCGUCCGUGAACACUUUAGGGGGAGAAGAGACUUUUUUGGCAGUGUUUGUUUGCUGCUUCACCAGGUUUGCUUUUGACGAUCAGAGUACCACUAUUGGUCUCGUCUACCGAGUCCAGUUAGGAGCAGGUUCUAUUAGCAGGUCCUAAAGGUCUGGUCAUGCCGACUAGGAGAGCUGAAGUCUCUGACAGAUUUCACCCUGGUUUUUAUAGUUUCUACCUUAGAAGGAUGAUGGCUGCGCUACUUUGUCAUGUUGCCUCAUGGAGAGAGGGGUCUAUAGAAGAAGAAGAGGGCAAGCACAUUUCAUGCAUGGGGAAAAAUGUUCAUACGAGAAGAAGAAGGCAUGCACACUCCAUGCAUGGGGAGGAGGUCUAUAAGAGAAGGAGAAGGCAUGCACACUCCAUGCAUGGGGAGGAGGUCUAUAAGAGAAGGAGAAGGCAUGCACACUCCAUGCAUGGGGAGGAGGUCUAUAAGAGAAGGAAAAGGCAUGCACACUCCAUGUAUGGGGAGGAGGUCUAUAAGAGAAGGAUAAGGCGAGCACACUCCAUGAAUGGGGAGGAGGUCUAUAAGAGAAGGAGAAAUCAUGCACACUCCCUGCAUGGGGAGGAGGUCGAUAAGAUAAGGAGAAGGCAUGCACACUCCAUGCAUGGCGAGGAGAUCUAUAAGAGAAGGAGAAGGCAUGGACACUCCAUGCAUGGGGAGAAGGUCCUUGGAGAAGGGAUAAUGACUGGGUUACGUUGUCACCUAGCACUGAAGAAGGAUGUCGACUGGGCUACAUGUUCACCCAGGACUGAAGAAGGAUGUCAGCUGGGCUACCUAUUCACCCAGGACAGAAGAGGGAUGUCAAUUGGGCUACUUAUUCACCCUGGACUAAAGAAGGAUGUCGACUGGGCUACCUGCUCACCCAGGACUAAAGAAGGAAGUCGAUUGGCUACCUGUUCACUCAGGGUCGAAGAAGGAAGUCGACUAGACUACCAAUUCACCCAAGACUAAAGAAGGACGUCGACUGGGCUACCUAUUCAUCAAGGACUGAAAAAGGAUGUCGACUGAGCUAUCUAUUCACCAAGGACUGAAGAAGGACAUCGACUGGGAUACCUUUUCACCCAAGAUUGAAGAAGGAUGUCGACUUGGGCUACCUAUUCACCCAGAACUAAAGAAGGAUGUCGAUUGGGCUACCUGUUCACUCAGGACUGAAGAAAGAAGUCGACUGGGCUACAUAUUCAACCAAGACUGAAGAAGGAUGUCGUCUGGGCUACCUGUUCACCCAGGAUUGAAGAGGGACGUCGACUAGGCUACCAACUCACCCAAGACUAAAGAAGGACAUUGGAUGGGCUGCCAGUUCACUCAGGACCAUAGAAAGAUGUCGACUGGGCUACCCGUUUACUCAAGACUGAAGAAGGACGUUGACUAGGCUAACUGCUCUCCCAGGACUAAAGAAGGACAUCGAAUGGGUUACCUGCUAACCUAGGACUGAAAAAGGAAUGUCCAGGGAUGAUUUUAACAUCUACACUCUGUUGGACGUCUUGAUGAUGAAGGGAGUGCUGAUUGAAGUCACCUGUGGAAGCGAAUGUUACAUCAACCUAUUUAUUGGUCUAAGCAUCCUUCGUGGAUUUUUGCUUGAACUUGGGAAGUGGCGCCGUAGAGGCAGUUUUCACCAACUUGGUUUUUUUAUUUUGGGGUUCUUUUACCCAUGAUCUUUCAGCCAUGUCCACCCUUUUUGUCCAUUUUUACUCACGAUGCCUUUUCGGGUUUUCACUGUGCCCGAUUUUUAUUCACAGAACUCUUUUAGUCACGGUUUCGUGACCAUGCCCGUUCAUCAUUUUUACUCAUACUGUUCCCUUGUUUAGGUAUACACCCUACCCGUUAUUUCUUUUCUUUUUCUUUUUUUUAUUUUUUAUUUUUAUUUUUUUGUGAGGGCAUGUUUAAGGUCAUGCCUCUGGGAGCUGUGCGAAAUAGUUUAACGUCAUGCGAUCUGGAUGUAUGCUAUGGUUUAAGGUCAUAUAGCUAGACUGUAAUAUUGAUGGAUGACAGUCUAUGAAGGCCAUGGAGUGAGUAUGGUGGUGGUUUAACUCACUUAGGGAGAUGGCUAGAGGCUACCCAUGAGAGAUGGGUGAUGUAUGAAAGGUGAGUGGAUGAUGGCCACCUACUAACUUACAACGAGUAUGGAUUAUGGGAUGGUUCGUCAUUUUGCGAGCAUGGGUGAGACUCAUUGGGGAAUGAUGUAGGGUGAUGAACUCAUGGGGAGGAAAUGAAGGUGAUGAGUGCACACUAACAGGUAGGUUAGGAAAGGCAUCCAUGGAAGUGCACGUAAAGGCAUGUGCGCGUAUGUGGGGGCGAGUUUAUGGUCAUGCCUCCUGAACCUGGGCAAAGCAGUUUAUCGUCAUGCGGCCAGCACAUGCGCUAUGGUUUAAGGUCAUAUAGUUGAACCGUGGUUAUGCAGUUUUAAAGUCAUACAACUAGGACCAUGCAGUUUAAGGUCGGGCAACUUGUCCUCCACUAUAGUUUAAAGUCAUAUAGAUCGGACCAUGGUGUUGUUUAGUUUAACAUUGUGUGACCGGGAUGUAGAUUAUGGUUUAAGGUCAUAUAGUUGGAUCGUGGUUAUGCAGUUUUAAAGUCUUACAACUAGGACCAUGCAAUUUAAGGUCAUGCAACUUGACCUCCGCUACAGUUUAAAGUCAUAUAGUUUGGACCCUGGUUAUGCAGUUUAUGGUCGCACAGCUAGGACUAUAGUUAUGUAGUUUAAAGUCAUACAACUUAGGACCAUGCAGUUUAAGGUUGUGCAACGAGACCUCUGCUACAGUUUAAAGUCGUAUAGUUUGAACUGCGGAUUUUAAGGUCGUGCGUCUAGACCAGGGAUGUGCAGUUUAGGGUCAUGCAGCACGGAUCAUAGUUAUGCAGUUUAAAGUCAUAGAACUUAGGACCAUGCAGUUUAAGGUAGUGCAACUAGACAUCCGCUAUAGUUUAAGGUCGUAUAGUUUGGACCACAGACUUUAAAGUCAUGCGUUUAGACCAGGGUCGUACAGUUUAGGGUCAUGCAGCAUGGACCGUUGUGUAGAUCGCCAUGUAGGUGGAGCUCCAUGGGGAAUAGGCCUGUGCACAGUAAUCUGACUCCCUGAGGAUAACAUGGCUAAGACCAUCCACAAACUAAGGGCUAGGUGGAAAUGGUGACCUGAUGAAGGAUGACCAGCAGAAGUGGACCUCGCUAUGGUUUUUAUGGGGGUAAAGUACUCUCUGGGUAUUGGGGAGGUGAGAAUGACCCUAACUUCAUUGAGGAUGAUGGGUCGCAGAAUGGGUGUGACUCCUAGUGGGGGAUGAGGGACAACUCAUGACUCCAUUGGGGAGGUCACAAUUUAGGUGCAACAGCUUGGGUGUAAGUCCACGAGGGAUAGUGGUAGGGCAUACACUGCUUGAAAUACGGUGGGCGCCAUGUGUAACGCUGAUGGUUUGUUGCGAAUUUUCAACUGGCAUUGAGUUCUCACAACGCAACCGACGCUGUUCAGCUGGUGUUGUGAAUGACCCAUGAUAUUAUUUGAAGUCAACUGAUGCUGAGUUAAUCAGUGCUAGGGUCUUUUCGAAGACACACCCUGUGCUAAGUCAACUGAUGCUAAGGUUGUAUUUGGAAACACAACUGGCAUUAAGUCAACUGACGCUAGGGUUGUUUGGAAAUUUACUCGGCACUGCGUCAACCGAUACUGGGGAAGGAUUUGGAAACACGCUCGGUGCUAAGUCAACUGGUGCUAGGGUUGUUUUGGAAAUCCACCCCUUGUUGUGUCAACUAGCGUUGGGGAUGGAUUGAUGAGAGUUACCUCGAGCCUUGUGUAACCUGGCUUGUUGUCGCUUGGCUUCCCUUGGACGCAACUGGAUUUCCCAAUUUGUGAGGGCAUUCGAGGGUAGUGUAGUCCAUAUAAGGGGGUAAAAUCUCGUUUUCCCUUAUUUUCACCAAAGGUAAAAAAAAAAAACUUAAACACAAGUUUUCUUUAACCAUGAGGAGAGAGCGCUCGUUUAUAGUUUCCCACAAGCAGUGGGACUUUAGCAACUGUCUCUAUGAGGAAGGUUCUUCGGCAGGCAGCAGGCUUCCAGUCAAGGGUCCUGUAGAGAAGACCUUCGUUGAACAAACUUCACCAUGGAUUCGGUGAGUUUACGGAGAAAGUAGUAGAGAAAGGAGAGCUUUUCGAGAAUCUUUUCGGGAAUCAGAGGAGGCUUCGACUAUCAUUUUUCUUUUGGGAAGAGCCAGGAAACACAUCAGUGAGUAUUUUCGAAUGUCUUGAGGGCUUUUUAAGGGUUUGUUGAAGUUUUUUGGAAGUUGUGGAAGUUUUUCGGUACUUUCGUGGUGUUGUAGAGGUUUCUGAAGACUCAGGGGAAGUCUGCAGAAGCCUUCCGGUGCGAUUCAUGUGAAAUCCAAGCUAAAACGUUAAGCAAGAAGGUUUUCCAGUGAGUUUUCGACCGUGUGGGAGCAAUUUCGACAGAAGACGAAUGGCCAAAAGAGGUGGGCCAUACUGCUGCAGGAGGUGAACCAUCGUGGGGAAAGUGUACGGUUGCCAGAGGUGAACUGUUGUUCUUGGAAAUCGUACGGUUAUCAGUUGUGCGUGUGUGAGGUGGCAUUGAAGGACGUGGUGACGGCUGUCUGUUGGCAUGACUAAUUUUGAGGUGUCACGUCUAGGAUUCGUGGCACGUAUGAGAGAUUCACUUUCAGCCGGUGCUGGACUUAUACAAACUUAACCAGCGCUGGGGUGUUGGCAUUCAUUCUGCGCAGAGUGCUGAAAGACUCAAUAGACGCUAGUUGUUAGCAUUCAACAAGUGCUGAGUGCUGAAAGACUCAACUGGCGCUAGUUUUUGAUAUUCAACCGGCGCUGGGUAUUGAGAAGCUCAACUGGUGUUAAGUGUUCGACAAACUCACCUGGCGCUAAUCGUUAAUACGCAACUAACGCUGAGCAUUGAGAAGUUCACCCGACGCUAAGUGUUUUGAGAGGAUCAGCCGACGUUAAGUGUUGGAUAGACUCAACCGGCGCUGUUCCAGUGCCUUGGCAACUUUUGGGAGUGAACCACUCAGCCCUUUGUAAUGGCUGGUUCCUCUUACCAAAUCCCUAAUGUGAAGAGGCUCCCCAGGGAAGGGGAAAUCAGCGUUCAUGACUUUAUGGGUGAAGUUUUAUCAAGAGGUGAACCCAUUUGGCUGACCCAGCUGGUGUGUGAACCAUAGUGGCCUCGUAGCGUCACUGUCAUUACUGAUCUUGUAUGCUUUUAAGUGAGGGAGGGCAAUGGUGGCAACAUUUGUAUUGAAGAAGGGAUGGAACUUCUUCAUUGUAUGCAUCGAAACAUAGCUUUAGGGGAGAACUUGCCCACCUUGGGGAAGCGAAUGGUCCAGGCGAAGGGAUUAUUAAGGUGGUCGGCAAAAGGCCUCCGGAUUCAGGGAGAGCACCAUUACCUGAAGGGAUAUGCUUCCUAGACUAUCAAGGUAUUGGCUUCGUAUGGAAGGGAUCUUGAGAGUGCUUCGCUAUUAGUGGCGGUCUAGUGUUCGGGCAGCUACUACAAUCGUUGCUCUAAUACAGCAAAGGUAUUGAUGGAGACAUGGAGCCAUGUAAGUAAUACUUGGCUUCUUGGUCAUGGCGAAGUGGGAAUCUCGUUACUGGAUCUUCACUUUAUUGGAGGUAUCUCGAUGCUCGGGGCUAUGUAUGACGAGUUUUUGCCCUCAAACUCAAUCAUCUUUGGUGGUGUUCACUUAGGGGUGAAGAGCUGCCGGCCAGUCUUCCCAAGAUCUUUGAGGCCUACCAGUCAAUUGUUGGCCGAUCUAGUAAUGGUAGGGUCACCUUUACAGACUAGGUGAAAUUCUUUUGUGGAGAUUAUCUUGAGGGCGAUUUAGGUACCCCAAAGGGGAAAGGGAAUGCAGAUGCAAAGGAGAGGCCUCCUAUAUAUCAGCUCAAGGUUGAUGAUGACCGUGUCUUCUUAGUCGCCUACCUAGCCUUAUUCUUGUGCAAAUUCGUGUUUCUUGGCUGAGGGAACGAAAUUCACCCAGGGGUACUAUAUGUGGCAUGCGACAUGGCCAAAGGGCAUGAGUAUGCCCUUGCUCAUCCAGUCCUGUGUAACAUAUACCAUGGCUUGGGGGCCAUCUCCCGUGGAAAGGCCUAUAAGGGCAAGGAGGGAGAGAACAACACCAUAGGAGGAUAAGCUUUUCCUGGGGACUUUAAAACCCCAGUCCAUGCACAUUACAUGUAUGGGUGGCUAGGGGCUUAUUUCCUUGAGACCUACGUCAAGCAUUCAUGCUCAGGAAAUAAGUUGUGGCCCUUCUUGAUGGAGAUAGCGAACCAGAGGGCCAUCUUCCAUACCCCAAGGGAAGCUCGAGGUCUAUUUGGAAAUGAUUCUUUGAACAUGACGAGAGACCCUUUUCCUGUCAGGAGCUUCACUGACCGUGCUUUCGUCGAUGAGUUGGGGAAAGAGUUUGAUGGUGUCCCAACAAAAAUUAAGGAACUCAUGUUUAUGUUGAGCAUCAGAGGGGGAGUCUUACCUUAUCGAUCUCCACACAGUGCGCAGCUAGAGGGAUAUUUCCCCCACCGCUUCGCCCAUCAACCCAGGCUUGACCAAAGCUGCCCCUUCUCGAUAUUCUUCGAGAAGCACCAGAGCAAGGUGUAAUAGGGGAGGGCAGAGGAGCUUGGAACUUUUCGGGAGUGUUGGCUGCCAGAACAUAUAUGAACUGCUUGCUCCAUGUGUCUUGAAAUGAUAGAAACCAGCAAAUACGUGGUACCUCACUUCGGUAGGAGAGUUCAAACAACCAAGGCAUAUGCGAACUGGUGGAGAAUCACCAGUAAGGGCUAUUGGGAGAAGGAUCACCCUUGGAAAGGAGUGAAUGGAAAUUGGCACCAGGACACCCUGCAAAGAAGGCUGGCAGAUGCUCUUGCUCCUGGUGAAAUAUUCGUCUUCGACUAUCCCUCCAACUGGGGGGGUUUAGGGCUUCCACGUGAGAUAGCAGUUGACGAGGCCUCAUCAGAGUUCCUUGCGAUGAAGGCGAUGAAUGGGAGUGUCUUCGACAAUCUUAUCUUGAUCUUAGAAUGGGAUGAGGGGCGACAGGUCCCUGGUUAUGAGAAGCGCCCACCAUAGGACCUGAACGACCUAAUCGAGAGCGGUCCCACAGUAAAUUGGCUGGAGGGCCUCCUCAAGGGGUUGGAUCUGAGGCAGCAGCUCCUACUCCAACAGGAGGAAAGAAACGAAAGCGCCCGACUACUGCAGACACCCGUGUAGUUUCUUCAGGUAGUGGGCGUACUCGGAGGUGGAGGAGCGACAAGCUCCCUGUGGUGUCAGAACCAGGAGGUAGCCUUUCCUCUUCUGAUCUUUUAAGAACUCUUCUAGUAUCCCCCUUUGUGCUUUCUGAACCAUCUUCUGCUUCUGCUAAAAAGCUUUCUUUUUCUUCAGAAGCCGAGGCAGAUGACUCUGAGAGCUCUGAGCCAAUUGACAUUGCUUCUGAUUGGAAGGGGACUCCGGAUCUUAGGGAGGAGCCCUCCAGUCCAGGGGUAGCUCCUGAGUUAGAGGCGGCUAGGAUGGAGAUUGAGGAGGAUGAAAGCCCUGAAGUAACUACUCCAAAGAGGGGCUCUGAUGUCGAUGUGGCCUCCAUAAAUGAGGAGUUUAGUGCCUUGAUCAAGGCUGGGGCUGUGGCUCAAGAAGAAGAGCCUAGACCAAGAGGUUGCUGGUCCUGUGGUCCCCAGUCACCAAGAUGAAGGGCUUGAGCUCUUUGUGGCCAAAGUUCUGGCUGUUGAAGGUGAGGGCCAAGUGGAGGAAGCCAUUGCUAGGGGUGAGUCGGCUGACGAAGGCCAAAGAGAAGGGGCAAUUCCUAAGCUUGGUGAUGCUAAGGUGACAGUUCAGGAGAGUGAAGAGCAAAGGGAAUAGGUUCCUCUCCAGCCUAUUGAGAUCGAAGUGGAGGUCCUUGUAAAAGAGGGUCAAGACAGCGAGGCUGGCCUCAAAGAGGCUGUGCAGAUUGAGACCGGGGCUGCUUAUGAGCCUGACGGGAAAGAAGCUCUAGACUUUGCCCUUGUUUCAGAGGAACCAGUGGCUCAGAUGGCUAUCACUUCAACAAGCCCGGUCCUUGAGGUUGAGGUGUCUUCCCCAGUGGUGGCCUCAACAGCACCAUCCAGGCUUGUUUUUUGUGGUGUUUCUAGCAUGAUUGAAGGCAUUAUUAGAGCAGGCCUCCAGGGCUUGAGGGAGUUGCCUUUCAAUGAGUUGGGAGAAGGUUUGGCCAGGCUUAGGGAGUUUUCUGGGAUUAAUGCAGUCGAGACGGCGCCAAAGGUGCUUUCUCAUUUUGAUGCAACUCUAAAUGAGUGGGAGAACUGGCCGUUGGGAGUGCUACAUUGCGAGGAAGAAACCAGAAGGGUAGCCUCAUUGGAAGAGUUAAUCUUGUGCAGUGGCGAGAAGAUAGAUGCUUGUAUUGAGAAGAAGGCCCUUAUAGCUGGCCGUCAGCAGGACCUCAAGAAGGAGGCGCAAGGAAGCUUUAAUAGAAUGAUUGAAGUUUGGGAGGCAAUGCAAAUACUGAAGGAAGAAUUCACGGGCCUUGAGAUGGAGAUGGCUCAAAGGAAGGCCAUGGAGGCCUCUAUGGUCACAGAUUUGUCCGAACUGAAUGGCACAAUUGAGUCGAAAACUAUGGUGAUGACAGCAGAGACUCAAACAGUGGCAAAGCAGAAGGAACGUGUUCAAGGCACUGAGACUGCUUCUGAAGCAUGCAGUGCUAUGAUCGAUAGGAUGAUUGAUCGUUUCUGAGCAUGUCAUUCUCCCCUCUUUUUUUUCUUUAGUACCAGUAAAAUUUUUGACUGAUGAAUAAAGCGCUUCUCUCUUUUGAUUGACUUUAUUGUAUGACUUCAUUUUCUCUUUACUUUUGUUACGCUUCAUGUGAUUCUUUUGAAUGCCUCUCGACACUUCCAUUGUCCUAAGAGACUAACACCCUAGGCCUUAUUUUGCCCCAUGGCGGGCUGCCACGGCUUAGAUAGCUUCGAGAUAGGAGGUCAUUGCUUUUUCUCUUUUCAAUGUUUGAUUGGCCAAAGGCUCAUAGUUCAUUUUCCUCAUGAUUUGGUCAGCCUGAUUGCUAUAGAUUGUUCAGUCAGGAGGGGCUUCAACUUCCAUUAGUGGCACGUUUACUUCAAGCUCAUCAUAGCUUUCAGUCUUUGGCAUGAACUCUUUGAGAUUCUUUGAAGCGAUAAGCCAGACUUCCCAUUGGCUUUGGAGGCUACGGACUUCAGUUCUCAAGUUUCUUAGAGGAUCCUGCCCUUGAGGGGAAGGAAGUAGCCCUUGUCCGAACUUCUCUCCUGAGAGGUCAGGGAAAAGUAAAACUUUUGGCUGAACAACGGUCCGAAGCACAUCCUCUAAACUUAUAGCAACCGGAUUUUGAAAGACUUUUCGUAGCGGCUGUCGCGCUGCUUCGGCUUUCAAGAGUACAAUGGGGAUAUGGAGGACUUUCUGAUGCUUUGGCGUAUAGAUAACCCUUAGAGCUGGGAAUUCUACCCCCAUGGCUUGCUCGAUCUCAGGAAUGACUUUUGGUUCAUUUUCUGGCCAAGGUGGCUCAAAAUCGAUGGCAGAGGGUAAGGACUCUUUUUCAAACAAAGAAGGAGUUUCUUAAGGGAUAAUAAUUGGGAUAUUGGAAUGAAGAGUAGUUAGGGGUAAAAUUUUGCCCUGUCUUUCUUCUUCCUUGAACAUGUUGGCUAACAUCCUCCCAACAUCCUCAACAAUUUCAUGAGACAAGGACACCGUCUUUCUUGUAGACUCGUGACUUUCUUCUCUUAGCUUCUGAGGCAAAGCCAGAUCUAUGAAAGACUAUUUUGCAUCUGUAUAGUGAGUUUCAGCCACAGGGAAUGGUCUUUUGUCAGCAUAGACCGUAUCCUGUCUCCCGUCUCAACUAUACUUGAAACAUUGGUGCAAUGUUGAUGGAACGACCCCCUGAUCAUGGAGCCCUGGUCGAUCGAGGAGAAUAUUGUAAGAAGUGUCGGUGUCAAUUAAAUGAAACUGGGCGCAAUGGUUCAACACACCGACCUUAAAACGAAGGCGUAUCGUGCUAGCUAGUUUCUCUCCUAAUUGGUUAAACCCCUGAAUUGUGAUGUGGGUUGGGGUACGGUCUUCGAACCUCAACCCUAAUCAAGUAAGGAUCCUUCUUGGAAUGAGGUUGACCGCCGACCCUCCAUCUAACAUGAUUCGGUUGAUGGGGCAUGCAUGUAAUUCACCAGCAACAAAGAGAGGGUGAUUAUGAAACUUUUCCCCUAGCUGCAGACCGUCUUCUGAAAAUAUGAUUGGCAUAUAUCCGUGUAGAAUUGUUGGGUCUACCUCGAUAAGUUCUACUUCAGUCUCAUACACUUCUGGGUCAGAGAGAGCUUGAACCAAAGUCAUUCGGUACUCCUUUGAAAGCAUGAGGGUGUCGUAGACACUGAGAAGGGCUAGAAGCUUCCGUAGAUGCCCUAUCACAUCAUAUUUUCAGGCUUCACCGUUUAAAGGGGUAGAAGGGAUUCAGAUGAAGAGGGUCAUCAAAAUUGAUUAUUUUGACUGCCUUGAUCACCUCUCUAGUCAAAAUUUGUAGACCUCUAUCAUGUUUAGCCUUGGGGUUUUGACGGACCUCUGGUAAAAACUGUGAUCUAGGUCACGGUUUGUCAACUCUUCUUGCACAGGAGAGAGCUGUCUCCAUCAGGUGUGGUAAAAGAUGAGGGCUAGGAACUAGAGUCAUCUUGGGCUGGGGAGGAUGAAGAACUCGAUCUUCUGUGGGGUCCAUGCUUCGAGCUCUCUUAUGAGCUCCAGAAACAUGACCAAAGUGUUGGGGAUGGUUUAGGAUGGUACUCUUGGGGAAAACCUUCGAGUAUCAAGGAUGAAGGUGCUUGCUCGAUGAAGAAGGAGGGAGUCGAGGAGGUCUAAGUUGAGGACGAGGGAAGGCCUGAGAUGGAGAUGCAUGUGCACCCCUUGAAGAAGGCUCUUGAGGGACCUGGGUGUCCACCCGAGCUCGAGCAGGUGAGCUGGCCUUAAGAGGCCGAGAACUACGAACAGGUGCCUGUAAGAGAACAGGUGCAAGCCUGUCCCUUACAGGGUGUGCUUGCGUGUGCAUAGGAGGAGGACAAGGAGGUCGUCUCCUGUGUACUCGAGUUGGUUCAAUAAUGGCAUUGCCCUGAGUAGUGAGAUGCACAUGAGUGGCAUGUGGAGGAUCUGGCCAUGGAAGGUUUGAUCCUUGACACAGACUCGAGCUAACGAAGGGUUGGCCCGAAGUGUGACUUGAGUGGGUGACCCACGAGUCUUGUGGUGUGUGUAAGGGGUGGAGACUGUGGGGUUUCGACCUCUCACUGUUGAGCCUCUAGGGAUAGAGACCCCUGGUGUAGGAAUGUGGGGGGUAGCCUUAUGGCUACCCACUGAAGCAUUGGGAACUCGCUUGCCUUUUGCAAAAAGGGACUGAGCAGCCUUCCUGCAUACCUCAGAAACAUGGCUGGUAAGUGACUUGCUGAUGGCUGGAUGCUGCUGUGUGGGGCAACAUAAGUGCCGUCCAUGCAAGGUGCCUUGGUGGAACUUCCACCAGAGUGAAGAGAUGGGGAGUAAGGGACCUUCAAGUCCCUCGUCACACUGGUUCAGGUUAAGGCCUAGGAGCUAAACAAGGGGUCUUUGUUGAAGAGGAUGGUCGGGAACAAAGUCAAAGGACCUUGUUCCCUAGGGACACUCUCGAAUAAGGGGAUAAGAAAAUCCCCAAUCCGGAUGAAUGGGUUAUAAACCCAACAACCAUAAGUGAAUGUGAAAAGAUGAUGAAAGAAGAUAAAGAAGAAACUAGCCAAACAAGAACGAUCCGACAAAGGGGUAGAAAUUCCCCAGUGGAGUGGCCAUGCUGGUUAGGUGCCUCAAACUCGCCCUCCAGAUCCCUGGGGGAUUGGGUGGCACGUGUAUUGGGUUUCGGGGAAGACCCAGGAUGUUUGUGAGAUCGCUCUCUCGGGAACCUCGUUCAAAAAUAAGGGCAGGUAUUACCAACCGGUGAGAGACGAAUUUAAAAGGUGCGUUCGGGACUUACUCGGGCUGACUCACAUGGGCACCCUCUUAGAUCACGAAGGAAGACCCCCAAUAAUAAAAUUGGUUUGGAAUCGCCUCCCUUGGCUUGUAUUCUUCUUAUUUUUUGCUUUUCUGCAAUCACAAAUAUAUAUGGCAAAGGUUACGUGACAGAUGGGUCAGACCUCACCCUUUUCCUCUCUAAUGAGCGUACACAAGCAUGCGUAUUCAAGAAGAAGAAAGAAAGAUGGGGGGAGAGAAGAAUUCAACCAAGCGAGAUGAUCAGAGCAAUGACUAAGCUAAUGGAUAUUUGGCCUAAUGUGGUAGCAAAACGUGCUCAGUAACUAAGACCGGCUCACGGGAUCACUACUAGAAUUUAUUACCGAUAUCGACUAGCUAGGCACGAUGAUCGGUUUGUCGUGGUAGUAAAGCGGGCCAAGUGCUCCUGGCACAACAACAUUAUGGUUAGACGACAGAACUACCAUGAGAGGCUAACCUCCAUCCCUUUUAGUUGAACAAAAGAGUAACAAAGUAGGGGUUAAAAAGAAGGGAACCAUCAUAAGGAGAGAGAAGGAAGAAAGGAGAGAGAAGAAGGGAGAGAAGAUGCAAUCAGUGCUAAACAAUGCCGACUGUAUCAGAAGAUAAGAAAGAGAGGCAAAGAACCAACUGAUGUUAGGCCUCGCCAACUGAUAGAAGAAGAGAGAGAAAGCCAACUAGUGAUAGGUCUCGCCAGUUGACAAAAGAAGAGAGAGAAGGCCAAUCGACGCUAGGUCUCACCAGUUGAUAGAAUUGCCCCUGCCUAACAAUGAGUGGAAUUUCAGAACAGUCCCUGCUGCUGCCCAAGAACUUGUGUGAUCUUCCAUGGCGAAACCGAAGUUGUUCUGAUGCCCAUUUGAUUGAAAGAAUAUUUUUUUCUUAUAGGGCUCGGCAUGGCGAUCAUUUUUAUACCAACUUCGAGUAAUGAAUCUUGUUUUUGAGCCAUGAUCAUGAGACUUGAAUCUUAGAUGAAUAUUGAAAACUUCGAAUCGAUUGUGCACUUGUUCCUUGAUGUUUCCUUGUGACUUCUUCAUUGAAUCACACUGAGCAUGCCAUCACGAUUAAUGUUGUCUGGAUGAAGAUUUUUUCAUCUAGAGUUUUUCUUCUGGAAUCCUGGAAUCUAGUUGCUGAAAUUUACAGUAGUUUUGAUGCCUACGUGUGUGUGAAAUCUUACCAUUCAUUGUACGCGAGGUUCAGGCCAGAGAUAGCCCCGGACCUCAUGCACAUAAUGCAAUUAGUUUCAUGCCGAUCAGGUAUGCGAGCGUCAUGAUCUGGCUGCUUGAACGAGGCGUGCUGCUGCUGAAUUUAGUUUUUCUCUUUGCUCGGGCGUCGUUACGGGGCAUACCACAUAUAGAAUUGUUGAUCUUGAUGAGACGAACAUGCCACCAAAUUUGGGAGUGAUCCGACUUGGCACAAAUAAGAUAUAGGUGCCAAAAGUGACUUCCCAUGACUGUAAAAACAAACACUUUAAUGGUUUUUUGAUGUAGUGAGGCCACACGAGAAUAAUGUGCUGCCUACCCGUUUUCAGUAUUUCACCAAUAACUUUGUCUUGGAGUGCUCAAUUAAGCCGAAACUUGACCCAUAGGGGUUUUCAACCGUAUCAGAUCUAUUGACGCAGGUCUUACAGCUGUUUAACGCAUCAAAAGUAUGACUCUAGUUACAGGGUCCAUUUUAGGGUGCUAGAGAUCGAUUUCGCUGAAAUUGUUUCUUUGUGUUCAUUGCCUUAGACAUGUCUAAUAGUGAUGAAACAUGACAGGCGGUCUUUUGAAAUGCUGAUAAAGAUCUUGACCAAUUUUGUGGCCAAUAUGAGACUAUCAAGAAUUUCCACUGUUUUGUAGGCUUUAUUGACCUAUUUCCUACUUAUUCCUAAUCUAGGAUCAAGGUGUUGAAAAAUACAUUCAAAGAGAUUGCCCCACCAAUGUUGUGCUUCAAGAGAAACGAGAAGGACAAUCAUUCGAAAAAUUUCCUUCGACUUUUACUUUUUUUCUUUCUAGUCACAGGACCACUUGAACAUCAAGGAGAUUCACGUAAUGGUGUAAGUGGGCUGCUCAGAAGUAAGGAUGCAUUGUUCACAGGUCCAUCCAUGGAGAAUUUAGGGGAAGAAGAUAAUUUUUUGAGGGAUUUUGUCGAAGUCCUCACCCUCGUGCAGACUGUUAGUGAUUCUGAAGCUAAGGACUUUGUAUGGACCUCGUCAGUCAGAAUCAGGCCUGUCUAGCAAUUGAAUGCCAUGUUGAAGGGCAUUGUUCCCAUUUGGUCUGGGUUUGUUUGUUUGGUUUUGGUCGACAUGAUUUGCUACUACACCAGAUUUUCUUUUGAUGAUCAAAGUACCAUUGUAGGCCUCGUCUACAGAGUCCAGUCGGGGGUAAGUUCUAUUAGUCGAUCCCGAAGGUCUGGUCGUGCCGGCUAGAUGAGCUGACGUCUCUGGUAUUUCCCCAUGGCUUUGUCACUUUCUUGGCUUUGUAAUGUUUAUUUCUAGAGUGUAUUUGUGACAUCUUGGGAAUAAUGUUCUUCCUCAUGAGACUUGUCUUGUCAUCUUGGCGAGUCUUCUGUCUUUCUAGUCCUUUUGCAAAUGGACUCAAUCUGUCAAAAUCUGUUCCUUGAAGCUCCUAUUUUUGGAUUCCUAGCAUAGUGUUACCAGGGAUUUUCUUCUUUUGAGUGAGGGCUGAAGCCACCUAUUGAGGCGAAUGCUGCAUCAGCCUGUUUAUUGGUCCAAACAUCAUUUGCAGAUUUUCACUUGAACUUAGGAAGCGACGCUGUAGAGAUGGUUUUCACAAACUUUUUUUUAUUUUAGGGCUCUUUUACCCAUAAAUUUUAGGCUAUGUCCACCCUUUUCAUCCAUUUUUACUCACGAUGCCCUUUCGGGUUUUCACCGUGCUCGUUUUUAUUCACAGAACUCUUUUACUCAUGGUUUCGUGACCAUGCCCGCCCGUCAUUUUUACUCAUAGAGUUCCCUUGUUAAGGUAUAUACUAUGCCCGUUACUUCAUGAUUUUAUUUUGUGAGGGCUUGUUUUAAGGUCAUGCCUUCAGGAUCUGUGUGAAACAGUUUAACGUUAUACGGUCAGGAUGUGCACUACGGUUUAAGGUCAUACAGCUGGACUAUGAUGGUAAUGAAUGGCAGUCCUUGGAGGCCAUAAAGUGAGUAAUGGUGGUGGUUUGACUCACUUGGGGAAUUGGCAUUAGGCUACCUAUGAAAGAUGGACAGUGGGUUUGACCCACUGUCCCUCAUCCCCAGUGGAGUUGCACCCAGGCUGUUGCACCCAAGACGUGACCUAUCAUCCCCAAUGGAGUCAGGAGCAGGCCACUAUCCGUCAUCCCCCAAUAGGAGUCACACCCAUAUUGCAGCCCACUAUCCCCCGCGGAGUUAGGGUCAUUCCUACUACUUCAAUUCCUGGAGGGUCUAUUUUGCACCUAGCUAUCUUAUCCCCAGGAAGUCGGGUUACCUAUUCUCCAUAGAGUCUCAUCUUUCACCCCAGAGAGUAUGCUUACCACCCCUAAGCCCUAAUGAAGUCCGCUUUUGUUAGCCGUCCUUCAUCAGGGUACCAUUUCCAUCUGAGCCCUCAGUUUGUGAAUGGUAUUAACCAUUUUAUCCUCAGGGAGCUGGAUUACUACCCACAUACCUAUUCCCCAUGGAGCUUCACUUACAUGGUGGCCCAAUCACGGUCCGUGCUGCACGACCUUAAACUACACAACUUUGAUCCAAACUAUAUGACCUUAAACUAUAGCAGAGGUCUAGUUCCAUGACCUUAAACUGCACAGUCCAUGCUGCAUAACCCUAAACUGCACAACCUUGGUCUAGCGCCUAACCUUAAACUGCACGGUAUGUGCUGUAUGACCCUAAACUGCACAGCCUUGGUCAAGUUGCACGGCCCCAAAACUUCAUGGUCCAAACUAUAUGACCUUAAACUGUAGCGGAAGUCUAGUUGCACAACCUUACACUGCACGGUCCUAGUUGUAUGACUUUAAUCUGCAUAACCAUGGUCCAGUUGAUGGCCUUAAACCAUAGUGCACGUUCUGGCCAUAUGAUAAUAAACUUCUUUUCACAGGUCCCAGAGGUAUAACCUUUUAAAAACUUGCCCCCACAUACACGCACAUGUCUUUACAUGCACUUUUACGUAUGCCGUCCCUAACCUACCUGUUAGUGUGUGCGUGCCACCUUCAUUACCUCCUCAGUGUGUCCAUUCACCACAUCACUAUACCUCAUUUCCCAGUGAGUCUCAAUCGUGCAGCACGGACCGUGAUUGGGCCGCCAUGUAAGUGAAGCUCCAUGGGGAAUAGGUAUGUGGGUAGUAAUCCAGCUCCCUGAGGAUAAAAUGGUUAAUACCAUUCACAAACUGAGGGCUCAGAUGGAAAUGGUACCCUGAUGAAGGACGGCUAACAAAAGCGGACUUCAUUAGGGCUUAGGGGUGGUAAGCAUACUCUCUGGGGUGAAAGAUGAGACUCUAUGGAGAAUAGGUAACCCGACUUCCUGGGGAUAAGAUAGCUAGGUGCAAAAUAGACCCUCCAGGAAUUGAAGUAGUAGGAAUGACCCUAACUCCGCGGGGGAUAGUGGGCUGCAAUAUGGGUGUGACUCCUAUUGGGGGAUGACGGACAGUGGCCUGCUCCUGACUCCAUUGGGGAUGAUAGGUCACGUCUUGGGUGCAACAGCCUGGGUGCAACUCCACUGGGGAUGAGGAACAGUGGCCUGCUCUUAACUCCAUUGGGGAUGAUGGGUCAUGACUUGGGUGCAAAUCCACUAGGAAUAGUGGUAGGAUGAACAAGGCUUUAGUCUGGAGUACGUGACAAUAGGUUGUUUGAAAUACAGCUGGUGUCAGGUGUAGCGCUAAUGGUUUCUUGUGAGUGUUCAAACAGCGCUGAGUUCUCAAAAACACAACCAGCACUGGGUUGUUAAAAACUCAGUUGGAGCUAUGAAUGACCCGUGACAUUAUUUGAAAACAAUUGGUGCUAAGUUAACCGACGCUAGGGUCGUUUCAAAACUCACUCGGUGCCAAGUCAACCGACGCUAGGGUUGUUUGAAAUUGGCCCGACGUCAAGUCAACGAGCACUAAGGUUGUUUGAAAUUCACCCGAUGCCAGGCAUGGAUCGAUGAGAGUUACCUCGGGCCUCACAUCAAAGCCCAACCUGGCUCAUCGUCGCUUGGCUUCCCUUGGACGUGACUGGAAUUCCCAAUUUGUUAGGGGCAUUUGAGGGUUGUGUGGUCUAUAUAAGGGGGUAAAAUCCCAUUUUCCCUCACUCUUCACCAAGGGUAAAAAAUCUUAAGCGAAAAUUUUCUUAACAGUGAGGAGAGGGUGUUCAGUUCAAGUUCCAGCAAGCAGCGGGACUCUAGUAAAGGUUUUGCAGGGAAGGCCUUCGACGAGCAGGCUUCGCUCAGAAUUUCAUGAAGUUACAGAGAUAGAUUUUUAGAACAAUGGACUUUUCGGUGGAGGGAAGAGCUCCGGCCUUGGUAUCUUUGAGGGUAGAAGAGGUGGGAAGUUGGACUUUGAGCAUUUUCGCACGUCUUGAGAGUUUUUCAAGGAGUUUUGAGGGGUUGCUCGAGGGUUGUGGUAACUUUUUGAUGUUGUUAGUGAUGUUUGCAAAGGUUCCCGAGAACUUAUGGGAAGUUUGCAGAAGUUGUUGGUGAGGUUUUGGUGACGUCCAGGUAAAAAAAGCAGGCAAGAAAGUUUUUCAAUGGGUUUUAGACCGUUAGAAGUAGUUUCGGUGGGAGAUGAACGGUCACUGAAGGUGAACUUUCGUGGGAAGCAUAAGGUUGUAGGAGGUGAACCGUCGUGGGAGGUGAACCAUCGCAAGGAAGGUGUACGGUUGUAGGAGGCUAACCAUCGCGAGAGGUGAACCGUCGCAGGGAAGGUGUAUCAUUGCAGGAGAUGAACGUUGUGGGAGGUAAACCGUUGCAGGGAAGGUGUACGGUUACCUAUGGAAAUCGUAGGACCAUUAAGGAGGUAAGAGACAUAGUGACGGUUGGCACUCUCUCAUGUGUCAGGUGGCGCCAAAGGACAUUGACAUGGUUGUCAGGCGACACAGCUGAGUUCAAGGUGUCACGACUAGGAUUCGUGGCACGUGUGAGAGAUUCGAUCCAGCCAGCACUGGCCUUUGAAAAGCUUAACUGGCACUGGUUAUUAGCAAUCUCAACCAGCGGUGAGUGUUGACAGACUCAAUUAGCGCUAAUCGUUGGCAUACAACCGGCGCUGAGCGUUUGACAAGAUCAACCGGCAUUGAGUGUUAACGCACUCAACCGACGCUAGGUAUUAGGAAACCUAACUGGUGCUAAUUAUUGGCAAACUCAGCCGGCAUUGAUCCAAUGUUUUAGCAACAUUUGGGAGUAAACCACUAAGCCAUUUAAAAUGGUUGGUUCUUCUUACCAAGUCCCUGAUGUGAAGAGGCUUCCAAGGGAGGAGAAGUCGGCGCCUGUAAUUUUACAGGUGAGGUUUUAUCAAGGGGUGGGCCCAUUUGGCUGACCCUGCCAGUAUGCGAACUCGAGUGGCCCCUCAGUGUCGCUUUCAUUACUGCCUCUGUAUGUUUUGAAGUAUGCGAGGGCAAUGACAACAACAUCAGUACUGAAGAAGGGAUGACACUCCUUCAUUGCAUGCAUAGGAACAUAGCUUCUGCGGAGAACUUGCCUACCUUAGGGAAGCGAAUGGUACAGGCAAAGGGACUACUAACGUGGUCAACAAAAGGCCUUCAGAUUCAGGGGGAGCACCAAUACUUGAAGGGAUACACUUCCUGAACUGCCAAGGUAUUGGCGUCAUACAAAAAAGCACUCUUGAACAUGCUUCACUAUUGGCAGCAGUCCGGUGUUUGAGUAGCUACUAUGACUGUUGCUCCAAUACAGUAAAGGUAUUGCUAGAGACAUGGAGCCAUGUUAAUAAUACCUGGCUUCUUGAGCAUGAAGAAGUGGGAAUCUCUUUAUUAGAUCUUCAUUUUAUUGGAGGUCAUUGGGGCUAUGUAUGACAAUUUCGUGCCACGAACUCGGUCAUCUUUGGUGGUGCUAACUUGGGAGAUGAAGAGCCACCUGCUAGUCUUCAAAAGAUUUUCGAGGCCUACUAGUAGAUUGUCGGCAAGUCCAGCAAUGGCAAGGUUACCUUCACGGAGUGGGUGAAAUUCUUUUAUGGGGAUUAUCUUGAAGGUGGUCAAGGCAACCCGAAAGGGAAAGGGAAGGCAGUUGCAAAGGAGAUGCCUCCCAUUUAUCAACUCGAGACCGAUGAUGACAGUGUCUUCUUGGCCUCAUAUUUGGCCUUAUUUUUUUUGCAAAUUCUUGCUUCAUGGCUGGGGGGGCGACAUUCCUCCAGGCAUAUUGUAUGUGGCCUGUGACAUAGCCAGAGGGCGUGAGAAUGCCCUUGCUUAGCCUGUCUUAUGCAACGUGUGCCAUGGCUUGGGGGCUAUCUCCCGUGGAAAGGCCUUCAAGGGAAAGGAGGGAGGGAAUUUCAUUAUAGGAGGAGAGGCUUUUCCCGAGGAUUUUAAAACUCCAUUCCUUGUGCAUUACGUAUACGGGUAGCUAGGGGCUUACUUCUCUGACACCUACAUCAAGCAUCAGUGCUCGGGAGAUAAACUGCGGCCCUUCUUGAUGAGGAUUGCCAACCAGAGGGCUAUCUUCCAUAACACAAGGGAGGCUCGGAUUCUAUUUGGGAAUGAUUCUUGGAACAUGAGGCGGGUCCCCUUUUCGAUCGGGAACUUCACCAAUUGUGCUUUCAUUGAUGAGUUGGGGAAGGAGCUAAACAGUGCUCCAACAACCAUUAAGGAACUCAUGUUCAUUCUGAGCAUCAGAGGGGGAGUCGUACCCUAUCGGACUCCGCACAGUGCCAGGUUAGAGAGGUAUUUCCCUCACCGAUUCGCCCGUCAGCACGGGCUUGAUCAAGGCUGCCCCUUAUCAGUGUUUUUUGAAAAGCACCAGAGUAAGGUGAAUAAAGGGAAGAAGGAAGAGUUUGGAACUUUUUGUGAGUGCUGACUGUUCGAGCAUAUACAGACCGCUUGGUCCAUGUGUCUAGAGAUGACAAAAACUAGCAAAUAUGUGUUCCUUCACUUCGGCAGGAGGGUCCGCACGACCAAGGCAUAUGUGAACUGGUGGAGAAUCACCAACAAGGGAUAUUGGGAUAAAGAUCACCCUUGGAAAGGGGUGAAUGGUAACUGGUACCAGGAUAUCAGGCAAAGGAGACUAGUAGAUGUUUCUGCUCCUGGUGCAGUAUUUAUCCUGGAUUAUCCCUCUAACUGGCGGGCCUUAGGGCUUCUGCAAGAGAUAGCAGCUGAUGAUGCCUCAUUAGAAUUUAUUGCAAUGAAGACAAGGACUGGGAGUGUCUUCGACAAUCUGAGUUCCAUCUUCUACUGGGAUGAGGGGCGACAAGUCCCUCGUUAUGAGAAGCGUCCCCACAGGACUUGAACUCCCUCAUCGUGAGUGGUCCCCAUAGUAAAUUGGCUGGAGGGCCUUCUCAGGGAGGUGGAUCUGAAACGACUAGUCCCACUUCGACUGGGGGGAAGAAAAGAAAGUGCUCGACUGCUGUCGAUACCCGUGCACCGCUUCAGUUAGUGGGUAUAUUUGGAGGCACAAGAGUGUCAAGCUUCCUAUGGUGUCAGAAUCAGAAGGUAGCUCUUCCUCUUCUGUUCGUUUAAGAACUAUUCCGGCAUCAACUUCGACGCUCUCUGGACCAUCUUCCGCUUCUUCUGAAUUGGUUUCUUUUUCUUCAGAAACUGAGGUGGAUGACUCCAGCUGUUCUGGCCCCAUUGUCAUUGCUUCUGAUCGGGAGAUGACUCCGGAUCUUGCGGAGAUGCCCUUAAUUCCAGAGGAUAGUUCUUGAAUCAAGGGUGGCUCGGAUAGAGACUGAUGAGGAUGAAAUCCCUAAACCAACUGCUCCAGAUAGGGGCUCUGAUGUUGAUGUGGUCUCCAUGCGUCAGGAGCUUAGUGCCCCGACUGAGGUAGGGGCUAUGACUCAAGGAGAACAGCCUGAAGUUGAUGACGUGCUUGAGCACUAAGAGGUUGCUGCCCCCGUGGACAUAGGUCGUGAAGAUGAGGGAGUUGAACUCUUCGUGACCGAGGUUCUUGCUGUUGAAGGUGGAAGCCAAAUGGAAGAAACCCUGGCUAGAGAUGAAUUGGCCGGUGAAGGUUAAAGAGAAGAGGCAGAUCCUGAACUUAGUAAUGCUGAGGCGAUAGUUCAGGAGGAUGAAGAGCAAGUAGAGGUCCCCAUAAGGGAGGGUCAAGAUAGCAAGACUGGCAUUGAGGAACCUAGCCAGGUUGAGGCUGGGGCUUCCUAUGGGACAAAGAGCUAUUGACUUUGACCUAAUUUUAGAGGAGUCAGUUGCUCACAUGACUAUCACUUCAACCAACCCGGUCCUUGAGGUCGAGGUUUCCUCAGCAGUAGUGGUCUCAACACCACCAUCUAGGCUUGUUUUUAGUGGUGUUUCUAGCAUGAUUGCAAGCAUGCUUAGAGCGGGCCUUCAGGGCUUGAGGGAGCUACCUUUCAAUGAGUUGGGUGAAGCUUUAGCAAAGCUGAGGGAGUUCCUUGCGACUACUGCGGUUGGGAGUGCACCAGAGGUGCCUUCCCUUUUUGAUGCAACUCUAAACGAGUUGAAGAGUUGGCGGCUGGGAGUGCUACAUCAUGAGGAAGAAACUAGGAGGGUAGCCUCUUUGGAGGAGUUAAUCUUGUGCAAUCGCGAGAAGAUAAAUGCUUGCAUUGAGAAGAAGGCCAUGAUAACUAGCCGUCAGCAGGUUCUCAAGAGGGAGGUGCAAGGAAGCUUCAAGAAAAUGAUUGAAAACCGAGAGGAGAUGCGAAUAUUAAAGCAGAAAUUCGUGAGCCUUGAGACAAAUAUGGUUCGGAGGAGGGCCAUGGAGGCUUCAUUGGUCGAAGAUUUGUCCAAACUCAAUUGCACAAUUGAGUCGGAAACCAUGGCAAUGGCAGAGGAGACUCGAACUGUGGAAAAACUGAAGAAGCAUGUCCAGGGCAUCGAGACUUCUCCUAUAGCGUGCAGCGUAGAGAUCAAUAAGAUGAUUGAACAUUUCUGAACAUGUAAUUUCCCUUUGCCAGUACUUGUAAAAGAUUUAACUGAUGAAUAAAUUGCCUCUCUCUUUUGAUUGACUUUGCUGCAUGAUUUGCACCUCAUGUGAUUUCCAUCUUCUUUUUUUUCAAUGCCUCUUGACACUUUUAUUGCCGUAAGAGGCUAAUACCCUAGGCCUUGUUCAGCCCAAUGAUGGGCUCCCACGGCUUGGAUAGUUUCGAAAUGAGGAGUCAUUGCUUUUUCUUCCCUGAAUGUCUGAUUGACCAAGGGCUCAUAGUUCAUUUUCCUCAUGAUUUGGUGAGCCUGGUUGCUAUAGAUAGUCCAGUCAGGAGGGGCCUUAGCUAUUAGUGGCGCAUUUACCUCAAGCUCAUCAUAGCUUUUAGUCUCGGGCACAAACUCCUUGAGAUGUUUUGAAGUGAUACGCACGACCUCUAAUUGACUCUGGAGACUGCAAACUUUAGUUCUUAAGUUUGCUAGGAGAUCCUAAUCUUGAGUAGGAGAAAGUUGCUCUUUAUUGAACUGCUCUCCUCUUGAGAGCUCAGGGAAAAGUAGAACUUUCAGCUGGUCACCAGUCUGAGGGGCAUCCUCUAUACUUAUAGCAACCGGAUUUUGAAAAAUAUUUCGCGGUGGUUGGUGUGCUGCUUCAGCUUUCAAGAGCGCAAUGGGGAUAUGCAAGACUUUCUACUUGUCCGGCGUAUAGGUAAUCUUGGGAGACAAGAUUUCUAUCCCCAUGGAUUCCUCAAUCUCAGGAAUGACCUCUGCUUCAUCUUCCAGCCAAGGUGGCUCAGAACCUGAGGCAGAGGGUGAAGACUCCUUCUCGAGCGAAGAAGGAGUUUCUUGAGGGAUGAUGGUUGAUAUGUUCGAAUGAAGAGUGGUUAGGGGUAAAAUUCUGCCCUACCUUUCUUCCUCUUUGAACAUGUUCACCAACGUCCUCCCAACAUUCUCAACAUCUUCAUGAGACAAGGAUGCAGUCUUGCUUGUAGACUUGUGACCUCUAUCGUUUGGCUUCUGGGGCGAGGCCAAAUCUGUGAAGUAAUAUUUAGCAUCGGCAUAGUGAGUUUCGGCCACAGGGAACAAUAUUUUGUCAGCAUAGAUCAUAUGCAGUCUCCUGUCUCGGCUAUACUUGAAACAUUGCUGUAAUGUCGAUGGAACCACCCCCUGGUCAUGGAGCCAUGGCCGAUCGAGGAGGAUAUUGUAAGAAGCGUCGAUGUCGAUUACAGGAAACUGGGUAUAAUAGUUCAUCUCACUGAUCUUAAAAUGAAGGCAUACCAUGCCAACUAGCUUCUCUCCUGAUUGGUUGAAUCCUUGAACUGUGAUGUGGGUCGGGGUAAUCUCCAGACCCCAAUCCUAAUUGAGUAAGGAUCCUCCUUGGAAUGAGGUUGACUGUCGAACCUCCAUCUAACAUAAUUCGGUUGAUGGGGCAUUCAUGUAAUUUGCCAGUAGCGAAGAGAGGGCGAUUAUGAAACUUUUCCCCUAGCUGCAGAUCGUCCUCUGAAAAGGUGAUUGGCAUACAUCGUUGUAGAAUCGUCGGGUCUACCUCAAUGGCUACUUUGGUUUCGUACACUUAUGGGUUAGAGAGAGCUUGAACCAAAGUCAUCCGAUAAUCCUUUUAGAGCAUGAGGGCAUCGUAGACACUGAGAAGAUCUGAAAGUUUCCGUAGAUGCCCUAUCACAUCAUAUUUCACCUUUUCUUGAUCAAGGCCUUCUGCUCCUGGUCCUACGACUGAUUUGGGUGGUAUGUUGGGUUGAGGAGCAGGUUUGGGUAGAAAAGGUUUAUUUUGGCCAGCAGGCUGACUUGAUUGCACAGCGGGCUUGGUUUGAGUGAUGGAAGUUUGAGGUUUUCAAAGAGACUGAGUGUAUGGGAUCAAAGGGGUCUCAGGGAAUUGGAGAAUAGGUGGAUUGUUUGAAGUACUGGGAUUAGGACGGAGCCCAAGGAGCUGUAAGAUAGUCAUACUAGUCUUUGGAUUAGGGGGCAGUGGCAAACUGGGGAACUUUGAGGUGCCCGACUUCAACGGUGGAGGCUGCAGGCUCUUCCCUGAUCUGAGAUUUAUCUUCCCCGUGGUGAGUAUUGCUCCUGAAAUGUGCAUCAUGUGGUAGAUCCUUGAGAAUAAGAGCCUAUUUGAUUGUCUCUGUCUUCGUUUGAAGUCAGGCUCAGGGGGCCACUGGGGUUCCUUUAGCUUUGGCUUCUUGUGCUUGUUUGAAGAAGGUGGCUCUACCUUGGCUUUAGCUGCCAGGGCAUCGACAACUGUUAGGAAUCCUGCUUCCUGUGCCAGGAUCUUUCUCAAUCAUUUCCGCUGCGUUCUGCUUAUAUUGAUUCCUUCAAAUUCUCGAUCGAGAGCAUCGAAGUCUGGGCAUAUUAAGGUUGUACCUACAGAGGACGUAGAAGCGGGAGAAUGAGAAGCAGGAGAAGAAGGAGGAGAAGGGCCUAGAAGGUGGGGGACUUUUAAGGUCGUUCCCCUCAUCAGACCAAUUUGGGCAACUUUUUACGUCGUCACCAGGGUUCGACAGGUGCAAGGGGUCUUUUAGGUCUUUCCCUUACUUAGACCGUUAGGGAGUGCUUUUAACGUCGUCACCCUCAUUGGACAUAUUUGAGUGGGAGAUGGCACAUGAAUGUCUUCUUUAAAGGAUGAAGAAGGAAGAAGGAUCGUGUCAGGGAUGAAGUCCAGUAAAGUUGGCAAUAGAGGAAGGGCCCUUAGAAAUUCCUGCUCAACUGUGGGUUGAGUGGUCUUGUUUCUUCGACGAGCAGCCCUUGGUGCCCGUCUCUUUCUAGUUUUCUGAGGUGAUAUGUGAUUCGUCUCGCUGGGCUCGCGAACAGCCCUAGCUUAGCGAACUGCUUCUCGCCUUAAAGACUUGAGUCUGCUUUGGCCAUGGUAGACUAUCCAUGGCUGGGGAAUCGAGGGUUCCGUAGAAUCUGAGUUAUUGAUAGGGUUGGGAGAUCUUCUUGCCCCGAUGGAGAAGUAACUUGGGGAUCACUUACAGGGAGAUUGUAAAACUCCUAACACUCCCACAUUUUCUUUGUGAAUAUGUCAAGGAAACUUGUGCAUUCUGACAGGUAAUGGCCUUUUAUCUGAUGGUACGAGCACUAAUGAUCUUCAGUCCCCUUAGCAAGACGACGGGGUUGCCUUGCUUGGUUCAGUGUGACUAUGCCUUCCUAAAGUAUUAUAAUGAAGAAGGCAUAAAGGAUACCGGGCAUUUUGUCUUCCGCUUGGAUAGUUGCGACAUGAGAGGUCUCGGCUGCCCCGAAGACCUUCUCUAAGUCUUCAAGAUUUAUCUGACCCUUUUGAAUCAGGGCCUCGAUAAUAUCCUUCAACGUGUAGCAGUCAUCUGUAGGAUGAUUGAUCCUACGAUGGUAGGCACAAUAAUUUUCCCCAAUGUCAAGGCCAGAUUGCUUAAGGAAUUUGGUUCAUGGAAGCUGGAUCAUAUGUAGUUCCAAUAAUAAUCGGAACAACAUAGGGACCCAUUCCUUCUCGAAGGGGUAGACCUUGUUCCUAUGCUUGGUGAAAUAAUCACCUCGAUCAAGGUUGAUUGGUGGGGCUACCCGAUUGUACGACUGUUGUUACUUGCCAGCCUGGGGUGUUACCUUUGUUGUGCUUACCCCUUUAGAGAGGUCCAAAGUUUGGGAGGGAGACUUCUUUGAAUCAGUGACCAUGACGGCAUUGAUUACCCCUUUUUGUUGGCUUCCCCGUGCAUUAUUCUGAGAGUUACCAUUGCCCCGAUUGUUUGCUGAACCUAUAGAUGGUUGUCAUGCCCCACCAUGGUGGUGUGAUAAACUUUCUAUGCUGAUUGAUUUAGAGAUCAACUUUGACAUGGAGGUUGGAUUAGAGGCCUCAACAUGUAGAGCGAUCUCGGGUCGCAUGAUCUGCACGCAAGUUUGGACUACUUCCUUCUCAUGCAAAGGAUUAGGAUGGCGGGAAUCCAAGUUUCUUCAUCUUGAUAUGAACUGAUCCACGGGCUCAUCGGGUCUUGAGUCAAGGUGAGAAGUUCGAUGGUUUCAACCUCUCUCUUGACCUCAUAUAAGCGUAGAUAGAACAAUUUCUCCAUCUCCUCCCAUGUAUGGACUUAGUUUGGAGGAAGUCGAGCAUACGAUUGAAAUGCUAGGCCAUCAAGGGUCUCAACGAAUUGUCAGAGAAGAAGUCUCCUGUUAGCCGUUGUUUCUCGCCAUGUUGCCUGGAAGUUGGCAAUAUGCUUGUUUGGGGUUGUGGUUCAGUCGAAUAAAGGAAACUUCCCUUUCUUAUAAUCUGAGGGAAAUGGAACCUGAUCAAUAUACGAGGGGUAUGGCCUUUAAUAAGUCGUCACGCCCUGUAUCCUCGAUAUUUUUCUAUUCUUUAGGCUAUGGGUGACCAUAGCAUCAAUGUCUAUCUGAGAAACGGGAUGAGGGACAGAAUUGUCCUGUGAGGUAGAGGGAGGGGGCUGCCGUGGAGAUGCACCAUCAGAGUGAUGGGAAUUGACCUUAUGGUUAGCUAACUGGCAUGCGACGUCGAUACGAUCGAUAUUUUCCAUCAUCGUGCCUACCAUAUCCUCAAACUUGUUCAUGCACUCUUCCUGCGCAUCACCGGGCUCGCUCACAACCAUUAUGUUGACCGUUUCUCUAUGGAGGUCGACGUUAGUGGCAACUGAGGGAUGGCGAACUUUACGGGUCGUACUUGGUAGGUCAGCAGUUAGUAGGGGGCCAGCAUACCCUGACUAAACUUGACUCUUGUAUGCUGAUUGCGUUUGGACCCGUUCUCUUGGAACUGUGGCUGCUGAGUGGUUGGGUCUUCUUCUACAACAGUAACAACAACACAGGGCUCAUGGAGCUUUACUUCAGGCUUUAUCAUCUGAAGGGGGUAGAAGGGAUUCAGGUGAAGAGGGUCGUCAGAAUUGGUUGUUUUGAUUGCCUUGGUCACCUCCCUAGUCAAAAUUUGCAGACCUAUGUCAUGUUUAGCUUUGGGGUUCUGAUGGACCUCGCGUCAAAACUGCGAUCUAGGAGUCAUCUUGGACCAGGGACGAUGAAGGACUCGAUCUUCCAUCAGGUCAAUGCCUUGAGCUCUCUUGUGGGCUCUGGAGACAUGACCAAAGUGAUGGGGCUGGUUCAGGAUGGUAGUCUUAGGGAAAACCUUCGAGUACCGAGGCUGAAGGUGCUUGAUAGAUGAAGGCAAAGUGGACCGGGGCAAGAUUGACUCAUAAGGAGGUCUGAGUCGAGGGCGAGAGGGCGUCUGUGAUGGUGAUGCAUGUGCACCCAUUGAAGAAAGAUUACGGGAGACCUGGGGGUCAGCCCGGGAUCGUGCAAGUGAUUUAGCUUUAGGAGGCCGAAUACUACGAGCAGGUGUCUGUAAGAGAACAUGUGUAGUCCUACCCCUUACAGGGUGUGCUUGUGUAUGUAGAAUAGGAAGACGAGGAGGUCGUUUUUUGUGUACUCGGGUUGGCAUGAAGAUGGUGUUACCUCGAGCAGUCAGAUGCAUGUGAUUAACGUGUGUAAGACUUGACCUUAAAAUGUUCGAUCUUAGACACGGACUCGAGGUUGCCUCGAGGUGUGACUUGAGUGGGCCCACGAGCCUUGCGAUGUGUGUGAGGGGUGGAGACCAUGGGGUUUUCGUAUCGACAUGUUGAGCCUCUAGGGAUAAAGACCAAUGGUGCUGAAAUAUGGGGUUAGCCUUUUGGCGACCCACAGAAGCAAUGACAACUUGUUUGCCUCUUGCAGUACUGGGCAGCCUUUUGACGUACCUUAGGAACUCGACCUGCAAGUGACUUACCGAUGGCUGGGUGCAUGCUGUGUGGGGAAACAUAAGUGUUGUCUAUGCAGGACGCUUUGAUGGAGUUUCCACCAGAGUGUGGAGAUGGGGAAUGAGGGAUUUUUAGGUCCCUCCUCACGCCGGUCUAGGUUAAGACUUGGGAGCUAGACAAGGGGUCUUUGCUCAAGAGGAUGGUUAGGAAAGAAGUCAAAGGAACUUGUUCCUUAGGGACACUCUCGAAUGCGGGGAUAAGAAAAUCCCCGAUCCUGAUAAAUGGGUUCCAGAACCCACAAGCCAUAAUAAAAUGUGAAAAGUUAAUGAAAGCAGAUAAUAAAAGAAGAAACUAGCCAAACAAGAAUGAUCCGACUAAGGGGUAAUAAGUACUCAAUGGAGUCACCAAGCUGGUUAGGUGCCCCGAUCUCGCCCUCCAGAUCUGAAUGAUAGGGCGGCACGUGUCUCAGGUUUCAAGGGAAGACCGGAGAAAUUUUUGAGAUCACUCUCUUGGAAACCUCGUUCGAGAACAGGGGCAGGUGUUUCCAACCGGUGACAGAGGAAUUUAAGGGGGGUUCGAGACUUAAUAGGGCUGACUAGGGUGGACAUCCUAUUAGAUCACGAAGAAAGCCCCCCAGUAAUAAAACUGGUUUGGAAUUGCCUCCCUUGGCUUGUAUUCUUCUUGUUUUAUGCAAUCAAACACAUAUAUGGCAAAGGUUAUAAGGCAGGUGGGUCUGAUCUCACCCUUUUCCUCUUUGAUGAGCUUACACAAGCAUGUGCAUUAAAAAAGAAGAAGAGAAGAAAGACGGGGGAGAGAAGGAUUCGGCUGAAUGAGAGGAUCAGAGCGGUGACUAAGCUGGUGAAUAAUUGGCCUGAUGUGGUAGCAAAACAGGCUCGAUAACUAAGACGAGCUCACAGGAUUUGCUACUAGACGUCAUUACCAAUAUCGACUAGCUAAUCACGAUGGUCAAUCUGUCGUGGCAGUAAAGCGGGCCAAGCAAUCCCGACACAACAACAUUACGGCUAGACGACAGGGCUAUCAAUGAGAUGCUAACCUCAAUCCCUCUUAGUUGAAUGAAGGAAUGACAAAAUUAUGGCUAUGAGGAAAGAAUAAGAAGAGAAGAAGGGAACAAAAGGGAGGAGGGAGAAGAAAGGAAGAGAAGAGUAUGAAAGAAGAGGAUGAAAGAGAGAGAGGGAAGGAAGAUGUAGUCGACGCUGAGCAUUACCGACUGUGUUAGAAGGAAGAGAGAGAAAAUAUAGUCGAUGCUAGGCUUCACUGACUGUAUUAUACAUAGGAGAAGAGAGAGAAGAUGCAGUCGGUGCUAAGGUUCGUCAGCUGUUUCAGAAGAGGAGAGAGAAAAUACAGUCGAUGCUAGGCUUCACCGAAUGAUAGAAGAUGAGAGAGAAAACAUAGACGGUGCUAGGCUUCACCAACUGUGUUAGAAGAGAAGAGAGAGAAAAAAUAAGUCAGUGUUAAGCUUCACCAACUGUGAUAAAAGAGAAGAGAGAGAAAAAAGCAGUCGGCACUAGGCUUCACUGACUGUGAUAGAAGAGGAGAGAUAAAUCCAAUCGACGUUAGGUUUCACUGACCGUGAUAGAAGAAGAGAGAGAAAACCAACUGGCGCUAGGCUUUGCUGACUAAUAGAAAAAGAGAGAGAAAACCAACCGAUGUUAGGCUUCACUGACUGACAAAAAAAGAGAGAGAAAACCCACCGACACUAGGCUUCGCCGACUGACAGAAAAAGAGAGAAAACGCACCGGCACUAGGCUUCACCGACUAACAAAAAAGGAGAGAAAAAACCAACCAACGCUAGGCUUCACUGUUUGAAAGAAGAGGAGAGAGAACAUCAAUCGGCGCUAGGCUUUGUAGACUGAUAAAAAAAGAGAGAGAAAACCAACCGACACUAGGCUUCACCGACUGACAGAAAAAGAGAGAGAAAACCACCAGCGCUAGGCUUCAUCGAUUGAUAGAAAAGCAGAAAAAAAACCAAUUGACACUAGGCUUCACCGACUGAUAGAAGAGGAGAGAUAAAACCAAACGGCACUAGGCUUCGUCGAUUGCAUUAGAAGAGGGGGACGGAGGGAGAUAGAAAUGGGAAGAAGAGAGAUAGAUAGAAAUAAGAAAGAGGGGAGAGAGAGAUAAAUAUGAUAUAAAGAGAUAAAGAUGAGAAGAAGAGAGAUAGAGAUAGAGACGAGAAAAAGGGAGGAAAGAGAAAGAGGGGAGGAGAGAGAAAGAGGGGAGGAAAGAGAAAGAGGGGAGGAGAGAGAAAGAGGAGAGGAGAGAGAAAGUUACCUACUCGAAGGGUACCGACUUUUUCUUCUCUCUCCUCUCUUUCUCUCCAAGACAUACUGACAAGCUCAAGCAGAAGUCAAAAUUUUAUUGAUUAAUCCAAGAAGAAUGAAUCUGUCCUUUGUACAGUGAGGCAUUGCUUGUUUAUAUAGAUUGGGCUAAAACGCGGGUGUACGCCCGAAAACUACCUAGAAUUGAAGAUAAUUACAGUUUAAUUGAAUUUAAAGAAAUUCUAAAAAUGGGUGUAAAAGGACUGUUUUGCCCCAUCCUAACAAUGUGUGGAAUUUCAGAACAGUCCCUGUUGCUGCUCGAGAACUUGCAUGAUCUUUCGUGGCUGACCCGAGGUCGUUGUGAUGCUGGUUUGAUCGAAAGAUUGUUGUUUUCUUGUAGAUCUCUACAUGGCGUUCAUUUUGAUACCAACUUUGAGUCAUGAAUCAUGUUUUUGAGCCAUGAUCAUGAGACUUGAAUCUUGGAUGAAUCUUGAAAACUUUGGAUCGAUUAUGUGUUCUUUCCUUGAUGUUUCCUCGUGACUUCUUCAUUGAAUCACAUUGAGCAUGCUGUCACAAUCAUGUUGCAAUAAAUGUAGAUUGAUUUCAUGUCCGGAUGAAGAUUUUGUCAUCUUGAGUUUUUUUGACGUAAUUCUGGAAUCCGGCAGCCAGAAUUUAUAGUAGCUUUGAUGCUUUCGUGUGUGAAAUCCAACCGUUCAUCGUAUGUGAGGUUCAGAUCAGAGAUAACCCCGGACCUCAUAUACAUAAUUCAAUUGGUUUCAUACCGAUCAGGUAUACGAGCAUUGUGAUUUGAUUGCUUGAAUGAGGCGUGCUGCUGUUGAAUUUUCUGCAACUUCCUUCACAGAUUAGCGAUUUCCAUUUAGUUUUUCUCUCCGCUCAGACGUCGUUACGGGGCGUACUACAUAUUGAAUUGUUCGUCUUGAUGAGACGAACAAGCUCACCAAAGUUGGGAGCGAUUUGACUUGAAAUAAGUGAGAUAUAGACCUCAAAAUUGACUGUAAAAACAACCACUUUUAAUGGUGUUUUGAUGUAGUGAGGCACACGGGAAUAGUGUGAGACUUACCCCUUUUCGGUAUUUCACUUAUAAAUUUAACUUGGAGUGCCCGAUUUAGCCAAAACUUGACACAUUUUCGAUCGUGUCGGAUCUUAUGGAGGUGGUCCCAGAACUACUUGACACUCUAAAAGUAUGACUCUAGUUACAGGAUCCAUUUUAGGGUGCUAGAGUCCGAUUUCACUAAAAUUGUUUCUUUGUGUUCACUGCCUUAGUCAUGUCUGAUCACGAUGAAACUUGACAGGUGGUCUUUUGAAGUGUUGAUAAAGAUCUUGACCAAUUCGGAGGCUAUUUUGAGACUAUCGAGAAUUUCUACUGUUUUGUAGGCUUUGUUGACCUGCUUCCUACUUAUUCCUAAUCAGAGAUCAAGGUGCUGAAAAAUACGUUCAAACAAGUAUAUAUUGUAUGAGCUAACAAUUAUUUCAAGUCACACCCCAAGAAUUUACAAUACUGAUAUUCCUGAGAUGUGACAGUCAAAACAUAUAUACAUCUCUUGAUAGAACAAAUUUACAGUGGCGAGGUCUUACAAAGUAACAAAAGAAAGCUAGCACAACAACAAUAUCUUCCAAGGUUGAUCUUGACUAGCACUCAAAAUGAAUCCGUAGUUAUCCUGAAAAAAUGUUUACCAUAGUUUGAUGAGUUUGGCUACUCAGUAAGUGAUCAUCAUAAUCCUAAAAAUAAUCAUGGAUGAAAGAUAUAAACAAACUUUCAAAAUGGAAGUCAAUAAAAAUAAUACGAGCACUAGCAUUUAUAGAUAACAAUUUCACCUUCAGAAAUGCACAAUUAAACACAAUCCAAAUGAUUGAAAUGCAUAUAACACUUUAACGGCAGUGCAUAAUUCAAAGGAUUUCACAAAAUACCCUACUGGCGUCCCAAGUAGGUCACCCAUAUACCCCAUCAGCGUNNNNNNNNNNNNNNNNNNNNNNNNNNNNNNNNNNNNNNNNNNNNNNNNNNNNNNNNNNNNNNNNNNNNNNNNNNNNNNAAUCUCUGCCAGGUCCACUUAUACCUCACCGGCGUACCGUAUGAGUCCACUUAAUCCCUACCGACGUCCCAGAUAGGUCCACUUAUACCUCACCAGCGAACCGGGUGAGUCCACUUGUAUACUUAAAGUAUUUCUAAAUCUCUUUAAACAUUUGAAAGCAGCAAUAUCAUGUACUCAAUAUAUCACUAAAAUCAUUAAUAUGAAUUUCACUGAAACCAUUAAUAACAGUCACUUUCAAUAACAUUUUAAAAAUAACCAAUCAAAUAUUUGGGCUCAAAUUUAGAAAGGUAGCAGUUCGUAAAUACAUCCUAGCAUAAUUGUCAAUUUAAUAUGUAUAUAAAAAAAACUCUUAUAGAAAUUCAAGAACACAGAAUUAUCACAAUUUAUGGGAUAUCAAUUCACAAAUAAACAUUUCACAACAAUGCUGUAAUCAAUUGCAAAAAUAUCAAUUUUUAAAUAAUAAGGCAGUCAUUUGCACAUGAAAUUUACAAUGUCUAAAUAUUUAAAAACAGUAGAAAGAAAUCUCACAAUUUUACUAAAAGCAGAAAUAUCACAUUUAUUUCUAAUAAUUUGAUAGUAUCUAAAAUUUUCUAACAAUAGACAAGAAAAAUAAAUAAAUUUAUUUUUCUAAGAAUUUACAGCAUUUAAAAUUUCUAACAUAGAUAAAAUAUCACAAUUUUUAUUAAAAAGAUUAUUUUUCAAGAUAAUGAGGUCAUGUGCGCAUAAAAUUUAUCGCACCUAAAAUUCAUGAUAAUAAGCAGAAAUAAUUAUUUCAGUUUAUUUUUAAAAAGAAUGGAUUGUUUUUCGAGACAAUGAGGUCACUUACACACAAAACUUAUAAAAUAAAGAUCCUAGACGGAAAUAUCACUAUUUAUUAAAAACAGACUAUUUUUCAGGAAGACGAUAUCACUUACCUAAAAUAUUUUGUGAGAAAGCUUCCGAUAAAAAUUCGGCUAGAGAGAGAGAGAGAAAAACCUCGCCUCUCGUAUUUAAACUCUUACGAUACCUUAUAAUAAUAUUUUAUUAAGUUACACCUCAUACAUGAGGUGUAACAAUUAUAUUACCUCUUAUACACUUAAAGCCCACGUCCACUGGACAUGGCAAGACAGCAGCAAACAAACAAACUCAAACUAAAAGCUUUGAAAAUGGUGAUGGUCCCUAAGGACUAUCAUGCUCAUAUGGACCAUCACUUAUUAAAAGUUUCUUUCUUUUUAUUUUAUUUUAUUUUUUUUUGAAAGGUUAAGAUUGUUACAUUUCACCUCCUAUCAUAGUAACAAUUUAGUACCUAGAAAGAACACACAAAGUACACAAGCAAAGGCCAGAGUUUCUUACUCCUGUAGUAGAAGUCACAUUGAUCAGGCCAAGCCAAUCCUUAACUUGGAACUUCUACCCUCAUUCAAGAUGGAGGACAUUGACAAAUGGAGGUCACAUUUCAUAAUGUCCUCACACACACAAUCCUCAGCUUACUUUGUGGUUUUCGAUAGGCGGUGGCCUAGCAAGACAUAACCCUCUCCUUCUGCUUACAAGUGUGAGGGCAUUACACUACCAUUAGAGGACCCAAUACAUAAUGCCCAUAUUAAUAUAGGGGGCACGACCCUCCCUAUUAUUUACAGUCACUUCCUGACUCCAUUCCUAUCAUUGGAGUCGAGGAACAGUCUAUCCAACUACCAAUGACGGAGCCAUUGGGUAGUGGUCAUGUCAUGUCACAUAUAUCACUCUCAAUAUAACAGAAUCACAAGAUCCAACUACAAUGGAGGACCCAUUGCGUAGUGGUCAGUAUCACAUAUAGAUAACAGGAUCACAAUAUCCAACUACCAAUGGAGGAACUAUUGCAUAGUGGUCAUACCACAUAUAUCAGUCUCAAUAUAACAGAAUCACAAUAUCCAACUACCAAUGGAGGACCCAUUGCGUAAUGGUCAGUGUCACAUAUAGAUAAUAGGAUCAUAGUAUCCAACUACCAAUGUAGGACCUAUUACGUAGUGGUCAUGUCACAUAUAUCAAUCGCAAUAUAAUAUAACCACAAUAUCUAACUAUCAAUAGAGGACUCAUUGCAUAAUGGUUAGUAUCACAUAUAGAUAACAUGGUCACAAUAUCCAACUGGAGGACCCAUUGUGUAGUGGUCAUGUCACAUCUAUCAGUCUCAAUAUAACAGAAUCAUAAUCUCCUUACAAAGAAAUCACAUGAUUCGUUCAUUGUCAUUCCCAUCAGAAAUAUGCCUAUACAAAGUGAGACGUGGCAUUCAAUUCAUGAGGAAUUUCAACUCAAUUUCAAUCUUCACUUGAAACAUACAUAUAUAUCUUUUGAUCAAAGAGAACUUCUACCCUCAUUCAGGAUGGAGGACAUUGACAAGAGGUCACAUUUCAUAAUGUCCUCACACACACACAAUCCUCAGCUCACUUUGGUUUCGAUAGGCGGUGGCCAAGCAAGACAUAACCCUCUCCUUCUGCCUUCAAGUGUGAGGGCAUUACACUACCAUUGGAGGACCUAAUACAUAAUGCCCAUAUUAAAAUGGGGGGCACGACCCUCCCUAUUAUUUACAGUCACUUCCUGACUCCAUUCCUAUCAUUGGAGUCGAGGCACAGUCUAUCCAACUACCAAUGACGAACCCAUUGGGUAGUGGUCAUGUCAUGUCACAUAUAUCACUCUCAAUAUAACAGAAUCACAAGAUCUAACUACCAAUGGAGGACCCAUUGCGUAGUGGUCAGUAUCACAUAUAGAUAACAGGAUCACAAUAUCCAACUACCAAUGGAGGAACUAUUGCAUAGUGGUCAUACCACAUAUAUCAGUCUUAAUAUAACAGAAUAACAAUAUCCAACUACCAAUGGAGGAUCCAUUGCGUAAUGGUCAGUGUCACAUAUAGAUAAUAGGAUCUUAGUAUCCAACUACCAAUGAAGGACCCAUUACGUAGUGGUCAUGUCACAUAUAUCAAUCGCAAUAUAACAUAACCAGAAUAUCUAACUAUCAAUGGAGGACCCAUUGCAUAAUGGUUAGUAUCACAUAUAGAUAACAUGGUCACAAUAUACAACUGGAGGACCCAUUGUGUAGUGGUCAUGUCACAUCUAUCAGUCUCAAUAUAACAGAAUCAUAAUCGCCUUACAAAGAAAUCACAUGAUUCGUUCAUUGUCAUUCCCAUCAGAAAUAUGCCUAUACAAAGUGAGACGUGGCAUUCAAUUCAUGAGGAAUUUCAACUCAAUUUCAAUCUUCACUUGAAAUAUACAUAUAUAUCUUUUGAUCAAAGAGAACUUCUACCCUCAUUCAGGAUGGAGGACAUUGACAAAUGGAGGUCACAUUUUAUAAUGUCCUCACACACACACAAUCCUCAGCUCACUUUGGUUUCGAUAGGCGGUGGCCUAGCAAGACAUAACCCUCUCCUUCUGCCUUCAAGUGUGAGGGAAUUACACUACCAUUGGAGGACCUAAUACAUAAUGCCCAUAUUAAUAUGGGGGGCACGACCCUCCCUAUUAUUUACAGUCACCUCCUGACUCCAUUCCUAUCAUUGGAGUCGAGGCACAGUCUAUCCAACUACAAAUGACGGACCCAUUGGGUAGUGGUCAUGUCAUGUCACAUAUAUCACUUUCAAUAUAACAGAAUCACAAGAUCCAACCGCCAAUGGAGGACCCAUUGCGUAGUGGUCAGUAUCACAUAUAGAUAACAGGAUCACAAUAUCCAACUACCAAUGGAGGAACUAUUGCAUAGUGGUCAUACCACAUAUAUCAGUCUCAAUAUAACAGAAUCACAAUAUCCAACUACCAACCCAUUGCGUAAUGGUCAGUAUCACAUAUAGAUAAUAGGAUCAUAGUAUCCAACUACCAAUGAAGGACCCAUUGCGUAGUGGUCAUGUCACAUAUAUCAAUCGCAAUAUAACAUAACCACAAUAUUUAACUAUCAAUGGAGGACCCAUUGCAUAGUGGUUAGUAUCACAUAUGGAUAACAUGGUCACAAUAUCCAACUGGAGGACCCAUAGUGUAGUGGUCAUGUCACAUCUAUCAGUCUCAAUAUAACAGAAUCACAAUCUCCUUACAAAGAAAUCACAUGAUUCGUUCAUUGUCAUUCCCAUCAGAAAUAUGCAUAUACAAAGUGAGACGUGGCAUUCAAUUCAUGAGGAAUUUCAACUCAAUUUCAAUCUUCACUUGAAACAUACAUAUAUAUCUUUUGAUCAAAGAGAAUUUGAAGCUGUUUGUGUACCAUUUAAUCAGUUAAAAGCUAACAGUGUUUGAAAAUUGCAGCAAUCUAUGACAGUGACAUAUUACAGCAACAGGAGCAUAACUCCCAAAUUUUAAGGAAUUCUGGGAUGAUAUCAAAACAAAAGUUCAAAUAGAAACACAUAUCUUUCUAGCAAAGGAAAUUUGAAAGCAUUUGCACUUCAUUUGUUUGAUCAAAAGCUCAUAGUAACAGAAGUGAAUUUCUAAAUUCUGCUAACUGUGAUGUAUCCCUCUUAUCAGGGCAUAAUUUUCAAUCUAGAAGGUAUUUCGGAAUGAUUUUAACAUGAAAAUUUAAGUAAACACAUAUAUAUUUCAAAUGUCAGUGGUUUGAAAGCAAUUGGACUCCAUUUGGUUAUUUGAAAGCUCAUGACAACAUAAGCAACAGUUCUGAAAUUCAGUGAAAUCUGCUUGCAAUGAUAUGUUUGCAGAAUUGGAAGCAUAAUUCCUCAUUUAUAAAGAAUUUGAAGAAAUUUUAAACAUUAAAAUCAUAGUAGAUACUUGCAUAUUUCUAAUGAGGGUGAUUUGGAUGUCAUUUGGUUGGUCAACAUAGUGUCAUAAAAACAUGAAACUUCCCUGGAAUUUCACAUUGUAAACAUGACAUGCCUCAAAUAACAAUCAAUUACUCCCAAUUUAGGUUAGAGAUUAAUAUGAAACCUUUUUCAUCUUGAAUUAAACUCACAUGAAUAUGAUUUCACAGAUUUUCAUGAUUAACAAUAGUAAUUUCAGUGCCGAGCUUGUCUUGCAAAGAAAGCCUAUUUUCUGGAUGACAUGGCACAACAAGAUACACAUGCAACCAUUGUUCUCCAAAAUUCAUACAUGUUCAUGCUUAAUUUUUCAUACUUCCAUAACUAAAUACAUGAAAGCUUUUUGAUCCACUUACCUUAUUUGUGCAAUGGUGCUCUCACAACCCCUCACAUUUUCACUUCAUCUUCACUCCAAGUUCUCCCAUAAGGCUCAAAGGGGGCUGGAGUUUGGUAUUUCAAGAGGGAAGGAUGGGUCCAAAACGUGAGCCAAAAGGGAGAGAGGGAGCUUUUGUACUCUCUCACAUGGGAAGUGGCAUCCUGGGCUUGCCUAGUGGCAACCAUAGUGUCAUGCAGCUUGACAAGUGGCAGGGUGGCAGCAUGCAGCAGGAAGGUGUCAACCAUGGGUCAUGCAUAGGCUCGAUGGCAUCGCGCACAGCGGCACUCUUUUAUUCUUCUUCUCACUGUCGUGCGCGUCUCUCUCUUUUCUCCUUUCUCUUACCGUCAUGCGCACUCUCUCUUCUUCUUUCUCUUACUGCCGUGCGCACUCUCUCUUCUUCUUUCUCUUACCGCCACGUGCACUCCACUGCGUGCACUCUCUCUUCUUCUUUCUCUUACUGAUGCUUGCACUCUCUCUCCUUCUUUUAUCCUUAUGCUAUCGUGCACUCUAUCAGGCCGGGAAAGUCUGGGUCGUUCCAUCCACUUGAUUUUCUUCAUUCUUGGAUUGACUUGGCUUUUCAUCUCCCGCAUUAGGAGCUUUGGAAGAAUUCACUUCAAUUUUUAUAAUUAAUUCUUUCUUAUAUGAUCGAGCUUCCCAUAAUGCCGACACAUAUUCUUGUUAUUGGGCCCUCUAGAUUUUGAUCAAAACCUUGAAUUACUUUUGAAUGAUUCAUUGAUGAAUCACCCCGUUCAUUCGAUCGACCUCUUGCCAUAAGAGCUUCCAUCUUCAAUUCUAUCGAACUUCCCAAAGAUGCCUUCUUUCGAAGUUCAUUAGCAAGUAGGGCACUACACACCAAGCCAAAAUCAAGCAAUUCCUCUUUAUUGCAACUUAAUGUAUUAACAAGGUUAUCAUAGGAUUCCGACAAAGAACAAAAUAAGGUGACCGCCUUAUCUCCAUUGUCCAUUCUCACAUUAAUACUCUCAAGUUGACAAAUGAUGUUAUUAAACUCAUUCAAGUAUUGCGACACAGUUGUACUUUCUUUCAAUCUUAAGGAAUACAAUUUUUCUUUUUAAGAAAAUUCGGUUUGUGAGAGAUUUUGUUUGAUACAAAUUUUUCAAUUUUUUCCACAAAUAUUUUCCCGUCCUUUCCUCAACAAUAUUAAACAAAAUUUCACUCACUAAACACAAGAGAAUAGUGGCCCGUGCCUUCAUACCGAGUUCAUCCUAAUCAUCAUCAGUCAUAUUCACUGAUUUUUUAACUUUUCCAAGUAAUACUUUGUGUUUCCAUUGAUGUACCAAUAAAUCUCGCAUUUUUAAUUUCCAAAUUUCAAAAAUUAUCUUUUCCAUUAAACUUCUACACCUCAAACUUGUAAGAUGCCAUUUUCCAAAAAAUACCACACUAAUUCCUUGAGCUCUGGUAUCAAUUUUUGUAAAAUCAGGAUAACACAAUCACUCCUUUUGAGCAAAUCGAGAUAUCUAAAAUCCCACUAGAUGUAGUGAGCAUUACACUCCGAUGAUUUCAAUACUCAAAUAACAUGCUCAGGAUGCAAUAACAAGUAUAAUAUAAUAGGGAAAAAUAUAAGAACAAUAAAACAAAUAAUAUGGGAAAUCAUCAAAGCAUAACACAAAUGAAAAUAGAGAUGGACACGCACAUAUACACGGUUCACCCAAAAUGGGCUAUGUCCUUGGACAAGAAGGUAAACGUAUAUUCACUAUCAAGAGGAAAACUUACGAGAUUGGAGUUAUGUAGAGUUACCUUAUACAAUCUGAAGGAAUUCUCAAACAAAGAACUUCCUACUACAAAACCACCUAUAGUCGACUCCUUUCUUUAAUUCACUGCAGCCGCGAAGAAAUGCUGACAAAAAUGGCCCAAAAAUGAGCCCAAAUGGUGGCACUAGGGUUCUGUAGCAAAAACCCCUAAUUUUCUCCCCAAAACCCCUAAUUUUCUCCCCAAAACCUCUCUCACGCCCACACACUUCUUUUUCUCACUCACUUGCAUGUUCCUCAACCCACUUUUUGAUCGACACGUCUCUCUCUAUAAAGCCCCUCUUAAGAGCCUCCACUCAAAAGGUGCAUUUUCAGUGACGAAAAUGCCCUUUAACAAGAGGGAGAAUUCCAUAGGGGUGGUGAUUUGGCAUCAUGCCUUAACAUGAAUGGAAGUAUCACCAAAGACUAUGAAAAACCAUGGGCUACCUGUGUGACAACACUUGAUAUGAAGGAUGAACCAAUAACGUAACAUGAUCAAGACACAAGGAUAGAAAAUUUACUUGAGAAAAGACAAAUUUGGCAAUGGUAGAAGGGGUUGAGAAGGUGACCUAGAAUUGGAGAUCAUGCAAUGAUGCUACAGUAAAAUCUAUUAAGCGCAUCUGAUGGUGCAAAUUUGAGAUUGAUUCACCAAGCUGAUCAUAGAACUACUCAUAGACAAUAACAAAUGGAAUUGAGUAAUAACCAUAGUUAUCGGGAGCGUCACCCUAGUUGGGCGCUCUCGCUCCGGAACCCAGCUCCGAUGCUCCGUAGCAGAGAUCUCGACCGGAACUCGUUCCCUAGUUUUUGGGAGCUCGCUCCUAUUUUUAGGAUUUUCGAUCCCGUUCACAAUGGAGCUCGCUCCCGAUACUGUAUGGAUCACGUUCCUUAAAUUUUAAGAUCUCGUUCCUGAAUAAAUUAGAUCCCCACUCUCAAAGUUUUAGGAGGGCAAUCCCUACAUUUCCAGAACUCCAUCCCUAUUUUCCUGAAAUAUCCUAAUAGAAACUUCUUAAAUAAAAUUAAUUUUUAGAAUAAAAUAAUUAUAUUUUAAGCCAAAUUUUUAUAAAAGUGGAGUUCUGUCAUGGGAGCAUGAACUAAUCAUGCACAGAACACGAUCCUUCCUUGAAUGAAGCUCGAUUCUUUCCAAAUAAGAACACGAUCAUUCUUAGAUGGGGGCACGAUCCUGUUGGCGAUGGGAGCACGAUCCUAAUGAAUAUGGGAACACGAUCCCAUUUGACAUGGAAAGUGUUCCCGUUAAAUAGAGAUCUCGAUCCCGAUGUAUUGGGAACGCUCCCUAUUCAUAUGGAAUCUUGAUCCGCUACUUUUACUCUCACCGAAACUCGCUCCCCAAGCUCCAGAGCUUUGCAUAGAUGUCGCUCCGAUACUCCCGCUCCCAGAACCAAAGUCUUUCCCGCUCCUGCUCCUGCUCCUGCUCCCCCUCCCGAUAGCUAUGAUAAUAACUAAUAACGGACUCGAGAAAAUAGGGGGAUAAUGAUCGAAGGCUAUGUCACCAUAUGAAAAAUCUCUGUAUUCAACUUGCAUGAGAGAAUCCCAUGCAAGUAUAUAGAGGUGGUUAUCAAAUAUACAAAAAGAAAUGAUAUGCAAAAAGAAACAAAAAAAUCAUAAUAUAACCUGCAUGAUCAUGAAAAAGAUUAAUCUACUUUACAAAAAAAAAAAGAAAAUAUACACAAUUUUCACACCUACGAGAGCACACUCUCGAAUUAGGUGAGGAGCCUAGGUACCUACAAAACCUCGAUGCAUGCACCUAUAAAUGAUGUGGACCAGCUUUUUUUUGCGUUGCUCAAUAAGAUAUUGAUGUUCAAAAAGUACAAAUGUUGUGUAGAAUGUUUGGAGUGAGAUAUUUUUAUUCCAAGAUACUAAUAUCUCGUAUAGGUCGUUUUCAUAUAACGUACUUUUGUUUUGCGGGACGUACAUAACUGAAAGGUCCUACAGUAGGUUCUAACAUAUUAUUGAAAUGUCCAUGAGGACUUUCGAAAUUAUGCAAAGAUAUAGGUAAAAUGUUCAAUAAUGCAUUUCUUGAGGAUACUUUGAUAAGUUCUCUCUCAAUUUUUAACGACUUUUGUGCCAAAUUUUAGUGAAAUCAUGAAGGCCAAUUCUGAUCUCUGUACUCACCGGAAAAAUGACUUGUUUGGAUGAAAAUUAUGUACAUUGCCAUUCUACUGCUAUGUUUAAAUUAUUAUAUGCUCUAAUAUAUGUUUUUAGUUUUUUGGCAAUCGAAAUUAGAAAAGCAAGCCCAUUUGUGUAAUGUGCUAUAUGUUUGGGUAAGUUCAACUUGACACCAAUUCUCUCUCUCUCUCUUUAUAUUACUUUAUUAUUUCGCACAUAUAUAAGAUAACUACAUUCGGUCACGCACAGAAACCUGCAAAGAACGUUAGUGAUUACAAGAAGUAAUCACAAGAAGAAUGAGAUUAUGAUGGAUAAAAUCUGUAGGGCUAUAUAGUAAUAUGAAUUAGAUGGUUAUCCAUGGAAAUGUUUUUUUUUUAUAUAGAAAUUUUAACAAUAAAGUCUCUUUAAUAAAGGAGGCAACCUCCAAAUUACAAUACAGAAAAAUAAAUAUAGACAAUUAUCUACUUCCAAGCAAGAUCAGCCAACGCUCCCAAAACAUAACUAAACUCUGAACCUCGGUGAUCCUCCACUACCAACAAACUUAGAAUCCCUACAACCCACAUAAAGCCACUCAGGCCUAGUCCUCUACAGUGCCUCUACCUGAGUCCUGACUACUCAUCACCACUCUUAAGCAUCAUCCCUUACACAUUAAGCAUACCAGUCGGGGUUAGGACAACUCUCAAACACUGACAGUGCCUAGACCAAAGUACAUGGUGGUGUCUAAGGGUGUCGGUGCAACCAACGACCAAGAAGUAGGGUUUAAAAAAUAGAACAAGAGAGAAAUGGAUGGGAGGAGAAACCAUAGAGAGGGAAAGUGACAUAGUGAUGGAGGAAUUGAUCGCAACAUUGUAAACAUUAAGGAGAUCUUAGUCCCUAAAGGAGUACAUCCUCCUCGACAGGACUCAAAGAGGCCUUUCGCUAGGCCUUAGACGUUAACCUUCAAUGACCUAAUACAGGGGAAUUUCAAGCCCAAGGGAAAAUUCAAGAGACCUAAAAAAUCUACAAUAGGGUCUUGAACUCUCAGAGGAAAGGAUAACUUCAUCUUAGGUGAUAACCUUCUUAGAGGAUAUGCUAGUUGAGGAAAGAGAUAGCCGACAAAAAUAGGUAGUUCUCAGAUGAAGGGCUAAGGAGAGAGAGGGAUAGAGAAAAGAGACGAAAGGAAAAGGGACUCAUAUAUAUGAGUAUUUCUUUAAUGUACUAAACUUUUUUGGAUACACAUGUACCCUGGUUUUUUUUAGUAAGGAUAUUUUUUAACACUAGUAGGGGUAUGAUAUAUUUUUUUUUAAUAAACUAGUGACUUUUAUUAGUGACAUCAUAAUGAUGUCAUCCUUCAUUAUAGUUAAUAAAUGAUAUUAUUUCUAUCAUGAAUUUAUACUUUGUUCAUAAAUAAUUAACAAAAAUACCCCUAGAUAAAAAGUUAUCAUAUUAUAGGAUAAUGGUAUUAAAUGUCAAAAAAUGUUAAGUACAGUAAAUAAAUACUCACAUGUAUGAGUACCCGAACAUAACAUAUAUAUAUAUAUAUAAAGAGAGAGAGAGAGAGAGAGAGAGAGAGAGAGAGAGAGAGAGAGAGUGGUGCUCACACUAGUGGUAAGUUAAUUUAUCUAUGCACUCAACUAAUUUAGUAAUACUUAUANNNNNNNNNNNNNNNNNNNNCAGAGAGAGAGAGAGAGAGAGAGAGAGAAGAAAGUAGAGAUAGAAACGAGAAAUGAAAGGCCAAUAUGUCUUUCAACUAGUCCUUCAGAGAGAAAGCAAAGAGAAACUUUUUUAAAGAAAAGGGAAACAAAGGGCUAGUAUGCCUUUCAACUAGUCCUUCAUAUUGCAAAUGAAUAAAGAGAAAAUAAAGAGAGAAGGCUGGUUUGUUUUUCACUCAGGUCCUUUAAAGAAGAAAAUAGUAAAAGAAGCAAGAAAGUUAAGAGAGACGAAAAAAGGAGAAAAGAGAAAAAGAAGAAAGAGAAGAAAUACACAGAUGACAGCUUAACUGCUAUAUGUGAAGAGAGAGAGGAGACAAAGAGAGAGCACAAACAGUGGCUUAGCUACCAUUUGUGAAGAGAGAGAAGAGAGAAAGAUAACACAAACUAUGGCUUAGCUGUUGUUUAUGAAGAGGGAGAAGUGAGAAAGAGUGAGCAUAGACAACAACUUAGCUGCCGUAAUCUUUCCAUACAAGACUGUUUUGGUGGUCCAAGGGACCACCGUGUGUAGUUUGGUUAUAACUCUCUUGUUCUUUAUCCGAUUCAAUUCAAACCUUUUACAAUCUAUUUUAGAUGAUAAUUCCAAUGUGUUGAGAUCUUAAGAAGUGAUUUUAAGGUGUGUAAUUUUGUCCUAUUGCUAUUAGACACUCUUGUGAGAUUUAACCACUUUUGUACAAUCUGAAAGGAUAAAAUUAAGUCCUUAUAGGGCCCGAUUGUGUGGCUCCAGAACAAGGGGUUCGAAACAUGGCUUUCCUAUUUUAAUUUGGAAAUCUAAUUCCUUGUUAGUUGAUUUUAUUCCUUAGACUUUUUUUUAUAUUAGUCGCAUGAUAUAUUUAAGCUUUGGGACAUAGUUUAUGUAAUUUGUACUACAAAAGUGUAAUUCAUAAGCUAGUCUGCUUUAUAUAUAAUUGCCCCAUAAGGGGUUAGUAUUUGAUUUUAUUUACAAUGGUUAUACAAGGCUAGAAAUUGUUGUAAUUGUCAUUUAAAAUAUGGUAACUUAUUCAGUUAGCUUGGUUUUUAGCAAGUGGCUUGUUGAAGGUGUCCAUUUUGCCUUGAAAAUUUGCUCUAGUCUUUGUAUCCACAAUCAAUUGGUAUCAAAGAAAAGCUCAUUUACAGCCUCUUUAAGGAUCUUUAGAGGGAUUAUAGAGUACCAAAUAGGAAUGGUAGCCCUUUCGAUACUCACUGAAUUGUUUAAGGAGGAGAGGUUCAGUGGAAACAACUUCUCUGAAUGGAGAUGGAAAAUUUGUUAUGUGUUUCAUGAAGAUGGACUAUUUCCAUUAUUGACUUCUAGACCUCCUAAUCCGCCCGCAAUCAAUGCUCCUCAAGUUAUUAAGGAUGCAUAUGAGACAUGGCAUAACAAAAACCAAAGUGCCAUGAAUAUUAUUUUUGCAACCAUGAGUGAUUCCUUUGUUAAGGAGUAUGAGAAUUUUGUAUGUGUCAAAGAUAUUAUGGAGAGCACGAAAAAGAAAUACGACAUACUGAAUGAAGCUCAAAGGAUCAUUAGAAUGAGGAAUCUCAUGUGUUGUAAAAUGGAUGCUCAUACCAAAGUGGGUGAUCAUCUAAGAGAGUUCAAGAGUUGUAUAAGUGAGAGUGAGACAGUCGGUCACUCAUAUGAUGAAGUGACACAAAAGACGAUGUUUGUGCUUUCGAUCUCACCCUCAUGGGAGGCCUUUGUGGCUAAUUUAAUGGCCAAAGAUGCGCCUACAACAGCAGAGGAGAUAACAUUUUUCAAGAACAAAGAAGGAUGGAAAUGGAUGGACUAUCUUCCAUGGUCCAUAUGGUAAAAUCUCACCAACCAUCAUCUUCUUCUACGUCCUUACUCAUUACUCCUAUAUCUUCUUCCCUUUCUAACUCUUCUAUGGUGAAUAUAUGUAAUGUGGGAGUGAUUGGGAGUGAUAAUGCUAAGAACAAGAAAAGAAAGGGAAAUGGCAAAAAGAAAGGGAAGGGGAAGAAAAAGGGAAAAUCUUACUCCCCUUAUCUAUUUAGUUCUUACCCUCCUAAAACCCAUGCCUUUUAGGCCUAAACUAUCACCCACACCCAUGAUAGUAGGUGGGAGGUCGAUUUGGCCCUCAAGCCAAGAUUAUUCGAAGGUGCAAUGCUUUAGAUGCAAGAAAUAUGGGCAUACCCAAAAGUUUUGUAAGUAUCCUCCUGCUCUACAAAACCCUCAUUUUACUCUUCAGCCUAAUACCGGUAAGCCUCAAGCUAAUACUGGUGGAGGAUCAAGGAAAUAGAGAGUUUGUGUGGUCCUUGAGACUUUGAUUGCUAAUGAGGAGGUAGAUGUGGGGGUUCUUGACUUGGGGGCCACUAUUCAUGUGACAAAUUCUAUGAAGGGCUUUAGAAGGUUUUAUGAUGUCAAAAUCAGUACCCAUAAUCUUUAUUUGGGUGGAAAUCAAAUGUAAAAGGUCUUAGGAAAAGGGGACUAUGUGUUGGAGCUCACUAAUGGUGAGACUCUCAUGCUUAAGGACACCCUCUAUGCAUCCAAGAUGAGGAAGAAUCUCAUCUUGAUUUUCAAUAUGAGUAAAACCGGGUUUGUGCUCUUGUUCAAGGAGGAAAAGGUCUAUGUGCUUGAUGGCUCUAGUAAUGGAGACCUUGUUUUUGUAGCCCACUUGGUUCAAGGGCUUUAUGAAAUUAAAAUGAAAAAUGAGUUUGCUUACUUGGGUGAUGAUUUACAAAAUUUUACUUUAUGGCAUUUAAGGUUAGGUCACAUUAAUCCAUCUAGAAUGCAUAUUAUGAUGAAAGAAGGAUUGCUUGAUAAAAUGAAUAUCGAUUCUCAUAAUAAAUGUGAGGCUUGCCUUAAAGGAGAGAUGGCAAAGAAGUCCCACCAAAAGGUCGAAAGGUUCUCUAGUCUUUUAGAACUAAUCCACUCGGUUAUGUGUGGACCUAUGAGUGUGCCUACUAUGGGACACAUGAGUUACUUCAUAACAUUCAUUGAUGACCAUUCCCAUUUUGGUCAGACCUAUCUCAUGAGAAACAAAAGUGUGGCCAGAACCAAAUUCUAAUAAUGUAAAGCGGAAGUUGAAAACCAACUAGGUCAAACCAUCAAAAUCCUUAGAUCAAAUAGGGGUGGGGAUACACCUCCCAAGCCUUCCAAGAUCUUUGUGUCCAAUAUGGGAUUUUCCACUAGACCCCUAUGCCUUACUCACCAAAAAAAAAUGGGGUUGCCGAGAGAAGGAAUAGGACCCUAGUUGCGAUGUUGUGAAGUAUAAUGAGUACCGCUAAUCUUGGAUUAGAGUUUUGGGGGGAGGCGAUUCUAAUUGCCACAUAUGUCCUUAAUCGGACUCCCACUAAAGCAAUUCAAUCAACUCCUUACCACCUCUUCAUGGGCCAACCUCCCUCAUUAAAGCACCUCAAGGUUUGGGGAUGUUCAGCUCAUGUUCUCAUACCAUCCCAAAAUACGUUCAAACUUGAUCCUAAAACCAUAAAAUGUGUUUUCAUAGGACACCCAAGUCAUGGGAAGGGAUUUAGGUUUUAUAACCUCUUAAAUCAUAAUGUGAUUGGAAGCCUUGAUGCCCAUUUCCUUGAAGAUGAAUUCCUUGAGAGAUAAUCAACCCAAAAGAGAGUAGACUUCCAUGAGCUUCAACCUAACAAAGAAAUUGAAACCAUCCCACUUAGGCAAAGUGAGAGAAUAAGGAGACCACCUACCUUUUUCACUUACCUUGGGGAGGACUAUGAGAGGAUUAGUGAAGAACCCGAUGAUGAACCUUAUUCUUACCUAUAUGUUAUUGGUUAGAAGCCUCGAUCUCGUCCUCCGGAUUUGGAUGAUCGGGCGGCAAAUGUCUAAAAAUGGGUGCAAAAAAAUUGUUUUGCCCCUGCCUAACAAUUUGUGGAAUUUCAGAACAGCCCUUGCUGCUGCCCGAGAUCUUGUGUGAACUUCCAUGACUGACCUGGGGGUGUUUUGGUGCUCGUUUGAUCGAAAGAUUAUUAUUUUCUUGUAGGGCUCAACAUGGCGAUCGUUUUGAUACCAACUUUGAGCCAUGAAUCAUGUUUUUGAGACAUGAUCACGAGAUUUAAAUCUUGGAUGAAUCCUGAAAACUUCGGAUCGAUUGUGCCCUCGUUCCUUGAUAUUUCUUCAUGACUUCUUCAUUGAAUUACACUGAGCAUGUCGUCACGAUCACGUUGCAACAAACGUAACUGGAUUUCAUGUCCGGGUGAAGAUUUUGCCGUCUUAAGUUUUUGGCCAGAAUCUUAAUAUCUAGUGGCCAGAAUUUACAGCAGCUUUGGUGCCUUCAUGUGUGAAAUCCAACAAUUCAUCGUACGCGAGGUUUGGAUCAAAGAUGGCCUCGGACCUCUUGCACAUAAUGCAAUUGGUUCCGUGUCGAUCGGGUAUGUGAGCAUCGUGAUCUGGCUGCUCGAACAAGGCGUACAGCUGCUGAAUUUUUUGCAACUUCCUUCACGGAUCUGCGACUUUCAUUUAGUUUUUCUCUUUGCUUGGGCAUCGUCACGGGGCAUACCACAUAUCGAAUUGCUCGUCUUAAUGAGACGAACACGCUCACCAAAUUUGAGAGCGAUCUGACUUGUAACAAAUGAGUUAUAGGCUCGAAAAGUGACUACUCAUGAAUGCAAAAACAGCCACCUUUAAUGGUGUUGUGAUGGAGUGAGGCCACACGGGAAUAGUGUGCAACUAACCCCUUUUUGGUAUUUUACCCAUAAUUUUAUCUUGGAGUGCCCGAUUAAGCUAAAACUUGACCCAUAGGGUUUUUUUACCAUGACGGAUCUAAUGGCAGUGGUCCCACAACUGUUUGAUGUACCAAAAGUAUGGCUCUAGUUACAAGGUCCAUUUUAGGGUGCUAGAGACCGAUUUCACUGAAAUUGUUUCUUUGUGUUCACUGCCUUAGACAUGUAUGAUCAUAAUGAAACUUGGCAGGUGGUAUUUUGAAGUCUUAAGAAAGAUCUUGAUCAGAUUCUGAGCCAUUUUAACAUUGUCGGGAAUUUCCACUGUUUUAUAGGCUUUAUUGACCUGCUUCCUACCAGGGACCAAGAUGCUGAAAAAUACGUUCAAACAGCUAUGUCUUGUUCGUAUCAUAAGUUAUGAAAUGAAGCCAUGCAAGAUGCGAUAAAUUCAAUCAUAAAGAACCAUAUAUGGGAGUUAGUCCAAUUACCACCUAACCUUAGAUCCAUUGAAUGUAAGUGGAUAUUCAAAAAGAAACUGAACUCUGAAGGGCAUUUUGAAAAAUACAAGGCAAGACUUGUAGAAAAAAAUUUUACUAAAAAGGACGGGGUAGAUUAUUUUGGCCCCUAUUCACCUAUUGUUAAAAUGCCUUCAAUUAGGAUGAUCAUAUCUUUAGCAGCCUAACUUGACCUAAAAUUGCUUCAAAUGGAUGUGAAAAAUGCCUUCUUAAAAUGAGACCUAGAAGAGGAUAUAUACAUGAACCAACCUGAGGGUUUUGUUGUGAAAGGAAAGAAAACGUUUGUGUAAAAACUUAACAAAUCAUUUUUUGGUCUCAAAUAAGCUUCAAGAAUAUGGUUCUUCAAAUUCCACUAAACCCUUAUUCGAUAUGGAUUCAAACUAAAUUAGGAUGACCAUUGUGUAUACCAUAAGACCAGUGGGACUGGCAUUACUUUCAUGACUUUAUAUGUGGAUGACAUUCUAAUAACUAGUAGCACCCUAGAUCAUAUAAGGGACACAAAGGCAAUGCUAUCAAUUAAUUUUGAUAUGAAAUAUAUGGGAGAGGCUUCGUAUGUGUUAGAGAUUCAUAUUAUAAGAGAUAGAGCAGCCCACACUAUUCAAUUAUCUCAAUCUACAUAUUGCAAAAACGUUCUUGAGAGAUUUGGUACGAGUGAAUCCAAGCCUAUAGAUAUACUUGUGGAAAGGAGAGAAAAAUUAAAUGUCACUAUAAAACCAAACAAUGAUCUUGAGAGAUAUGAGAUGGAAAGGAUCUCGUAUCAGAGUUCCGUAGGAUCACUAAUGUAUUUAACCAUGGGAACUAGAUCCGAUCUAGCAUAAGCUCAAAGCUUGAUUGGUCGAUUCCAAAGUGAUCCUGAAUUAGAACAUUGGAAAGCCGUGAAAAGAAUCCUGAGGUAUUUGAAUGGAACAUUUGAUUAUGGAUUAACUUAUGGCAAAGUGAGUAAGCUUAAAGUUUUGGGAUACACAGACUCCGACUAUCAAGCAGACAGGGAUGACUCAAGAUCCACUUCGGGUUAUCUAUUUCUUUAUAGGGAUGGUGCCAUUUCUUGGCGCACCAAGAAGCAAGACACUGUAGCCCUAUCUACCAUGGAAGCCAAGUAUAUGGAUUUAAUUUCCACAACUUUAGAAGCCAUUUGGAUUAAGAUGUUCGUGCAUCAUCUUAACUUCAACCCUCAAAAACAUGGAACUAUUAGGACCAUGUGUGACAAUCACGCUGCAAUAGCAUUGGCAGUUGAACCAAGGUUCCACAACAAGUCAAAGCACAUUAAAUAUCAUAGAGUAAGAGAAGAGAUAGUAGUUGGUGAAGUAGAAGUUGGUUACAUUCCAUCUGAGGCUAUGCAUGCAAAUCCAUUAACCAAAGGCUUGGGGGCAAAUGAUUUUGUGAGGCAUGUGCAUGGAAUGGGUUUAAGGAGGUUGACAUAGUUAUUAUUACUUUGUCUAUUACUUGUGAAUGAUAAAUACAUGGAUGAGUAUGUAUGCUUUGAUUUAUUAUGAACGAUAAUGAGAGAGAGAGAGAGAGAGAUGUAUGAAUUCAGGCCUCAAAAGGCCAAGUGGGAGAAUUUUGGAAAUAUGGCCUAUCAAAGCCUAAAUUCCAGUAGUCUGUCAUUCAAUGGGAGCAAUUGAGAGAUUGAAACCUUGACGUCUUGCGAAAUGGAGCCCAGAUUAUUUUACCCCGAGUUCGCAUGAGGCAUAGAGAGUUCACGUGUUAAGAAAGUAAUUUCUCAAGGAGGUGUGAGGGUCUCCUCCUAAUCAGGACUUUACAGGUUAGCCUCAUGUUUAUUUGCAAUUGGCCAGGGCUUGGAGAAUCCAAAUGAGAAAAAUAGAACUCGAGUACUUAUUGAGUAAUUGCCCUGCAUGGAAUGGUCAAAACUUAUAGGACAUAAGUCCGUAUAACGUGGAAAUUUGCUUGGAAAUGGCUUGGAAAUUUGCUCUAGUCUUUAUAUCCACUAUCAGAAUGCCCUCAUCAGCAUCAGGAGCUCUUCUUUAGAUAGACAGCCAAGGAGCCCUUAGUGGACAUUGUUUGCUGCUACACCAGGUUUGCUUUAACAACCAGAGUACCUCUGUGGGCCCCAUCUUGACGGGUUCAUUUUCGGGCAUUUGGUGGGCCUAUCCCGAACUUCUGGUUUAGUCCGAGAGGGAUAUUGUCGAGGUGGCCUUGAAAGGUCUCUACUCUAGUUGUUGUGGGCAAGUAUUGACCUAAUUUGACAGUUUCUUGCUUUUAAAGAGCAUCUUUGGCUUGUCGGAAUGACUUUCCUGUUUUUUCUUGACUUCUUGAGAAUGGAGCUCUUUAGCAUGGAACCCCAACUUGCCGUCUUGGAAAUUUUUUCGACUCUUAAGUCCUUUCAUGAAUGGACUCAGAAUUUUGGACUUUUCUUGAAGCUCUUUCUUUUUGGGUUCCAAUAUUGGAGAUUUUUUCUUUUUGAAGUGCUGGCUGAAGCCGCCUAUGGAGGCGAGUGCUACACCUACCUGCUUAUUGGUCUGAGUGCCCUUUCGGGUUUUUACCUGGACUUGAAGCGGUGUCGUAAAUAUGGUUUUCACCAACUCCUUAUUUUGUUGUGCUCUUUUGCCCAUGAUCAGACGGCCAUGUUUGCCUUUUUUCCAUUUUUACUCACAGUCCCCUUUCAGGUUUUCACCCUGCUCACUUUUUAUUUUAUGGAACACUCGUACUCAUGGUUUCGUGACCAUGACCGUCCCUCAUUUUUACUCAUAGCAUUCCCUUUUCAGGUUUACACCAUGCCCAUUUUUUUUGUGGGGGUGUGUUUAAGGUCAUGCCCCUGGGACCUGGGCUAUGAUUUAAGGUCAUAUAUAGACUUGACCAUUGUGCAAAGCAGUUUAACGUCAUGUGGCCAGGACGUACGCUACAGUUUAAGGUCAUAUAACUUGGACCAUGAUGGAAAUGGAUGAUGGUCUGUGGAGUACAUAGAGUGAGUAUGGUGGUGGUUUAACUCACUUUAAGCAGAUGGCACGAGACUGUUUAUGUAUGAUGGGUGAAGUUUUGUGUGGAAGGUGGAUAAGGGGCGGCCCACUAGCUGUCGGUGAGUAUGGAUGAUGGAAUGGAUCACUAGGGAAUGUCGUGAGUUUAUGAAGGGCAAUGGAGAUAGACUCAUUGGGGAGGNNNNNNNNNNNNNNNNNNNNNNNNNNNNNNNNNNNNNNNNNNNNNNNNNNNNNNNNNNNNNNNNNNNNNNNNNNNNNNNNNNNNNNNNNNNNNNNNNNNNNNNNNNNNNNNNNNNNNNNNNNNNNNNNNNNNNNNNNNNNNNNNNNNNNNNNNNNNNNNNNNNNNNNNNNNNNNNNNNNNNNNNNNNNNNNNNNNNNNNNNNNNNNNNNNNNNNNNNNNNNNNNNNNNNNNNNNNNNNNNNNNNNNNNNNNNNNNNNNNNNNNNNNNNNNNNNNNNNNNNNNNNNNNNNNNNNNNNNNNNNNNNNNNNNNNNNNNNNNNNNNNNNNNNNNNNNNNNNNNNNNNNNNNNNNNNNNNNNNNNNNNNNNNNNNNNNNNNNNNNNNNNNNNNNNNNNNNNNNNNNNNNNNNNNNNNNNNNNNNNNNNNNNNNNNNNNNNNNNNNNNNNNNNNNNNNNNNNNNNNNNNNNNNNNNNNNNNNNNNNNNNNNNNNNNNNNNNNNNNNNNNNNNNNNNNNNNNNNNNNNNNNNNNNNNNNNNNNNNNNNNNNNNNNNNNNNNNNNNNNNNNNNNNNNNNNNNNNNNNNNNNNNNNNNNNNNNNNNNNNNNNNNNNNNNNNNNNNNNNNNNNNNNNNNNNNNNNNNNNNNNNNNNNNNNNNNNNNNNNNNNNNNNNNNNNNNNNNNNNNNNNNNNNNNNNNNNNNNNNNNNNNNNNNNNNNNNNNNNNNNNNNNNNNNNNNNNNNNNNNNNNNNNNNNNNNNNNNNNNNNNNNNNNNNNNNNNNNNNNNNNNNNNNNNNNNNNNNNNNNNNNNNNNNNNNNNNNNNNNNNNNNNNNNNNNNNNNNNNNNNNNNNNNNNNNNNNNNNNNNNNNNNNNNNNNNNNNNNNNAUGGACCGGCUAGGGGAAGCAUGCAUGGAAUGGCAGCAAAGGGCGUGCGUGCAAUGGAGGAGGCACACAUGUGUGGAAGUUUAACAUCAUGUAGCCACGAUGUGUGCUAUAGUUUAGGGUCAUGCAACUAGACCGUGGUGCGAAGCAGUUUAGUGUCAUGCAGCCAGGACGUGCACCACAAUUUAGGGUCUUGUAACUGGACCGUGGUGCAAAGCAUUUUAGUGUCAUGCAACCAGGACAUGUGCUACAAUUUAAGGUCAUGCAACUGGACCAUUGUGCAAAGCAGUUUAGUGUCACGCGGCCAGGACAUGCAUUAUAGUUUAGGGUCAUGCAACAGGACCGUUGUGCGAAGCAGUUUAACGUCAUGCAGCCAAGACGUGUGCUACAGUUUAAGAUCAUGCAACUGAACCGUUGUGCAAAUAAGUUUAACGUCAUGCGGCCAGGAUGUGUGCUACAGUUUAAGGUCAUGCAGCUGGACCGUUGUUCAAGCUGCCAUGUAUGCAAGUAGUUUAGUGAGGGGUGGACUCACUGGGGGAUGUGAAGUGGAUGAGGCUCCAUGGCAAAUGAAUCUAUAAAUGGUGGUCUGACUCACUAGGGAUGAAAUGGUAGACACCAUUUAUGGGCAGUGGGUUCAAAUUAUGAAGGUGGCCCAGUGAGGGAUGGUAGGUGAAAACAGACUCACUGGGGGUUAGGGAGUGAGUGUGACUCCCUGGUGAUUAAAAUGGGUCAACUCACGUGAUCAGGGGCACGAGUAUGACUCUAGUGGGGAUGGAAAGGUGAUGAGGGUCGAACCUUGCCAAUGUGCACACAAAGGGGCCAGCUAGGGAAGGCAUGUGUGGAGGCGCAUGCAAAAGUCGUGGGUGCAGAGGCAGAAGUAUGCUCUGUGGUAUAGGGAUUGUACUCGACAGUAGUCUGUCGAAGAUAGACGUGCACAACAGCAACAUGUGGUGAGGGGCACGCUCGGCGACUUAUGUACGUCAGCAUUUUGAGGUCGUGCCUUCGAGACCGUAAAUCAUGGGUAGUACCUUUUCAGGUAACGUCCGUUGAUAGGAGGCAUUGCCUUCUUCCUAUCGGAAUAGGUAACCCCCAUUUGGAGAAGCCUUCUUGAUUACGAAAGGGCCUUCCCAUUUUGGUUCAAAAUUCUGCUUGCGUCCCUCAUGCAUAACGAUCAGUCGUUUUACUGCUAAGACCAAGUCACCACGAGUGAAUGAGCGAACUUUGACUAACUUGUCAAAAGCCCUUUUCAUCCUCCCCCGAUGAAGUUCAAGGUUCUGAUGGUCUUCAAAUCUCUUCUCGUCAAGUGCGUCUAAUUCUUGAUAGCGCAACUUAACCUAUUCAUCUUCUGUCAUAUCAUGAUGUACGAAGUGAAGGAAGUUGGAUCUCGAGACGUAGUACUACUUCACUCCCAUAAACUAAAGAAUAGGGAGUAGAGUUAGUGGCACUCCAAGUCGUAGUGCGAUAGGCCCAUAAAUCCUUGAGAAGCUUCUCAUGUCAAUUUUUUCUCGUCUUCAACAACGAUUUCCUCAAAACAUUGCAAAGGGUCUUGUUGAAGGCUUCGGCCAAACCAUUUGCUCGAGGGUGGCAUAUGGUAGAGUACUUCCACUCGAAGCCAAAUUGGUUAACCAAGCAGUCGUUGUGCUAGCUUCUGAAUUGCGGACCAUUAUCAAAUAUGAUCCGGUCAGGCACACCGAAUCGGUAAAUGAUGUGAUGUCGCACGAAGUUAAGCACUGAUUCCCCUGGGACAUGCUUGAGAGGGAUCACCUCAACCCAGUUGGAGAAAUAAUUUGUAGCAGCUAAGAUGAAGGCAUGGCCCAAUGCUGAGGGAGGGUCGAUGGGUCCGACAAUAUCCAUACCCCAUUGUGAGAAUGGUCAUGAUAUCACUAGAGGAUGCAGAGGCUUUGGUGGCUAGUGAAUGAGGUUCGAAUGUAUCUGACACAAUUGGCACCUUUUGGCGUUGGUCAACUAAUCUGCGACUAUCGAUGGCCAGUAAUACCCCAACCUAGGUAUCCAUUCGUAAAGCUUAGGACCAGACUGAUGAAGGUGACAUAUCCCGGCAUGCACUUCUUCUAGUACUUUCUUCCCCUUUUGUGUCAACGCAUGGGAGGAGGAUGUCAUCAAAGGAUCGUCAAAAGAGCACGCCCGUCAAGAAGAGUGUAUUUGUUGGACAUUCUUCAUAAACUGUUGCGCUCAAUGCGAUCGUCCAGUAGCAGACUUGUUUAAUAAAGUUGAUUAAGGGUUCCAUCAAAUCCUCAACUUGUUCGAUCUCAGCACAUAUUCGAUCAAAGAUCUCUCCUUCCUAUAUCUCGGACUUAUCGCAUUGGACCUGCUUCGCCUUCGUUUCAGCUUCGAAAGCAUCUUUGGCAGUGAGGAGUGCCCCGAAUGGGUAAGGAGGGCAUUCCAAAACAAGAAUCAUUUCAUCGUCCCCAUCUAACUCUUUAACCAGCUAGAUGAGUCUCCACUCUGCUACCUAUAUAGGUGUGGGCUCUUUCGAGGAGAUUUAAAUAGUGGCACCAAGCUUGGCAAGGGCAUCAGCCUGGGAAUUCAACCUUCUAGAGAUGUGCCUUAAGGAAAAUUCAUUGAGGUUCGCCAUCAAGGUCUUAGCAGUGUCAUGAUAAGGCUUGAGGCUGUCUUUUCUCACAUCGUAUAUCCCUUUGAGCGACCGUAUUACCUGCUGAAAAUCAUCGAAAAUGGCUAACCGUUCCAGUUCCAGGCCUAAGGCGACUGCAAGCCCUAUUAUGAGGGCUUGAUACUUAGCCUCAUUGUGCGAGUCGGCAUUUGCGAGGGAGAAGGGCAAGGGAAUGAUGCCAUCUUGAGGGGUCAAAAACACUACGCCAACACCACCUCGUUUAGACUGAAAGGCCCCGUCAAAGUACAUCUUCCAAUCAUAAGCUGAUUCAGUGCAAAACACUUCUUCAUUGGGAAGGUCGCUUGACAGGGGAGAUUCUGCCAGUAAGGGGUGUGCUUCCAAGAAAUCAGCCAAGGCUUGGCCCUUGACGGCUUUUUGUGGCACAUACCUGAUGUUGAAUUCCAUUAGUAAUAGCGCUUGACAAACAAGGGCGUGUCAUGAGGAACUUUAUGGGGGCAGCUCUCGAGAUAAGCUACACUUCAUGAUCGAGUAAAUAAUGACGAAGCUUUUGGACUACGAAGAUCAGUUCCAGGCACAUCUUCUCGAUUGGCGGGUAAUUUUUUUCAGCCCCUUGCAUACUGUGACUAAGGUAGUACAUAGCGGUUUCUUUCCCCUCCUCAUUAUUUUGUGCCAGGAGUGCACCAAGCGACUCAUCGAGGGCGGUCACUUAUAAAAUGAGGGGCCUUCCUAGCACAAGCAUGGAGAGUACCAGGGGGCAUAGAAAAUAUUCUUUGAUAUCAUCCAAGGUGGCUUGACAUGCCUUAUCCCAUAUAAGCAAGUUGUCCCUGAAGAGACCGGAGUUCUCGGAAUGUUGUUGGUGGUGGCAUUCCUCUAAUUGCCUUGAUCUUGAAAGGCUCGAUCUCCAAUACCUAAUACUUGAAAAUGACCCUUAAGAAUUUCCUUGAACGUACACCAAAGGCGCAUUAUAAGGGGUUCAUCUUGAGCUGAUGAAGGCGGAGCUACUUGAACACCUUCUAAAGGUCCUGUAUGUGAACAUCCUUCUUUUUGGAUUUUACCACCAAAUCAUCUACGUAACACUCCACCUACUUGUGUAGCAUAUCUUUGAAAAUGGUGGUCAUUGCUCGCUGAUACGUAGUACCUACAUUCUUCAAUCCAAAUGGCAUCAUCGUGUAACAAAAGACCCCUUUGGGAGUCAAGAAGGCAGUGGCCUCUUCAUCCUCUGUUGCCAUUCUUGUCUGAUUGUACCUUGAAUAUCCAUCCAUGAAGGAGAAGGUUUGACAAUGUGCUGUGAUAUAGAUAAGAAUUGUUGUGAAUGGCAAUGAGAAGUCGUCCAUUGAAUAAGAAGCAUUCAAAUCAAGGAAAUCGAUGUAGACCCCGAUUUGCCCGUUCUUCUUUUUAACAGGCAUAACAUUGGUGAACGAUUUCGGGUAUUUGACUGCCCGAAUAAAACAUGCUUCCUUGAUUUUAGUUACUUCUACAUCUAUCUACAUUUCAAGAUCAGACUGGAACCCUCUCGAUUUCUACUUUACGGGUUUGAAAGAUGGGUCAAUGCCGAGCCAAUGUACUACGACUUGGGAAUCGAGACCAGGCAUCUCAUGAUAGUGCCAAACAAAGAUGUCUCGAUUUGCUCAUAGGAAGGUAAUAUAGUGUUACCUCUCAUCUGGUGACAUGUUGGCUGGAAUAAAAGUUGGCCUCGGGUCAUUCUUAUUGCCCAAGUUUAUUUCCUCGAGAUCAUCAGUCGUAGCUUGUCCACCCUCUUCCCAUUCCUCGAGGCCUUCUUGAACUUCCAUCUCUCAUUGGUUUGUGAUUCAACGGGUCUUUUGUCGACCUCGAAUAUCCCAUCUUUCGAGUUCAUAGGUACCCAUGCUUUUGACAUCUUCGCCUCAAAUUAGUUUUGACGGUAUAAAGCAUGGUAGCCAUUUCUUCUGCCUGCUUGCUUGAGGAGGGGUCGGUUUCAAGGAGAGGGAGUGCAUAUGGUUGAGAGAGAGAAUUUUGAGGCACUUGGGUCGAUUGAGAAGAGCAUGGCUCAGAAAGUGCGAUAGGAGAGUUAUGUGAUUCAACGAUCAUAGAUACAACCGCCACAUCAUUCUUGUUUUUGUGAUGACCAUUUCUAUGUACUCCUAGAUCCACCACUGGUUUGGGUGGUAUAGAAGGUUGUGAGGUAGGCUUAGGUGGUGGAACCUUGUUUUGGGAUACCGGCUAAUUUUGCUAUGCAACCAGUAUGGAUUGAAGAGGUUGUGAGGAUUAAGUAGGUAAAGGUCGCGCCACCUGACUUGGUGCCAACUGGCCAGGUUGUGCAGCCAAGUCUAGUGCAGAGGGGUUAGAUUGGGCGAUAGGAGUAGGUAUUAGUGAAAUAGAGGUUGAUGCAGGUUGAGGAUUUGGAGAUGGUUGGGUAUAUGGAACCAAUGGUAGUCUCAGGUACUUAAGGAGUGGUGGAUUGGUCGGCAUAUUUGGGAAUGGGAUGAGUGGCGGACCAGGGUACUUUAAGAGCCUCGAUUUCUACAUGAGCGACUGUAACUUCCUGCUUGACCUGAGACUGAUUGGGUCAGUGUUGGUCACUGCUUCAGAGAUCUGCACCAUGUGGCAUGCUUCGUGAGAAUGGAAGCUCUGCCCUCUUGACUCUUUCAACCGUUGCUCGAAGUCGAGCUCAGGAGGCCAUUGCGGUUUUUUGGCCUUGGAAUUCUUGUGCUGCCUAAUAAGCUUCUCAGUAGUGGGAGGAGGCUUCUUGUUGGCUCUAGAUGCUAAAUCAUCAUCGACUAUCAGGCACAGCUGCUUAGGCCACCAUCUUCUUUAGCUGUUUUUUAUGUUGCUUGCUAAUGUUGCAACUUUUCAAGUCUUUAUCAAGAGCCUCAAAGUCUAGGCAUUCGAGAGUUGUACCUACAGAAGAUGUAUUAGCAGAAGAAGAAUAAGGGUUAGAAGAGUUGGGAUAGAAGAUGGGGGAGAGCUUUUAAGGUCGUCACUCAGAUUGGACCGAUCUGGGUAGCUUUUAGUGUCAUCAUCGAAAUUGGACGUGUGCAGGGAAUCUUUUAGGUCUUCAACCUGCUUGGACCAUUGGGGGGUGCUUUUAAUGUCGUCACCCUUAUCGGACGUGUAUAGGGAAUCUUUUACAUCCUCACCAUGCUUAGACCAUUGGGGGGUGCUUUUCACCCUUAUCGGACGUGGUGGGAACAUGACCUAAGGAAGGCUCAGGAAUGUCCUCCUAACCAGACUGUUGGUCGUGGUCAGUAGAAGCAGCCAACUUGGGGAAGAAGUCCUUCAAGGGUAGGCAACGGAGGACUUCUUCCCCUCAGUGGAAGCAGCCUACUCGUCAACGAGCGGCCCUUGGUGUUCGUCUCCUUCUGUCAUUUUUAAGAAUGGGCACAUACUGACCAGGUUCAUGUGGCUUGGGAGUUGGCUUUGCUUGGCGAACCGCUUCCCUUCUCAUGGACUUCAUUCUAUUUUGUCCUCAAUAGACUUGCCAUGAUUGGGAAGUCGAGGGUUCGCCAAAAUUAGAAGGCUCGGGUGGUGCAUUCUCACAUGAGAUCUGUGUCUGAGUGAUUUCUUGUUUUGGCAGUCCGGUGGUUAGAACGUUAUCCCAGUAACGUGUCCUCCUUGGACUUUCUCCAUGAUUAUGGCUUGGAAACCGAAGCACCCCUCUAAUCCGUGACCUCGUAUCUGGUGAUACAAACACCAAAGGUUCUGGGUCCCUCGAGCGAGGUGUUUGGGCUGUCUUGAUGGCUUCGGCGCAAUGAGCCCUACUUGAAGCAUCAUGCAUAACAUGGCCUGAAGAAGGUCUGGUGGAAGUCCAUCAAGAUGAUAUUCUCUCUUGUUUUCUUCUUGAAUUGUCACCACAUGAGAUGCUUCAGCUGCCCCGAAUGCCUUCUUGAGACAAUCGAGUUGUAUAUGCCCCUUCUAGAUUAAAGCAUCUAUGUGAUCUUUGAGAGUGAAUUAAUCCUGAACAGGGUGCCCCAACAUCCUAUGAUAGCGCAAUAAUUUUUGUGGGUGACAAAGUCAGCAUCUUCUGCCUUUUUCAUUUGAGCCAAGGCUAUCAUCUGUUGCUCUAUUAACAUCCGGAGUAAGGUCGGGACCCACUCCUUGUCAAAGCUGCAAACUUUCUUUCUUUUCUCAACCCAAUAGUCCUCUUUAUAAAGGCCGGAAAGUGGAGGCUCCUUAUUGUAGGACUUCUGUUCGCUUGCCUGGGAUGUCCCUUGAGUAUUUGUAGGAUUCACCCCCUUAGAUAAAUCUAGAGUUUGAGGAGAGGCCUUCUUUGGAUCUGAUAUAGUGACAGCAGCACUAAUCACUCAUUUCUGUUGAUUGCCCUGAGAAUUGGGAUGAGCAUUACUGGGGUUUCAGCUGUUUCCCUCGUUUGAUGACUGCGUCUAUGGUCUGUUGUGAUGCUUGAAAAGGCUUUCUAUAUGGACUGCUUUGGAGAUCAGAUCUGAUAUAGAAGUUGGGUUUGAGGCCUCAACAUGUAGGGAGUCUCCAACCGCAUGUUGCGCAUACAUGUUUGGACCGCAUGAAUUUUAGGCAUGGGGGUAGCUUGGUGCACAACUAGAUCUCUCCAUCUUGCAAUGAAUUGAUCCACUGGUUCAUCUGGGUCCUGGGUCAAUGUGAGAAGCUCAAUAGCCUGAACUUUUCUUUCAACUUCAUGGAAGCACUUGUAGAAAAAGUGCUCCAUUUUUUCUUAGGUCUGCACUAAGUUUGGAGGGAGUCGGUCAUACCACUUAAAUGUCGGGAAGAGUUUAAACGAACUGACGAAGAAGAAGCCUCCCUUCAUCUGUUGUCUCUUGACACACUAAAUACAAAUGAGUGAUAUGAUGGUGAGGGGAACUCGUGCUAUUGAAGAGCGGGAGUCUUCCCUUCUGGUAGCUAGGGAGAAACAGGAGCUGGUCGACGUAAGAGGGAUAGGGCUUCUGGUAAAGAUCCAUAACCUGUAUGCCCAGGAUCUGCCUAACACGCAAGCUGUGGGUGACCAUGGCAUCGAUGUCGACUUGUGAGACUUGAUGAGAGGAGGAAUGGUCUUGCAAAGGCAAUGACUGCCUCAGGAUCGGAUUGGCUAGAUGAUGAUAAUUGGCCUCCUGAUGAGAUGAGUUUCCAGGGAGCCAAGUCCUUUCCAUCAGCUCGAUCUUCUCCAUCAUCCUGCCCAUCAUAUCCUUGAACCGGUUCAUACAGUCUACUUGAUCGUCGUUGGGCUACUUGACAACCAUCACGUUGACUAUCUCUUUAGGAAGAUUGAUCUCUUGUGCAGUCGAGGUCUUACAUACCCGUCGGACUGGGUGAGGCAGGUCGGUCAGCAGGGGCUCGACAUGCCCCGAUUGAGCUUGAGCCUUGUAUGUUGGUCGGGUCAAGACCGGUUCACGAUGGUCUUGGGACCACAAGGGCUGCAAGGUUAGAUCGUCUCCUACGACACUGAUGACAAUGCAGCAUUCCGGUUCUUCCACCUCAAGCUCUGCUACAACCUGUAAUGGGUAAAAGGGGUUCUUGGCCAGGGGAUCAGCAGGCUUGCUUGCACCGAGUGUCUUAGGUUCUUCUCUCAGCACUAUUUGAAAGCCGCAAUCAUUCCUGGCCUUCAGGCUCUGGUAUACCUCCCUCUAGGAUCGAGAUUGGGACUGUGAUUGUGUAUGGUCUGCUUUCUUCAAACACGACUGGGCAAUCUCCAUGAGAUGAGGCAAGGGAUGUGGACCAGGAACAAGAGUCAGCUCAGGCUUUCUUGGCUUGGGAAGAGACGGGGGAUGGAAUAUCUCAUCACCCAAGGGUCGGUCUAAAGAGGGUACUCUUAGAGAAAGCCUUCGAGUACCAGGUCUUGAGCGGUUCUUCCGAAGGAGAAGGGACGAACGGGGGACGAGACAACUGUCAGUGGCCUUUCUAUCAAGAGCUCGAAGUAGUUUGUGGAGGUGGCGGGGGUGUGCCCUUUGAAGAAGGGUUCCAAGUGAUCUGGGGAUCAACCUGGGCUCAAGCAAUCGAUCGGGCCUUAGGAGGUUGAGUAUCAUGAGCAAGUUUUGUGAGGGAUUAGUCUUGUGACCACCCCUCACAGAGUGCGCAGGUAUGUACAAAGAGGGACGACGAGAGGGUCGUCUCUCAUGUACUCGGGUAAAUGUAGCAACAGGGCUGCCCCGAGUAGUGCGAUGCAUAUGCAAUAGAUAUACAGGGCCGAGUCUAAGAGGACCCAAACUUGGACAGUGGCUCGAGACAGCCUGAGGGUUGCCCCGAGGUGUGGCUCAAGUGGAUGGACCACGAGCUUUAAUGCGUGUGUGAGAGGUGGUGGCCUUAUGGCCUCCUCCUCUAUGUGUCGAGCCUCUUGUUACAGGGGCCUAAUGUGGUAAGAGUGGGGGGUGACCUUACGACGACCCAUAGGAGCACUGACAGCUGGACUGCCAUGUGUAGGAAAGGAAGGGGUGGCCUUUUGGCUGCCCUCAGUAGUGGGACCAGCAAGUGAUUUGUUGGUAGCAGGGUGCAUGCAGUGUGUGGUGGCUAGUGCACCACCCAUGAAGGGUCCAUCAAGGCUAGGAGAUGGGGAGUGAGAAACGUUUAGGUCCCCCCUUUUACCAAUCUAGGUUAGGACCUGGGAGCAUGGCACGAGGUCAACACUCAGAAGGAAGGUCGAGAACGAAGUUCGGGGAAUCUGUUCUUGAAGAGAACUCGCGAGUGCGAAGAUUAGGAAGUCCCCGACUCGGAUGGAAGGCUUAACCGACCCUGAAGUCAUGUGUGUGUUAGUGACCAUGAAAUAGAAGAAAGGAAAGCCAAACAAGGACAUUCUGACUAUGGGGUAGCGUGUCCCCAGUGGAAUCGCCACGCUGGUUUGGUGCCUCGAUCUCACCCUCCAAGUGGGGAUGACCUGGUGGCAUGGUUCCGGGUUUGAGAUGGACCCGAGACCUGAGAUCGCUCUCUCGGGAACAGCGUAAGGAGGACACGGGCAGGAAUACCAACCGGUGACAGAGGAAUUGAGUCGUGAGGCAGAACUUACCUCACAUGGGUCCAUGACAUGCUCGGGCUGGCUCGCAUGGGCGCCCUCUUAGAUCACGUGGAAUACCCCUGGCUUGUGGCCGGUUUGGAAUCGUCUCCCUUGACCUAUUUCUUCUUCCCUGAAAAUACACACACACAUUAGAAUGCAAACAAGUGGGUCAAAAGACUCCACCUUGUUUUUGAAUGAAUGCACAUAGGCAUGUACAUUUGAGGGGAUAAUGAAGGAACAUCGACAUUGGAUCCCUAUCAAUUGGAUAGCCUUACGGCAUCUUCUUCAUAAGAGAUUCGCGACAUUAUUUCAUGAUGAAAAAUGAAAGAAAAAGGGGGUGAGAUGAAGAAAAUGUAGGAGAGACAAAGAAAGACAGAGAAAGAAAGAGUAGAAUAGAGGAACGAAGAUCAGUUUGGCUUUCAUCUUCUUCAGAGAGAGAGAGAGAGAGAAGAAAGUAAAGAGAAACGAAGGGCCAGUAUGUCCUUCAACUAGUCCUUUAGAGAGAAAGUAAAGAGAAACUUUUUAAAGAAAAGGGAAAUGAAGGUCUAGUAUGCCUUUCAACUAGUCCCUCAUAAUGCAAAUGAAUAAAGAGAGAAGGCAAGAUUGCUUUUCACCCAGAUCCUUUAAAGAAUAAAAUAACAAAAGAAGCAAGAAAGUUAAGAGAGAAGAGAAAAGGAGAAGAGAGAAAAAGAAGAAAGAGAAGAAAGAUACAGACGGAAGCUUAACUACCAUUUGUGAUGAGAGAGAAGAGAGAAGGAGAGAGCAUAAAUGGUGGCUUAGUUGCCGUCUGAAGAGAGAGAAGAGGGAAAGAGAGAGCACAGACAGUGGCUUAGUUGUUGUCUGAAGAGAGAGAAGAGAGAAAGUGAAAACACAGAUGUGAAGAGGGAGAAGUGAGAAAGAGUGAGCACAGACGGCGACUUAGCUGCCAUCUAUGAAGAGAGAGAAGUGACAAAGAAAGAGUACAAACGGAGGCUUAACUGCCGUCUAUGAAGAGAGAGAAGAGAGAAAGAGAGAACACAAACAGUGGCUUAUCAAAGAGAUAAGGAAGGGAGAGAGUACACAACAGGUGGCUUAUCUAUCGUUUGUGAAAGGAGAGAAGAGAGAGUAUACACAAAUGGUGGCUUAUCUGCCAUCUGUGAAAGGAGAGAAGGAAGAGAGAAAGUACACAGAUGGUGGCUUUGCUACCAUUUGUGAAAAGAGAGAAGGUAGAGAGAGAAUACAUAGAUAGCGGCUUAACUAUCAUUUGUGAAAGGAGAGAAGGAAGAGAGAGAAUACAUAGACGACGACUUAACUGUUGUCUAUGAAAAGAGAGAAGGAAGAGAGAAUGCACAGACUGCGGCUUAACUGCCGUCUAUGAAAGGACAGAAGGAAGAGAGAGAAUAUAUAGAUGAUGGCUUACCUAAUGUCCGUGAAAGGAGAGAAGGAAGAGAUAGGAUACAUAAACAGCGGCUUAGCUACCAUCUGUGAAAGGAGAGAAGGAAGAUAGAGAAUACACAGACAACGGCUUAGCUACCAUCUGUGAAAGGAGAGAAAGAAGACAGAGAGUACACAGGCAGCUGCUUUAGCUGCCAUUUAUGAAAAGAGAGAAGGAAGAGAAGGAAAGAAGGGGAGAGCACACGGACGGUGGGUUAGCCACCGUUUGUGAAGAAAAAAUAUAAGAGAGAGAAAGAGAAGAGAGAUAAUGUAGAGACCGCAGCAAGGCCUGCCAAAAAGGGUAGGCCCACAUUGCUGUCCCUGGGAAGAGGGAGACAGAAAGAGAGAGAAAACAAAAAGAAAGGGAAAGAAGAAAAGAGAGAGAGAAGAAAGAAGAGAAAAUAGAAAGGAAAGAAGAAGAGAGAUAAAGGAAAGAAGAAGAGAGGGAAAGGGAAGAAGAAGAGAGAGAAAAGAAAGAAGCAAAGAGAGAAAAGAAAGAAGAAGAGAGCGAAAAAAGAGAGAAAGAAGAUAGAAGAGAGAGUUACCUCGAUGACUGAGGGGUACCCAUUAAAAUAUUCUCUCUCCUCUCUCUCUCUAAACCAUGACCCAAAACUCAAGCAAAAGCCAAAUUUUAAUUGAUCAAGAUUGUGUCCUUUACAUGUGAGCAUCACGUGCUUAUAUAUAAUUUAAAUCCAAACAUGGGUGGAUGCUCAAUUUUUAACCUAAUUGUAGAAAAAUAGGAAUUAAAUGAAUUAAAAAAAAUUAAGAAAUUAGGUACAAAAUGAUGAUUUUGGCCCUCACCCACAAAUCUUGAAAUUCCAAUUAAGUCUCUUUCAUGGCCAUGCAACCUUCGCGAUCUUCCGGGGUCCGUUUGGGGUCCUGGUUUCAUCCAGCCAAAAGAUUAUUCUUUUCUUGAUCGUCUUGGGAAGACGAUCGUUUUGAUACCCAUUUCGAACCAUGGAUCGGACUUUUGGGCCACGAUCACGAGAUGUAAAAAUCAUGAGAAACAUGUGAUCUUUGAUUCAAGAUCACGUGUUUCUCCAUUUUUUUCAUGAUUUCUUUAUUGUACUUUGAAGAGCAUGCCGUCAUGAGCAUUUUGGCGACAAAAGUGGCUCGAUUUGGUGUCCGAACGACCAUUUUCCAAAUUUGAUAUUUUGACCAAAGUUUGGUUUCUGAUGGCCGAAAAUUGCAGCAACUUCGACUCCAUAGUGCAACGAAUUUGACCGUUCAUCACGUACAAGAUUUAGCUCAAAUGAAGCCUCAGACCUCAUGCUCGUAAUGGGCUUGAUUGUGCGUCGAUCCAAUGCGUGAGCGCCGUGAUGUGGGCAUUCGAUUGAGGGGACGUGCAGAUGGAAAUUUCUUGCUUCUUUUGGAACUUUCCAACGAACUUAUCUCUUUGAUUUCUCUCGGCUCGGGCCGUGUCAUCAUGUGUGCCAUAUAUCAAAUCGAUCGGGUCGAUGAAAUGAACAUGCUCCCAAAAUUUGGGCUCGAUCUGACCUGGGAUGAGGAAGAUACAACCAUGUGACGUUUGCCCCCGAAAUUGAGAACCACAGUUUUCAUUAAUGAAAAUUGGUUCACCAAGGGUGCACCGUAAUAGUCUCAGAAUGAUCCAAGAAGGUUCCAGAUUGUGCACUGUAAUAAAAAUUUUAUAGCUUCCGUAGCCCACAAGUUUUGGUACCUACGGAUAAGGGUCACAAACUGCUUUCUCCUUAUUCACAUCAGGGAUACAAGUGUUGAAAAAUACCUUCAGACAGUGACAUCAUCCAUAUGGGAAAUAACAUUACCCACCUGGGGCAUUAAAUACCACUAGUGUGUCAUGUAGGUGACAUCACACCCUAUGUAAAUGUCCUCACACCCUCCAAAUGACCAAAAAUACCCUUAUUAAAAAAAUAUUCUAUGUAUAAAAUAAGGGUAUAUAGGUGUCCACAAUUGUUGACUACAAUGAUAAAUUACUCCACAUAUGAGCACCCUAACAUAACCCCCCCCCACACGCACACAUAUNNNNNNNNNNNNNNNNNNNNNNNNNNNNNNNNNNNNNNNNNNNNNNNNNNNNNNNNNNNNNNNNNNNNNNNNNNNNNNNNNNNNNGGAAAAUGCUGAGAAUAGCCCACUAGCUCAUAUGAACAUAUGAGCCCAACGAUCUAGACUGAAUCUGGGCCGAUCUAACGGUAACGACCUCAUUUUGUGUUUGAAUUUUAAUUGUUUUUCUACGAAUCCAAAUAACUUGAAAUUUUAGGAGUUCAUUCUUGUUUAUGAUACAAAAUCUAACAGAUCUGGAUAAUAGCCAGCAACUCCCUCAGUAUAGGGUGGUUGUGCCCUAUAGAUGGUUCUAGGCUCUCUCGGGUUUUAGGUUUGAAGUUCCAAGAGGCUAGCUCUAAAGUUUCUCAUCUCUUUAAAGCUCUAGGGUCUCCAUCUCUAUCUCUUUAGGUUUUUCUCUCUCUCUAUGUCCAAUCGUAUUCUUUGUCCCCCCUCAAAUGACCACGAAAAGAGGCCUUAUAAAAGCUUGUUGGAAAGGAUAUGCACGCAUGACCAACAAAUCCCUCGAUCAAAGAUGCACAUUUUGAGGGUCACAGAUUUAGGCGGCAUGGGUCUUGUCGCCGGGGGGCGGCACGGGUCGUGUAACCCAAGUAAAUUGAAAAAGUCAAAAUUCAAUUUGGGGCUAGUCAGAACUGGGCGGCACUGAGAGUGUCAUCUGGGUGGCAUGGGUUCUGUCACUUGAGCAGCACGCCCCAUGUCGCACACACCAAUUUUGGUCCAAAUUGAGACUUUUUACUUCUGGUGUGUUCUUCAGCCUCUUGUGAAGUUCUUAAAGAAAAUUUGAGUCAAAACGGAUUAUUUUACUAUUUUACUGAAUUUUUUGGUAAAACAGGGUGUUUACAGAAAUAUGGGUCAAAACAAGGUUUCUACAGGGUUCCAGGUAAGAGAAUUGGUUCUAGGUCACAGGAUAGAUUGUGUCAACUAUGGAUUUGGGUUUACUAGAUGAAGUAUGAUCCUAAGGGUUCAGGAAACCACAGAAUUUGCCAUAUUUAAAAUGGGGUGUCUACAUUUGCCCCUCUUUGGCACUCCUUGUCCUUUGGGGGACAAGUGAGUGGCAAAGAAAUAGACACUUUGACGAUCUCUGUCCUUUGAGGGAUAGGUGAACGUCAAAGAUAAAGCAAAUCCUGAAGUCACGUGGUCAGGGGGCACACCAACUAUUCCCUCCAAAUGCGCUCACCGAGCUCACUCACCUAGAGCAUUUUUCCCUCUAGGCUUUUCGGCGUGAGAUGUCGGUGAGUUACACAAGCUUGAAACUCGAGUUGGAUUUUCUGACCGUGUCACUUAACUUCUGGGGUUUUGCAGUUUGAAAUUUUUAACCCUGGCAUUUUCUUUGAUCUCCUUAGGAUUUCCUAAGGUUGUCUAUGGUAAAGGAAUUUUAUAGGAAGAGACUUGUCUGGUUGAAUCCGAAGAGAGAGACGAGGUAGUAAUGCGGUAAUCGCAUCAACGUGGGAAUCGCAGUAACACAGUGAUCAUCACAUAUGGGUGUCGAAUCUCCUUUGUUUUAAAAGUCUUUUAAGAAAAAUUGAACUUAGGGGAAGAUUUAAAAUAGAACUCGGAGCAGGGACAGGUUACGAUUUUAAUAAAGAAAUAAAAGUUUUUGAAAACACAUGACAUAUAGUGAAAAUUUUAAAAAGAGGAAGAUAUUUCGAAAACAAAGUUGGUUAAUAAUUUUAACUCUUGCAACCAUAGAACCCUCUAAGAAAUUUAGCGUCAUGCAGCAAUGGACCAUCACUCGACCCUUUUACGUCAUAUGGGGAUAGAAAUUUUCAUUGAAUAGGGUUGUUGUGCCCUGAACACACCUGACCUUUUACGUCAUAUGGGGAUAAACGUUACCCUUCUCAGCUCUUUCACGUCGCAUGAUUUUGACAUAGAACUGAAUUGGCUUUAGUUGUCAGUUUAGGCUCAUGCCACCAAGGAGCAUUUUCUCUCUCUCUCUUUUUUGUUAUAUCAUUAAAGGGGUAAAACAAGGUUCAAGCUGGGAGACACGACGCAUGCCGCCUGGGUGACACGGGGCACAUCACUCAGUCUUAGGUACGGACUUGGGCGACACGGGGCGUGCCGCCCAGUCCACCAACCCCCAAAUUUCAUUUUUAUCAUUUUGUUCAGUUUUAGGGUUAUCUAAACCCUCUGUUGGCCAAAGUGGAUAGCCACAAGACGAGUUUUGAGUCAGAUUUCUUGCUUUCUAUAAAAAUCAAACUCCUUUCCAUUCUCUCUUCAUCCUUCAAGCUCUUCUUUCUUCUUCACAACUUCAUCUUCUUGCUUUCUUCAUCGUUUUCCCUCUGAUCUUGCUAGUUUUUCUUCUUCUUACUCUUACAGUUUCAUGGCUCCUAGGAAAGACGAUACGGUUUCCAAGGGCAAAGGGAUGGUUUCUAAGCAGGCUAAUAAUGGAAGAGAUGAGGAGGCUUCCCCUCUUUUUCCUAGAGUUAGGCACUUCCCUGAAAGUCUGCCCUCUCACAUCCCGUAGGGCUUCGAUCGGGCGAAGUUCCUCGAAGUGUCAAUGGCUUUCCCAUCAUCGAACCCUAGUUCCGGGAUUGGUUUCUUUCCGCUCGGUAGUGGCUCAAGCUCAUGACUCUUCUGGCUUCAAUUUCGAUGAUAGGCAUCUUGAACAUGGCCUCUUGCCAUGUGAAAUUUCCACUCCUUGAGGCUCUUGCUGAGAGGUUCAACUAUCAGACUAUCAGACGAACACUUUCUUUUUUUCCACAUGUGACACAACGCCAACUUUGGAGGAAGUUAUCAUGAUUUAUGGCUUGAACGUGGCCGGUAUUGGAUAUCAACCUUCCACUGCCAUCGACGACCAUUCUAUCACUGUUGGGGGCUGUUUAUUCUUCUCAUGGUCAGUGGGUUGAUACAGAGUUGCUGGUCCAAAAUUGAGAGCAAUCUCGAGCUGCCGAACAAAUUCGUAUUUUUCUUUUUGUGUUGUUGGACUCCAUUCUCUUUCCGAGUGGUCGUAAGAUGGUUCGCAAUUCCCUUUUUCCUUUAGUCCAUGCCUUAUGGGAACUAGCGGGUUACACGGGCAUAUACUAGGGUCUUCACGACAGGGUCACGUGAGGUGGCCGAUUUAUUGAGGGUAGUGUCUUGAUUUUGCAGGUAUAUUUUUUAACAUAAUUUUAUUUUAUUUUGUCCCUGAAACUUAGUUUUUUGUCUAGGUUUUGGGCUCUGAAACCCAUAUUUUUGUCACAAGAAUUAAUUGGAAAAAGCUCGGCUUGAUCCAAGAGGGUCUCAGUUGGGCGACACUACCAGUGUCGCCCAAACCAAUUUCCCCCGAUCAUUCCGGGGUUCUUGAAUUUUUAUUGUGUGACCUUUUGGGAUGCUUUUGACUCCUGUUUUCUAAAGAUUUGGGCCUACGAACAUGUCACUGUUGUCCGCCCUACUCGGUCAAUGAUAGUUAUAUCUGCUGCUCUGGGACUAGCAUAUGUCAACGACACCACUUGACCCUAGGAUGUCAAUUAUUAUCAGAGGAUUCUUGACGAGUUUUCUUCAUUCGAUUAGGUGAUCAAGGGUCUUGAAAACAUAUCCCUAUUGCUUCCUACUUUAGGGCAUUCAUGUUCUAUUCUGGCAGGGCUGAACUUCACAGAGGGAUAUUUCCCUCAGAGGGUGCUUUGCCAGUUUCGCCAUACUCAGAAUUACACUUCUCCAUGAGAGGUGAUCGAUCGUCGCCCUAUCUUUCUACUUCGUCGACACUCUUCAACCCUUCGGGUCAAGGCAAGUUUGUCAUGGAAGGGAAAGAAGUACUCUUUUAGUGAGGGGUUAGCUAAGCAAGACAAGCCCACAACCACUCGAACUAUGAUUCUUGGUGGGACGUGCCUGUCCUCUUUCACUAUGCCCCAGAUCCUCGAGAUUUUGUGGCGAGUCUUAUGUUCUUGCUCAGGAUCUCGUGCCUCAUCGAGAAGAUGGUGCCUCUUGUUCAAAUAAACGAAUCAAAUCCAAUGAGGACAUAUGUGACCUCAACUUGGAAGAAGCUGAAGUAGAAUUGGCUCGAUGGGUGGCCUUUGUGGCAAAACUCAAGGAGCAGGAUGUUGAUCCGAAACCGAAGACUGAAUAGCCAAAAUAUUUUCUUUUCUUUAUUUUGUCCUUGGCACGAAUAAGUUGAUCUCAUGAUCAGCAUUAUUUUUCAAUAAUUUUAUUUUUGUUGAAGUCUGUUAAGAUAGUAGGAAUUUGAGUCAUAGGACCAAGUUUAAUGGCGUGCACGCCUGUAAUAAGCCCAUUUUAAUGGAUGAAUAAAAGUAGAGUUUUGAGAUACCCAAAAUUUUGUUUUCUAUUCUUCUUGAUCUCUCUUUUUUCUUUUCUUUUUUUUUUUUACUGCCCCUGUUGGGCGUCUUUUAACUUGUACAUGUGCAAUUGAUUUAUCGAAGCAUAGCGGGAUACUUUCUUUGCAAACAUCUUUCAAAAUUUUACAAACCCAGCCCCCUAGUUGUAGGGUUUUUGUCUCGAAUUUCCAGCUAUUGGGUCAUCAUACACACACAUAGGAAUAAGCUUGCCUCAUUUUGCCCAAGGGCAUCCAGUCGGGAGAAAGACGCUCCCAAACUAGCCAAUUUCAUCAUUGACGAGGUUCACCCAUCUCUUAUAUGUGGUAGUUAGUAUUUAUACUCUUACAACCAUGGAGUGCCUGACUAGUGUUGAGCUUUCAUAAUAGGCAUAGAAAGUUGGCUUCAAGAAUGAGGCCAGAUGACUAACAGUCUAACCUUUUGUAGUGAUGGAGGAAGUCCUUUCUAAAAGGAUUUUGAAAAUGGACAAUUUAAAAGUCCAUUUGAAAAGCAUUUUCAAAAAGAACGGGUGUUACAGUUUUGCCACCUGUGGCCCUUUGGUGGUCAUUUUCUUUAUCAAUUUUUUACCCCGAGAUGAUGAAAGGAUUUUCUUGUGGGAUCGUGAGAACUCAGGAGUCUCGAAGUUGUCCUUUUACCUUUGGAGCUUUCAUCUUGUGCUUCACGGAUCCAUAAAGAAUUCUUUGGAUUCUUGUCGGACUUUCAUCUUGGAGAGGUCUCGAUAUUAUCCUAGGGUUUGUCGAAAUCACUUUGGUUUUCCAUUCAUGUCACCCCUCUACAUCUUUCUGAGUUGGUUCUGUUGGGAGCCUGCAGGGUUUAGGAGGAGUCUUCAUCCUCAGGGUCUGCUUGUGCAUUAUUGUUGAAACUUACAAGUACUUAUUUGUACUUGAGUGUUUUGGGUCGAAAGCUCCCUCUUGGAGAUUUUUUUUUUUUCCUUUUGCCCGCGAUGCCUUUUUAGGUUUUCACUACAUCCUUUUUUUUUUUUCUUUAUAUUCUUUCAUUUUUUCUUUUGAGAUGCCUUUUCAAGUUUUCACCAUACUUUUGAGCCCGUUAUGGGUAAUAUUUUCUAAGAUACAUUGCAUUAAUGGGGUCAUUGAGUUCAUACCCCUCCUGAUUUUUAAUAUUAUACGAAUGGCCUUCAUCCACUCUGGAAAUCAUGAAUGGCCCCUCCCAAUUAGGUUUGAACUUGCCUAAAGGGUGUGGAUUUGCAGGAGUGUGGAAGAUUUUCUUGAGUAUCAUGUCUCCUUCUUUGAACUGUCGAGGAGCAACUUUUCUUUGAUAUGCCCUCUCGACCCUACGCUAAUAAGCAACGAUAUUUUGUGUCGAUCGUAGUCGUUUUUCUUCCAAAUUAAUGGGAGCAGUGAUUCGUCCUUCGAUCGUUUGUCCCUCAUCUAAAUUUCUAUGAAUGAGCACUCGGAGAGAUGUUAUCUCAACUUCAAUGGAUAGCACUGCUUCCAUAUCAUACACCAUUGAGUAUGGGGUCAUGCCAGUACGAGUCUUCUCAGUUGUCUGGUUGGCCAAUAGGGCGUCGUUUAGCGUUUCGUACCAAUAUUUUCCACAUUUUAUGAUUCUUUCUAUUAUUUUGAGAAGUCCUUUGUUUGUGGCAUCCGCUUGUCCAUUUCCUUGAGGGUAGUAAGGUGUGUAAAAUUUCUGCGUUAUCCCGAAUUUUUUACACACCUUAGUGACCCUUUCAUUGUUGAAAUUGAAUCCAUUGUCAGUAAUGAUUGACUCAUGAACACCAAAUCUGAAUACAAUGUUGUUCUUUAUGAAACGGGCAACAUGUUGUCCUUCUAUUUUGACACAUGAUGCGGUCUCUACCCAUUUUGUGAAGUACUCUAUAGUCGUAAAUAUAAAAUGGUGACCGUUUGAGGCUUUUGGUGAUAUCAUUCUGAUGACAUCAAGACCCCACAUGGCAAAGGGCCAUAUGGGGGGUGUUGAGUUGAGUGGUACGGAUGGUGCAUGGAUGAGGCCUCCAUAAAGUUGACAUUUGAGACAUCUCUUAACGAACUUCUAAGAAUCUUCAGUCAUGGUGGUCCAGUAAUAGCCUUGGCGCCUAAUUUUCUGAGCUAAGGCAGCUGCCCUAGAAUGACCUCCUUCAUUGUGUAACUCUGUCAGUACUUGGUCGAUUUCUGGCUGAUCGAGACAUCGUAGAAUGAUGUCAUCUAAUGAUUUCUUGAACAGGAGGUCACCUCUUACCAAGAUUCCCAUCGAAAACCUUCGAAGGUCUUCUUUAUCUUUUUUGGUGGCUCCUUCGGAUAGAACAUCGUGGAACCAUGGUUUUGCCUUAACUAACGCAUCUGAAGCCACAAGAGACACUUCCCCAUCGUUCUCAUUUUCUUACUCUAUUUCUUUUUCGAUCCUUGGUGGGGAAGGGUCAUUUUUUGUCCUGAUGUAGAAUGGAAGCGUGGUGAUUUCUGGGGGAAUAUCAAUUAUUGAGGCAAGGGUUGCAAGAGUGUCGGCGAACCGAUUAUUUUCCCUAGACACGUGCUAGAAGGUGAUUUUCUUAAAAUAUGGGAUCAUCUUUUCCACCUUUUUUUGAUAAGGUUUAAGCUUUUCUUCUUUCACCUUCCAAAUCCCUUGAAUUUGGUUUAUGACAAUUAAGGAGUCACCAAUCACUCGUAUUUGCUGGAUUUUCAUUCUCAUGGCGCUCUCGAGCCCAGCUAUCAAGAAUUCAUAUUCAGCAAUGUUAUUGGUACAUGGUAAAUUCAAUCUAAUGGCUAUUGGCAUUAAAAUCUUCUCGAGUGAGCAUAGUAUGGCUCCUAUACCUGACCCCCGUAUUCAUUCUUUACACCGUCGAAGUUUAGCUCCCAAAUUGAAUCCUCAAUUGUGCAGAGGUUCCCAUCAGGGAGAUCCGUGUUGACGAGAAUGUUAUCUGACAGUGUGUGUUCAGCUAAAUGGUCAGCAAUGACUUGUCCUUUGACCGAUUUUUUAGUGACACACUCGAUCUCGAACUUGCUCAACAGCAUUCUCCACUUCGUCAAACGUCCAUUAAGGACUGGUCUCUCCAAUAGGUACUUGAGUGGGUCUAUUUUUUUUAUGAGCUUGACUAAAUAAGAUAAGACAGAAUGUCUUAACUUCUGCAUAACCCAAACAAGUGUUAAGCAAUGCUUCUCCACAUUUGUGUAUCUUGUCUCAUAGUCAACCAUGGUUUUGCUGAUGUAGUAUAUCAUUUGUUCUUUUUCAUGGUUGUCGUAUUGUCCUAACAUUGCCCCCAUGGUCUUGUCUUUCACAGAUAUGUAUAGGAAUAAGGGGUUUAUCUAGACUUAGAGGACUAAGGAUGGGUGGUUUGGUGAGGUACUCCUUGAUUUUAUCAAACGCUUCUUAGCAUUCAUUAUCCCAUAGGAAUGGGGUAUCUUUCUUAAGAAGUCUAUUGAAUGGUGCGCACUUGUCUGCUAGUUGUGAAAUGAAACGUCUUAUGGCUUGUAUGUGACCUUGAAGCCCACAUAUUUCUCUAAUAUUUUGGGGAGGGGGCAUUUUUGUAAUGGCUCGUAUUUUGGACGGGUCCACCUCAAUGCCCCUUUGGCUUACUAUAAAUCCUAGUAAUUUGUCAGAUUCAACUCCAAAGGUACAUUUUUUUGGAUUGAGUUUGAGUUGAUGUUUUCAGAGUCUUUCGAAAAUGGUUCUCAGGUUGGUGAGAUGAUCAAACCUGGUCUUCGACUUGACCUGAAUGUCGUCAACAUAAUCUUCCAUAAUGGUAUGCAUUAAGUCAUGGAAGAUACUAAUCAUUGCCUGAUGAUAAGUUGCCCCUGCAUUUUUUAGACCAAAGGGCAUGAUGUUGUAGCAGUAAGUUCCCUAUUGUGUUAUGAAUGAAGUCUUGGUUUCAUCUUCUUUUUCCAUGAGGAUUUGGUUGUAACCCGAGAAGCUGUCCAUGAAUGACAACAUCUCGUGCCCUGCAGUGUUGUCCUAUAUUUAGUAACAGGAAAUUGUCUUUGGGACAUGCCUUGUUGAGGUCUCCAUAGUCGUACUCGGAUCCUCUCGUACUUUUUGGGUACGACCACUAGGUUGGCCAACCAUUUGAGUAAUCGACGGGUGUAAUGAACUUCACCUUGAGCAGUUUAUCAAUUUCUUCCUUAAUUUUGAGCUCAAGGUGGGUCUUUUGAUGUCGAAGUUUCUGCCUUACAGGCUUUGCCGCUUCAUUGAAUAUUACAUCAUGUUGCACCAACAUGGGAUCAAACCCUGGCAUAUGAUCGUAUGACCAGGCGAAGACAUCUCUAUAUUCCUUGAAAAAGGAAAUCAUAAUUUCCCGCUCCUCAAGAGAUAGGGAGGUUCCAAUCUUGGUUAACCUUGGGUCCUUCUCAGUUCCUAUGUUCACAAUGAUAGCCGUUGGGUCACCAUCGAACCUCUUCUUGAAUUGCUUGACAUGGGAAGUGAGUUCCUCAGGUUGAGAGAUUUUCUUAGACUCUUGGCUCUCUUGAUCUUCGUCUUGGUCAUCCAAUUCGCCAUCUUGGGUGUUGUGCACCAUUAUUGGUCUAUCUUGAAUGUUCGCUUGUUUUUUAAAAUUCUUUCCAUUAUCAUUAGUUUUAUCAUGUUUUGAAUUUUCAACAGUGGAUUUUGAAAUAUCAGAAGAGGUAUCCCUUAUGGGACUUUCGAGAGUUAUGUUGAGGACUGGAUGCGCAGGGGUGGUUAGAUGGCCACCCUGCGUCGAUCCGUUUUUUGGCACCGGAACUUGAAGGUGCCGCUUGUAUGCUUCCAGCGAUGUUGGAGAUAGAGGAGUGAUUGAUCAAUUUCGUUCCUGGGUUUGAAUAGGCGGAUGAGCAUGCUUGGCUACGUUAGAGCCAAUUGUGCAUACCUUCAAGUCCAGGUUAGCAAAAAGGUCUUCAAUUCCUAGUUCUUGUAUGUGCUGAGAUGUAGAAGAAGAAUUAUUUCCCGUUGGGGAUUCAACAGUCACCUUUGGCCAUUUGAAGGACGGACGUCGGGAGGAUCGAGGCUUUGAAUGCCUCUAGAUACAAAGCUCGGAUAACGUGAAGGCUCCAUCCGGCUUUGAAAUAGGGUGAGAGUGCACCCGAGUCCUCUUCGAUUCCCGUUUUCAGUUUUAGCUUGGGGUGAUGCAGAAAUUGCCUCCCUUAAGCCUUGUCUUGACUCCCUAAGCUUUGGCCUAGUUGGAAGCCUUAAGAGAAGAGCAUGUCUAAGCCUCGAGGGACCCAAAGCAGUAUUAAUGUUAACAUUGGAUAAUCUCUUCCAUCGAUGCGGAAGUUUGUAAAAUUUGAGAAACAGGGUCACUGGCCUCUUGGCGUAAGGUGGCACAAUCAGCUUGCUCGAAGGAAGCGAGUGGGAUUUCUCCAAGCUCGACCCCUAUGGCUAGCGGCCCAUUAUGUAUACUAGGAUUGAGAAAAGCAGGGGGUUCAGCACAUACCUUUGCGACACCACUUUUGUUCAGAAAUUUUAGGUAUUGAUGGAGCAUAGAUGCGACCACGAGGUUUUCAUGCAACAAUAGUCUUCCUAACAGCAGGUUGAAUGAAGUUUUAUGUCCAAGAUAUAAAACUUUAUCAUUUGGACAAUAGGACCGAUCUUGAGUGUGAGAGGCAAUAUGCCUUCAGCUUGUCUCUUGGUCCCGUCGUAUGCGACGAUAAUUUGUUAGCACGGCUCGAAGUCAUCUGGGCAUUUGCCUAUUUGCUUCACCAUUUUCAUAGGGCAUAUGUUGAAGGAUGCCCCAUUAUCAACAAUAACUCUUCGUAUUUCAUAUCCUUGCAUGAAAACAGUGACGUGCAGAGGGUGGACAUGAAAACGGUUGAAGCUACCUAGGAUGUCAUCAUCCAUGAAUACAAUUGGCAUUGGUUCCAUCAAUUGUUUGAUCAUUCCACACAACUCGUCCGGUUGUGUGUUGCUCAGGAUGUGUGUCUUAGCAAGAACCCUUUCGAUCUGGGCUCUGCGUGCGGGCGAGUAACUCCAGGAUGGAGAUUUGAGCCUGGAUCUUUCCGAGAUGAGUCGGUAGAUCGUAGUGGUUGCAGAUCCUUGAGUUUCUUUAUUCGACUCAUGAUCUGCGACCCCAGCUAGUUGUUUGGCUUUCGAGGUGUUUCCCAUUCUUUUAUUGAGAGUGUCAGCCAUCAGUUGAAUGGGUUUGAACACUCAGCUUUUUCAGGUUAAGGAAUCAACCUCGCCAUCCAGAAGCUCGAUAGGGUCGACCCUAGCAAGAGUAAUGGGAGACUUUAGGGUGUUAGCCCCUUGUUUGGAAGAUGGCAUCUUUUCAUUGGUCCUGACCAUAUCGAUUUCUAAUGUAUCACCUUCACCAUAUUGAUCCCAUUUGGGAAGGUUGUCGAGGUUUGGAGAUGAAGGGAUUCCUCUUAGAAGGUCUAAUAUUUUUCGGGUUUUUGGAGGUAAUGAUCACAAGUAAAUAUGAACUGACUUAGAUCAUCUUCUUCAUCUCCACUUUCAACCAUGUGAAUGGCAAUGUUCUCUUUUGCGUUGUCUUGAGCUCCGGGCUUUGUCAGUCGUUGUGACCAUAUUUUUAGGGAGAGGAUAUGUGAAGAUACCCAUCUUUUUAUUAGGUUCUUCAACGGGUUGAUUUCUAGGCGCGACAGUGAUGUUCCCCCUAUUUAUUAACUCUUGAAUCACCCAUUUCAAAUAUAUACAGUUUUGGGUAUCAUGAGCAUGGUUUUGAUGCCAUUUGCACCACUUUCUCUUAUCAGUGACAUGAAACGGUGAUUCAGAUGGUGGCGGGAGGUAAACCAUGUUUCUAGCCAGGAGUAAUUUCAGCACUUUUUCUAGUGGGUCUUUGAGAGGAGUGAAAUUAUCCUCUUGCCUUUGGUUAUUAUUUCAAGUGUUGGCUCUAGGCUAACCCCUUCAGUUUUGGUUCUGAUUGUUGUGCUGAGUGGCUGAACCUUGAGCAGGUCCGUUAACGACAAUUUCAUUAACCUGACCGAAAGUCGUUCCCUUGCUAUUGUUUUUUAUCUUAUUUUGGGGAGUCGUUAUUGGUUUAUUGUCGAGCUUGAUGCUGUGGAUUAUCCCUCUUGCCCGUUCAUGUCGCACCACCCGCUCAAUCAUGGAGUCAAAAGAGUGGGGGAUAAAACCAUGGUUGAAAAAGGUCUUGUAUUCAAGAACGACAUUCUCCAUGGCCAUAGAGAUUUGGCUAGGUCUGUCAGUGGGCAUUCUAUGACCCGAAUUGCCGCCUCACAAAACUUAUGGAUGAAAUCCUCGAAGGAUUCUCCUGGACUUUGCUUUGUUGCUCUGAGCUCGCCCAGGGAUAGAGAUCUUCGUAUCGACCUGCAAUAGUGAGAGACGAAUAGGUUGAACAUUUCGUCUCGAGUGCUGUGUGGUUGAGCGGACAUUGUUCUCCGAUGCCAGUUUAAGGCCUCACCGGUCAGUGUUUGCGAAAAUAUGGCCUUUAGUUGGUUAGGCAUGUCUCGCAAAGCUCUCAUGGAGAGGAGAUACGUGUUGACGUAAGCAUCUGGAUCGCUCUUCCCAUUAAACGUGUUCCUAAAUUCUGGGACAACAAAUCCCAAGGGAAGGUCCUUCAUGCCUCCCAGGGUCUCUUGAACAUAGGACCUUGGGGGUAGAAUUUCAUGCAGGCCCAUUCUUACGAGCAUAGCAUGCAUUGCUUUUAAAGUGCCUUCUUGUUGAGUAUUUGACGUGACAGUAGGCCCACCGGUCGGUGGGUUCCUAAGCGUAGAUUGAUAAGUUGAAUUCUGGGGUCCACGUUGGCCUGCGUGGGGCUGAGGUUGAUGGGUCAUAGUCACCGAGACGGUUUGAUACAUUUGUGCCUGAGGGGCGUAUUGACCCAUUGGUGUCACCACCGGUUGUGGAAAUGGCACAGUUUGUUGUACCGAGUGAACUAAGGGGACCAAUUGAAGAAUCAUCUGACUCAGUUGUGCUAGGGGUUAACCUAUACCACCAAGUUAGUUUGGCAUCAACCCAUGAGCUAGGCCAUGAACAGUAUAACCUAGGUCAACUAGACUUUUAAGGGCAGCAUGGACUCCUAUCUCGCCUAAGGGUUGGUCUAGAUUGACACCUCUGCUUUGUAUAUUAUUAAAAAUAUCAUGAGCUAUACUGUGGUGGCUCGAGGUUGAGUUGGAUCCCCUAGACCUAGGUGGGCCUUGAUUCUGAGGUCGUUGCACCUUGGAGUUAUCUUGGUUCGAGUUGUGGGAAUUGGCAUUAGAGGCUGCAUGAAUUUCUUCCCUCACUCAACUUCUACUUUGGUUACUUAAAAUCCCCUAUACGAGGACACCUGGUUGAACCCCCUGACUAUUCAGAGUCUUUCAGACUGAAUUGGCUUUUCGGAUCACACCGAUUUCAGGAUUAAGAGUGGAUGCUUGGGACUUUGCCUCUAAUUGAAGACCUGGGUGUUGGAUAAUGGAUUGGCUUGAGGUUUGUUGAUAAGUCCAAGGGAUUGUAGUGUACUGGUCCCUAGGUUUAGGCAGGUUGGGCUUAAAGUCAACCAUGGAACGAUCAUCAUAGUCGCCUUGAGUAACCAACAUGAUGACUUUCUUUGGCUGGGUUCUAGAAUCUAGACUUAGGUAUGAUCUAAACUCGUUGACCUAGGGCAGACCUAGCCUGACUUUAGGGCCAAAACCUUAACUAAGACAAAGGCUAAGACUAGCCUAGAACCUAGACUUUCUAGACUCAAUGGGUUUUGGUUCAGACCCUGAACUAGGGUAAGCCUAGUCUAGCUCUACAGGCAACUCUAAGCUUAGACCUAUGCUAGAACCUAGACUAAGAUCUAGACUAGAUGGGUGCAAGUCUCAGCUCGAACCAAUAGUGGGUCUAGGUUUGGCCUGGGUGUGAGCCUGGUUCGGACCUGGACUGAGCUGGGUGCAAGCCUGAGCUUGGACCUAGAGGGUUGUAAAAAUCAGACCGAGAAUGGACCUGGGCUAGGCUAGGUAUAAGCCUGAACGUGGACCUCGAGAAUUUAGCUUGAACCAAAGGCUGGUGGGGGCUGAGAUCUAAGAUGAACAAAACAGUAAUAAGCAAGCAAGCACAUGAAAACAUUAGACCUAAUUAGCUUGAGAGUGGGUUCUAACUAUUGAAAUGUGGCUAGGCUGAUAUAGGUCCCCACAUAGGUCCUGGCCUCCUGUUAUAGGAUGUUCACCAGGUCCUACUAUAUGCAGAAUGCUUUGAGGCAAAGGUUUACAAAGGGGCGCUCACAGUUAAAGUUACACGAAUCCCAACCUCCUUGACUCUCAAAGGUAGGUUCCCUCAUGCCGUUAACACAGAUUUUGAGGGUUUUCAAAACAUUUGUUUGCUGGUUUCCCGGGCACUCCCGGUUCAGUGUGUGCUAGAGUGUGCAAACAAGCACGCAAUUAAAAUAAAUUCAAGCACACAAUGCACCAAAACAAUAAAGGAAAUAAGUGAGCGCUUGGCACUGAUCAUGCCUAGCGAUGCGCGCUUUGAGGAGAAACUCGCUCGAAGUACGGUAUAGACGGAGGGGUAAGCAACCCCUAAAAAGGUAAAGUCAGAACAAUGAGACCAGGCACAGUCAGUGCUAAGUCGAGCGCAGCCCCAGUCGAGGGUGAUUCGAACAGGACACGGUUCAAGGAGGGUGUAAGCAAUCCUCGAUAUUUUUUUUUUAUUUUUAAAAUUUUUUUAUCUUUUUUAACCUUGAUGAAAUACAGUUAAACUAAGCAUGGUGAAAGCAGGGAAAACAUGGUUUCAGUCAAAAUUAACAGACUAAAAUGAAAUAAAUAAAGUUAGAAGCAACACAGACCUCUUUGAAGCAAAAUAUUUUUUUUAUAUUUUUAAAAAAUUUAUUUUAAGUCAAAAUUUGGUCAACAGAGAGCCAAAAGUCCCUGGAAUAGGCUAUGGGUGUCCCAGAAGUUUUUUGAGGCACUUGCAAUUAGGCAACACUAGUGGUGGCGCCCGGGCGGCACUGCUGGUGUUGCCCUUGUAGAGUGGACGACACUACUAGUGUCACGCAAAAAAUUAUUUUUUUAUAUUUUUUUCUUGUCAAAAUGGAUGAAGCAAGAAAAAAUAUAUAUUUAAAAUGAAAUAAAUUAAAACAGAUUAAAGUAUAACAGUUAAGAUGGAACAAUAAAAUAUUUUUUUGGUAUUUUCUAAAAAAUUAUUUUGCUUUGAAAUAUUUUGAGCACUGACAAGAGAGUCCCAUGACCCAGACUACAAAAUUUCAAAAACAAUCUGACUUGGGUAAGGCGUGUCGCUCUGGACCUGGGCGGCACGGCCCGUAUUGCCUGGGCAGCACGCGCUGUCACCUGAGCGGCAUGCCUCAUGUCGCCUGAGUGGCACGCCUAGUUUCACACAAGGCAAACAGGGUUUCAGAGCACCGAAACCUUGGGUCCUUGUCAUAGCCAGGGUUUUGGACCCUUUUUUUUACUGAAAACAGUGAAAAGUAGUGAACAAAAAUCGUAUUUUGAGGCUUGGAUCAAGCUCGAAAUGCACCACGGUGGGCGCCAAACUGUUUACAAUGCAAAAUGUGACAGAUCUGGGAAUAAAGAUCUCUCGGAUUUGACACCGUUAAAUUAUGAAAAUGAAGGAAAUGCAGUGGUAAAGAAAGUGAGACAAACCAAAUUCAGGCCAUAUCUACCCGGAAGUGAGCAUAUGUGCUCUCAGAUCUGUGGCAGGGCCAGCAUGAUCCAAAAAUAUCCAAAAUACGAUUUUUAAGCAAAUUAACCAAAACAGAGCAAAAUAAAAUUAAAAUAACGAAAUAAGAAUAAAAAAGAAGGAAAAAAGUGAUACCGAACCGGGCUAGAUGGUUCGGGAUGCCCGAGCCUUUUGGGGGCCCCCCCGUAUCAAAACCGGUCCUCUUUUGUCUCUUUGAUCCGGAUAUUAGCCAGCAAGUCUCUUUAGUAUAGGAUGGUUGUACCCUAUAGAUGGUUCCAGGCUCUCUCAAGUUUUAGGCUUGAACUUCCAGGAGGCUAGCUCUAAGGUUUCUCAUCUCUCUGAAGCUCUAGGGUUUCCAUCUCUAUCUCUCUAGGUUUUUCUCUCUCUAUCUCCAAUUGCAUUCUUCAUCCCCCUUCCAAUGACCACGAAAGAAGGAUAUGCAUGCAUAACCAACAAAUCCCUUGGUCAAAGAUGCACAUUUUGAGGGUCAUGGAUUUAAGCGGCACGGGUCGUGUGACCAGGGCGACAUGGGGCGUGCUGCCCAAGUAGAUUAAAAAAGUCAAAAUUCAAUUUGGGGCUGGUUGGAACUGGCGGCACUGGGUGUGUCAUUUGGGCGGCAUGGGUCGAAUGGCAUGGGCAGCACACCCUAUGUGGCCUGGGCGGCAUGCCCCGUAUCUCACAUACCAAUUCUAGUCCAAAUUGAGAUUUUUUCACUUUUGUGUGUUCUUCAGCCUCUUGUGAAGCUCUCAAAGAAAAUUUGGGUCAAAACAUAUUUUUGUACUAUUUUUAAUGAUUUGUUUUGUAAACAGGAUGUUUACAGAAAUCUAGGUCAAAACAGGGUUUCUACAUGGUUUCGGGUAGCCGUGACGGUUGCCAGUGUUUAUUUGCAUGAAAAAUAUAUAGGAAUGGACAUAGUAGGUCCCUUACGGUGUUUUAAGCCACGCUGUCUGAAAAAUUGGAUGGCACCAAGCCUCUGGACGAAAUCACUGUUCAUUUUCGCCCAUAGGCGUUGCGUAGGGGCUUUAUAUAUAUAUACACACAUAUACUUUAUAAUGAUCGAGCUAAUAUAUUAUUCCAGUUAGACAGUAGAAGUGAGAAUCCAAGGUCACAAAUUUGAUUCCUCCUCUUUUUCUUAAGGCUUAAAAGAAAAUAUCAUAUAAGUUUUUCUAUUAAAAAAGGGGAGACAAUUGUAUAAGAUAUCAAAUUCAAACAAAUAAAGUAAGGUGCACCUCUAAACUAUAUUGAAAGAUAAUAUUGCAAUACUUAGAAAGUUUUGCAAUGACAUUAUUCGGGGCUGAUUUUUGGAUAUCCGAAUCUCAGAUAAAGCACAAGGAAUCAAAAGAUUGGAUUAACUUUAAUAUAUAAAUCAAAGAGUCCUCAAGCGUAUGGUCAAUCAGUAUGUUAUCUGUAGAGAUACCUCAAACCAAUAAUAUAAGCGAGACUUGCCCUACAAGUCCUCAUAUGCCUUGAAAGUUUUGCAAUUAGCCGUCAUAUAUCUUAACUAUCGGACAUACUCAGGAAUUGUCACAAAUGUCAUUAUAAGACCAGACUGUGGAAUCAAUGAUCCCAAUGCCAAUAUAUGUCGUUUUGCUCUAUUUAAGGGAAGUUUAGAUAUAAGUUGACAAGAUGUGAGGAAUUCCAUUCGUUAAAGGGGUUGGAACAGUCAAAUAUACCCAAAGACUAUCACAAAUCUGAUUUUGAGACUACGAAGGGAUCAAUGAUCCUAUGGAAAAUAUAUGCAUGCCCACAUUAUUAAAGGGUAAUUUGCAUAUAAAUUGACUAGUUUUGGGUCUUCAAAGGUGAACUAUGCAAACCUCACAAAAUCACAUUAAAUCGAGGUGAAAUUUGCAUAUGAUGAUUGUUAGUCAUUAUCUGUCUUCAGUCCGAUAUUCAUAAAGAAUGAACAUCAUUUAAUAGGUCUUCUGAUCCAUCAUAUGUUAAACAAGUUUAAUUGACAAGCCUAUCCACAAUGACAGGGAAGUGUCUUGAAAUAUUUGGUGAAAAUCUGUUUGAUGUUCAAUAACCCCUAUCUCAAGAUUUCAAACAUAUUGGAAGGAGAUCUAGUCCUAUAUCACACUCCUCGGAAGUAAGCUCCUAUGGACACUAUUCAUUAAAGUGCUAAACAGAAGCCGCAAUGAUAUCUAAUAGAUAAAAAUGUCAAAAAACCUAAUAAUAAAAAGUCUUUUUAUGAGACCAAAGCCCUUGGAAUCUUGAUUCAAAGCUUUAUUAUCUUUGUGAAAGUCAGAUCGUAAGAAUUCUCUAUGUGAAAGCACUCCGAACCGUAUCAGAUGUCAUCUCUUGUGAUAGGUUUUAACCGAUGAAAUACUCGUAUCUCCUAAAUUACUAGGAUUUUUCUUGUCAAAUUUGGCAAAGAUGUUCAUCAUGAAGAGCCUCACAACAUAUUUAAAUUUCAUGAUAAAAUAUUAUAAGGGCGUAUUAAUUUUGUCAUCUACUGAUUUCUGCUCAGAAUGGUGGCAGAGAUGCUGAAACUUCAAGGAGGCAUAUAUCUGUCAGUGCUUAUCAAAAUUGAGUGAGACUUGAUCUAUUUGGUUCAUCUCUGAUUUCUUUAUCAGCUUGCAAAAUUUCAUGGAAAAAGGCUUCUUCAUCAAAAAAUUAUGCUCGUCGAAUUGAAGCAUGUUUAGAUGUUCUAACAGUUUUACAAUUGAAGACCAAAUAUAAUUGAUCUCCUAUGUUUUCUCAUGGUUCAAACUAGUUCAUAUGAGUUUGUUUUAGUUCAAAUCCGAAAUCAAAUAAGUAAAAAAAUAUCCAAAGUAACUGCUUUGAAGGAGAUUUAGAAAUCAAAGAGCUCAAAAUUGUCUCUUACAACCAUCACAAGAUAGAAGAUGUUGAAAACUGUUGAUUUUGGAUAAACGCAAAGGAAGUGCAAGUCUAUCCAUCGGGAACAACUCUCACACUCUAUUUAACCAUUCUCUCAUGCACUUACAAGAGGGGAUUUGGAUAGCAUUAAGAGUGUUUUUAAUAACUUUUCGGAUUCUCCUUGCUGCUAACUUUACUAGAUUCUGGGAAGUAGAUGAAAAUUGGUAGCUUGAAAGCUGGGGACCAUGUUUGAUAAAUUGUGGUAUUAGUAUUUCACCUGAUUGGCAUUGGCAAAGCUCAAACGGAUGAAAACUACAAUAUAGGAGAAAAUGUGAGACUUUCUCCUGUUUUUUCCGUUAUCAAAUGCCCCUAACGUCUAACACCCUUAAGAAAGGGAUAGAGAGACAUCUCAUACUUCACUUAUUUCCUGCACGUUUCUUGCAGACAGAAAGGUGACUCUAAGCACAAUUUCGAUUUCAGAGUUGUGCGAACAUAGAGAGAACAAACAUGAGACGUCCUCACUUACUUGCUACAAGACUCAGAGAAGACCACAAGUGAAGGAAGGUGCCCUUAUAAUACUAGUGCACAUGCAUAUGCACCCAGCCAUUGCCAAGUCUUUUUUCCCUUUCUUUUAUAUCUUCUUUCUUUUGAGUAUGUAGUCUCUUCAAGGCCCAAAUGAAAGGUGCCUAAAUCUAUAUUUUCUUGGGUAAAUUGUAACAGGGAUUUAAAUUCCCUGGAGUUCCUCAUGAACCCAUUGAUUGUAAAAAUCCAUCAUUUCUUUUAAGUAUGUACGUG
rnacentral:lncRNA from 1 species